rnacentral:lncRNA from 1 species
AAAGAGAUGUCAUUAGGGAUGAACUAGGGGCUAUGCAUGGUGUUGUUGUUCCGAAGAGUGGGUUUAAUGCAGAGCGUGUCAAUACUCAAUAGAGGCCUUUGUUAUUCUUGUCUGAUGAUGUAGUAUUUGUCCUCGGUUGAAUUUGUUAUGGUGGUGGUGGUGGCUGUGUUAUGAUGCCCCUGGUCUGGCUUUUAUUGGCCCUUGUGCAUAGGGGUUUCGGCUGUAAUCAUCUCAAUUACACUUGUUCGCCCUUUCUCUCCCGCUCUCUCGCUUUCUGUUAAUUAUAUUAUUUGCUAGAGGACCGUAUUUUGAACUUUGAAGAAAAUUUACUACUGUUAAAAAGGCUUUUGUAUAUAUCUCAAUCCAAAGCUUCACAAACAUUUGAAUGAGCAUUUCUCACUUAAGCACAUCAUUGUAAAUAAUGCAUUGGUAUUGAAUGUAUGAUCAGAGAAACUACUUGUGUUGUGCAACCUUUGGGACGGUGAUCGAUGUGGGAAACCCCCCUCCCCCACCCCACCCCCCCAAAAAACAAGUAUAAAAAAAAAAAAAUGAAGAGGAAAAGGAUCACCUGCUGUCACUUCCUGUGGACAUAUAUGCUGUGGUUACCAACUGAAUGGUGGUGUUUGGCGCGAAGCCGGAGCAGUAGUUUGGCUAACACAUUGUAAUUGUUUUUGUUCUCAAUUAGUUUUAAAUAGAUUUUUAUUAUUGAAAAAUGGGAAAGCCCUUUUUGAAAAUUAUUAUUAAGAACUGAUUUGGAAAAUAUUUUCUAAGGCCUUCACCUCCCUUCAGUUUUAUGAAUUUUUGAUGGUAAAAAUGAAACUUGUUCAUUUCCAUUUUUGUUUUUCAAAAUUUAGAAAUAAAAAGUGGAAGUGAAGCAAAACUAAUCUCGAAAAUAUUUAAACAACAGUCGUUGCAUUUAAAAGCUACAGGAGACAUGAAAACAAAAUGUAUGUGCAUUGUUUUUGUAAAUAUGAAAAUAUUUUCCUUGUUUCCACCGUCAAACAUUACGCUCCCCAUUGUCCUUUUCGUUUCGUUAAAAGAAAAAACGAAAAAAAGAAGUUUGCAAAUUGUAAGUUUCCUAAAAAGGCUAAAAGGCUGAGGGUUCCGCGUGAAAUUUUCGUUAAAAGGCGCGAAGCGGAGAAACGGGGUUCAGAAACGCCGACUGUGGACUGUGGAGGAGGGUAAAGCGGGAGCGGAGAAUCCAACACUAAUAUUCGGCCUAAAUUCUCCCACUCGCAUGGAUGGAGUCUUUGCUACAGAGAUACCGUCGCGAUCGUCGCAAGCUUCUUGAUUUCAUCUUAUCGUCAGCUUCCAUACAUCAAAUUCCAACCUCAUCUGCUCCUACUGCCAAUGUUUCUGACAGUGAUCUUGAUGUCGUCAGUGCUGAUUACGUCCUCGAUUGCCUCAAAUCCGGUUAGUAGGAUUCAUUUCUCCCUCGUUUGGUUUCCGGGAAAGCUGCAGGACAAUAAAUUAUGAUGUGUCGUGUUUUUUUUUUCAUUUUUUUUCCCUUUAAUUGUUCUCUUCCUUCUCGUUAUAGCCAAUUUUAAUUAUCCGAGCUGGAUAGUGUAACACAAGCUUGAUUGAGAUUUUUUUUUUUCUCGUUUCUUUCAACGGUUGGUUUCGCAUUUCAUUUUCUUUGGAUCUCUUAAAACUCAAACUGCGUUUCUUGUCCUGGAAAUGAAAAGGACAACACUGAACUCUUUCAAAUCUGUGUGCAUGUUUUUUUCAUCAAGAAAAGGAAAGUUGAGCUAAUCUAAGUUACACAAUGGUGAACAGAGACCUGAUCUGAGUUGAUUUUUGAAUGUAACUGAAACAAUAAAACACAAUUAUUUACUUGGAUGAUGGCAAAACUACGGGGAAGUGAGGAGUGCUGUUUGUAGAAAACAGUAUUCUGGAUACAAGUGGGGGCUGACGGCAGAGCUGCUUUAGGGAGUGCUAUUUGUAGGAAAACAGUAUUCUAACAGUUUCCCAGGUAAAUGCGGCGAAACUUAUGUAGCGUAUAGAAAUAGCAAAGGCUAAUCAAUAUAGAGUUGACAUUUUCCAAGUACUCCAAGUAAAUGGGUGAAGAGUUGCAGAGAUUUCUGUGACAAGGUUAGCAUAACUUCAAUCCCUUUAUUCUUAAAAAUUUGCAUGGAAUGGCUCAUCAAUCCAAUUCUGGAUGAGCAAGAAGAAGCAACAUCUGAAUUCUUUCUUAAGCAUUACCGACAGUAUUGCUUUAACUUUCUGGUUGUGUGAUAGGUUUAUUUUUUCUUUCUUCAUUUGUUCUCUUUUUCUUUUCUCAGCUGAAGAAAGGAUUUUAUAUAAUUAUUUUAUUUUCGCUCUCUUAGAAAUCAUUUGAAACGUUCUUGUCCUUGUCCUGUUCUCUUUGAACGUUCUAAUUAUGUAAGGUGAUAUUAUCUUGUUAUCAGGUGGGGUGGUUGAUAUCUCGGAAGCAACUAAAAGGUAUUAUGAAGAAUCAGCUCGUCCAGUAAUGGUAAGGAGAGAUGCAUUGAUUCUCUAAUUUCUCCGAACUUCAUAGUUUGGUUGUUCCAGCGAACAGUUUAAAAAAAUUUAGAAUUAUGGUUCUCACAAGAUACACUCUAUUUUCGUUCUGUGGAAUUUGUUUGGAAUUGAAGUACCAGAUUGAUUAACAGAUUCCUAAUGCAGUCUUCAUUUUUUAGACUUCAAAUUUCUUAUAGAUAUUUUUAGUCUUCGAUCCUUUCCCCUGAUGAUUCUUGUUUGAUUCAUUUUGUUGAAAUUUGUGGUUUUGAUCUUACAAGUAUGAUCUUUCUUGAAGGUGUUUAGAGAGCUGUAAUAAGAGUUGGCAUGUUUCCUGAAUCUCCCUUUUCACUUAUCAAUACAUGUUUGUUGAUCUCUCUGAGUGGAUAAGUGCUAAAAAUGGGUUCCUUUUUGCAGAUUCAUUCUCAAUUAGGGGAUUCCUAUUUUCUUUCUUCAGAUCCAGAUUUGGCUGAAUCUCCUCCUCGGCGCCUGCCUCCUCGAAUCCAUGUGAAUCAGAGCAGUAAUCAUUCAUCUUCUUCAUCUGAGAACAUUGCAAUGUCCGGGGAUGGCCAUGACCUUAAGUAUACUACCACAACAUCUACCCCUUUGAAGCCUGUAGAAAAUCUAAAUAUUUUUUCAUUAGGAUUACCUAUCCUGAAUACAGGUAUCAGUUGUUCAAUUUGAUUUUCUUGUGAGUUUUAGUGUGAUAGAAAGCUUCUACCUUUAGCAGUCCAACCACUAAUUACGCAUCUUGUUUCUUAAUGUUAUCUGGUUGUUCUGUUUCAUUUUUUUUUUGUUAAUUUGUUUCCUAAGCCUGGAGGUUUCAUCUGUUGAGUAAACUGAUACAUAGCUUUAGGGUUGUUGAAGGAUUGUCGGAUGAUGAUUUGCGGGAAUCAGCUUAUGAAAUAAUGCUUGCAUCCAUAGUAUUUUCUGGGUAAUACCUCUCUCCUUCUCUCCUUCCAAUGCUCCCUAUCUGCUUGCCUCAUUCUAGUUUAUCCACCUCUUAAUCUGACAAGCACUUAGGUCUCUUUCUCUCUUUUGCUUAAUAAUCUAUUUCUUUUUCUCUUUGCACAACUAGGGUUCAAGUAUAUACUGUCCAGGAUAGAAAGAAAGAGAAAAGUUCAAAAUUUCUUUCAGGAUUUAAGGGUAAAAUGGAUAAAGCACAUUUACAAUCUCAGUCUCUAGGGAGACAUUCAGAGCUCAUUGACACCAUCCGAGUUCAAAUGCAGGCAAGUUAUUGUGUUCUUACUUUUAGCUGUAAUUCUUGGUGGCUGAUUUGGGAUAUUUCCUGCAGAACUUUCCAAGUUGAGAUUACUAUGUGUAUGCCCAUUGACUGUCUAAAAAAUAUUCAUUGAAUUAGGCACUCAUAAAAUAAUGAUCUUAUAUAUUAAUUCACAAUCAUGUAACUCUGAUAAUUCUUAUGGAAUACAGAUAGUAUAAUAAAGCGAUGUUUUCAGGGUAGCCAUCUUUAACUAGAAAUGCUAAAAGUAGUAUUAUUUAGGUAGUGUACAGGGUUCUGAAUUAACAAAACUACUUUCCCCUGGUCGUGUGUUUCACAUACUUGUCUAUUAGCUUUGUACUUUCUAGGAAAAAAAUAAAUUAAUCUUGUGCAAUUUGCUUAGCAUGCCAGAGAAAAAGUAAAUUAACUGUACAUUUUAUGAAAAUCAGAUUCUGACUAGAUUGAUGAGAAUUAGAUAAUAUAUCAUGAAUCCAAGUAAUCAUAGUGGCUGAGCAGCCACUGCCUCCUGAUUGUAGUUGAAUUAGUAAGCUGAGUAGAAAGACUAAUUGUGUAUUUUCAGUCAACCAUUGAUGAAACAUGAUUUAUGUGGGGUUUUGCCUAUUGUGCUGAAUUUGUGGCUAUAAAGCAAUUGACACUUUUUAUAUUAUCCUGAAUUAUGUCUCUUUGUGCAGGGUUCUGCUCAUUGUAUGUGUAGUUAACUUAUAUAUUUACCAACACCAAAACCAACUUUAGUUUAGUUUUUUGUUUUAUCUCAAGGGGUUUAUACAGUUUUAUGCAAAAUUGUGCUGAAAUGCAGACCCUCAAUUGAGUAGUACCCCUGCUUUCUUUAAGCUCCUCAAUUACAUGUUUAUAUGUGGAAAAUGUGGCUAAAUGGUUUAUCAACUUAUAUAUUGGGGCUUGAAAAAAUCAAGUGGAAGUCUAUUUGUGUCAUUGCAUGUGUACCAUCUUUAGCUUUUAAUUUAAUUUAAUUUAAUUUAUUUUUUGUUCUUCUUCUGCUUCUUUUUGCUCCCAAUUGGAAGCUAAACCCAAUUGCUAUGAUUCCUCAUGAAUAAAUUGUUUUUUGCUAGAUUUCAGAGGUAAUGGAUCUAUGCAUGAGACAAAAGUUGAUGCAGUUUGCUACAAGGAAACUGUGUGACCGAAUUGAUAUUCCUCAAAUCUCGUUGGGGCUGUUAAAUAGCAUUUUCAAGUCUGAUUUUGUCCAUGAAAAGUCAUAUAUGCAAUGGAAGUAUAGACAGGUAAAAAUAAACUUGCGUAUUGUUUUAUGACAAUUCCUUUCCGUCUAGAAUUCCCUCUUCUUUUUUAAACAGUGGUUUUAUAAACGUAUUAUCCGUUGUUGGCUUGAAGGACUUUAGUUGUUAUCAUGUUUGGUUAUUUUGAACAAACAAUAGUUUUCCAUAAAUAUGUCAUCCUUCAUUUUUAGGUAUUUCUAAGAGAAACCAGUAGUUUUGAGUUUUGCAUAAAGAUGCUGUGAACCAGUCAUCCUAUUGCUAGGACUUUUCACUUUGCCGCCCUGGGUGUGUUUAUCAUUCUGAAGCUAAAUUGAUGACCCUGUAAGUAGGGGCGGCCAUGCAUGGGUGGGUUUGGGCUACGCCAAUCACUGAAGUUAGGGGGACUUUGCUGAUCCAUCCAACCUUAGGCUUAGGACAGUGUUUAACAGUCCAAGGGGUUUAGAGUAUAAAAGUAGGCUGGGUCUAAUCCUAUAGAGUUAUGUAUGUAUAUAUGUAUGUAUGUAUGUGUGUAUGUAUGUAUGGAUGGAUGUAUGGAUGUAUGCUUGAAGGAAUUCUUUUAUAGCAAGUAAUCAUAAACUUAAUGUCAAUCAUCAUUGUCAGGUGGGGCAGGGCUUGAAUUGGUCUUGCUUGGAAAUGAGAUUGGCCAAGAAAUUCAGGACUUGCCUGGCCCUACUGCUAUGUAAGGCCCAAGCACUGUCCAUGGCCACCUGUGCAGUGGUGGAUCCAGCAUAGGAUGAGGGAGGUCAUAUGCCCCCCCUUGAAAAAUAUAAAAGAAGUAUUGAUGAGAGCUGGGUUUGAGCCCACUCCCUCUUGUUAAGAAGAAAAAUAAGCCAAUCAGUAGGCUAGUUUUUUGUUUUUGGAUCAUUUUUGCCCCCUUGGAUUAAAUCUCAUGUAUUUUUCCCUCCCUACCUUCACUUUCUGGUACUGCCACUGCACCUGUAGCUGUAAAAUGUGCUGUUGAAAACUGUAAGUCUGGAUAAUUAUUUUAGCCAGUGCUGUUGCAUGUCUAAGUAAUUUACUCAACUGUGAUCUUCAACAUAUUUUUACCAAUUGUAGAUGGUGCCUAAAUAGUUCCUCAGUUGUGUUCAUGCUGAACAGCAUAGGUGUAGGAGUAAAUUACCAAAAAAAUAUGUUUUUUCAGGCUGCUUACUCUCCGGUCUUGCAACUAUUUUCAUGCAGGCAAAUAUCUUAGAAGAAGUUCUCUAUUUUUUUGUCAAUCUUAAAACAGCUGAGCGUCUAACCAUUAAAAGUUCUCUCGCAAAGAUCAGGAACACAAAGGUACAGCCUAGUUAUGGGUUUGUGAUGCUUUGGUGACUGUAAAUUUGAUGACUCAUGGAGUGGCUUGCUUUUACAUUUCUUUUGAUUUCCUCUACAAUCUAAUAAUAAAUCUACUUGACUUGUUCUGUGUUGUAGGAAUGGGAUUUUAUAAUGCCCCCUUCUGAGCGUGCUGAGGUUCUACUAGCUAUGAAAGAGGUUGCUUCAAAAUUAGCAUCUGUGCCAGGACAAUUUGGCAUACAUGAUGAGACUUGUUAUUGGACUGCUGGUUAUCACUUAAACAUUAGGAUUUAUGAGAAGUUGCUCUUUGGUAUGUUUGACGUGCUUGACGAAGGGCAGCUCAUAGAGGUACGUGUUUCUGCUCGGUCUUUUCAGUGUAGGAAAUUUCCUGAUAUGGUGUAGUAAGUAACUUUGAGUGAUGGUCAAAUAUGUUAUGUGAUCAUUAUUAGGAAGCUGAUGAAAUCCUGAUGCUCAUCAAGUUGACCUGGUCUAGUCUAGGCAUCAAUCAGAGAAUGCAUAAUGUAUUAUAUGGCUGGGUGCUUUUUCAACAGGUACACAUUCUACUUUGGGUAUUACCUGAGUUUAACAUUCACAGAAGUUUCUUGUUUAUUUUAUUGUAAAACUGAAUUCUUUAUAUAUGAUUAUUUUUCACGUGGAAAAAUUUCCUUUUUAGAAUUUUGAAACAAUAUAGAGAUUUAGAUAUGUUAUCUCCAUUGCAUUAUUGUAUAACAUAGUUGAUUAUAUAUUAUGUGAACUCAAUCAAAUGUCUCACCUAGGGCAAAGUGGGAAAAAAUUAUGUCUUCCUGAAUGCCAUCUUAAUAUGCAAUGGAUACUAGGCUCAUGUUUUUGACAGAUAAAUUUAUCCUUAUAUAGCUUUGUGUAGAAUGUGCAUGUUGGUCAUUGUAGGUUGAUCCAAUCAUGGUUACAUUUUACCAAGUUUUUGUUGCUAAGUACAAUGAAUUGAUUAUUCAACUACCCCUGGAAAUUCGUUCUAUCAUGAAUGCGGUUGUUUUCCAUUUUUUGAGAGUGACUAUUUUGGUUUCUUUUUAUCAAGGAUAUGCUAUUUUUUUCUGUCGACUUCUCAUUGAAUUUUUUUUGUUUAUUAUGUUGUAUCCAAUUACCAUUAAAGAUCUUUUUUCAGUCAAGUCCUCGUAUCCUAAAAUUUGUGGAGAACUAGACAUUUAAAUGUAUACCCACACCCAACAGUUGUAUCAGGACUCAUAUAACAUAAGAAGGAAGGGAACUAGAUGAGAAGAGAAGAAAAAUGUAAUUAGGUGAGGAAAUAUACGAGUUGAAGAAUAGGGUUUCACGGGAAUAAUUUUCUUUCAUUGAGAUUAUUCUUUUAUAGAGUUUACAUCAUAUACAAAUCCUUCAAAUUAGGAAACUAAAUCAUUGAUUAAAAGGAAAGAAUAACUCCUAACAAUUACUUUCCUAAAAAUGCAAAGAUUGACAACUAAUAAAUAAUUUACAGCUUUACAAAGUUAUUUCUUUCCAUAUUAGUUUCGGUUUUCCAACACUCCCUCUCAAGCAGGCUUAAAGAUAUCUUCCAUAGCCAGCUUGCCAACUAGAAAAUUGAAUUGCCUUUUGUGUAGUCCUUUGGUGAAGACAUCAGCCACUUGUUCCUCAGUAGGGAUAUAGGUCAUACAGACCAAUCCAUUGUCUAUCUUCUCUUUAAUGAAAUGCUUGUCCACUUCCACAUGUUUGGUGCGGUCAUGGAGAACCGGAUUGUGAGUUACUGAAAUUGCUGCCUUGUUGUCAAAAUACAACUUCAUAGGAGAUGAACCUGUCAUCUUUAACUCUUCCGGUAAUCUUCUUAUCCACAUAAUCUCACAAAUGCCAUGAGCUACAGCUCUAAACUCAGCCUCAACACUACUUCUAGCAACCGCGUUUUGUUUUUUACUUCGCCACGUAACCAAGUUGCCACCUACAAAUGAACAGUACCUAGAGGUGGACCUUCGAUCCACUAUGCUUCUAGCCCAGUCUGCAUCGGUGUAGGUUUCAAUUUGUAGGUGUCCUCGUGACUUGAACAGAAGACCUCUACCUGGUGUCCCCUUUAAAUACCUUAGAAUCCUGUAAACAACUUCAAAAUGCUCUGGUCCAGGCGCAUGCAUAAAUUGACUAACCAUACUCACUGAGAAUGCUAUGUCAGGGCGUGUAUGGGAUAGGUAAAUCAAUCUCCCAACAAGUCUUUGAUAACGAUCCCGGUCCUUCACAUUCUUGGCUUUUGUAGGUUGCAGUUUUACAUUCAGCUCUAUAGGUGUUUCAGCAGGCUUACAUCCUAACAUACCUGUCUCAUUAAGAAGAUCAAGAACAUACUUUCGUUGAUUUACAAAGAUACCUUCUUUGGACCUAGCAAACUCCAUCCCAAGAAAGUAUUUUAAUGCCUCCAGGUCCUUAAUCUCAAAUUCCUCAGCAAGUUUCCCCUUCAGCUUCUCUAGUUCAUUGCAAUCAUCCCCAGUUAACACAAUAUCGUCAACAUACACAAUUAAGAUGACUACUUUACCUUCAUUUGAAUGUUUGUAGAACAUCGUGUGAUCAGCUUGACUUUGAGUAUAUCCAUAAUGCUUUAUUACUUUGCCAAAGCGCUCAAACCAAGCUUUAGGCGACUGCUUAAGUCUGUAUAAGAACUUCUUCUAUUUGCACACUUUCCCAACUCUAAAACUUUCUUCAAAACCUGGUGGAGAACUCAUGAACACUUCCUCCUCUAGGUCUCCAUUAAGAAAGACAUUUUAAACAUCCAAUUGGUGUAAGGGCCAAUUGGAAUUUACUGCAAGGGACAACAAAACUCUAAUCGAGUUUAUUUUAGCUACGGGGACGAAAGUCUCUUGGUAGUCUAUCCCAUAGGUUUGAGUAAAACCCUUUGCCACAAGUCUGGCUUUGUAUCUCUCAACACUUCCAUCUGCUUUACUCUUUAUUGUAAACACCCAUUUGCACCUUACAACUUUUUUUUCCCUUGGUAAAUCUACAACCUCCCAAGUGCCAUUCUUUUUUAAGGCAUUCAUUUCCUCAAACACUGCCAAUUUCCAACUUGGUUCAUCUAGUGCUUCUUGAAUAUUUCUAGGUACCACAAGUUUUGAAAUAUUUGUAGUGAAUGCUUUAUAGUUGUCAAAAAGGUUACUAUAGGAGAUAUAUUUGGCAAUGGGAUGUUUAGUGCAAACUCGGGUUCUCUUUCUAAGAGUAAUAGGGAGAUCAAGGUCAAGGUCCUAUGCAGGAACAAUUGGGGCUAAUCCUAAACCGGGUUUGGGUGCAGAUAUUUUUGGACUUGGACCAAAGUGUGAUGGUAAACUUAGAUCAGUAACAGAAGAAGAAGAAGCAUGUAUAUGAGUAGGAAUAGAAAGAGGGUUACCUGAGACAUUUAGAGAGCCAUUGCCCAGGGCUUUCGGUUGACCAUGUGCUGGGAUGAUCAGCUGGUCUUUACUUUUUUCAGGGACUUUUUUCCUUGAAUAAACCACAAGCUCAAGAUUGUUUCUAUUUUUUUUCAUUCGUAGUAUUUCUUCUUCUGAUAGACCAAUUUCAGAUUCGGAUUCAGUAGGCUUAGUUUCCUUAUUUUCUUUUUCAAGAGAGAUAUCAAGAAUUACACUAGACAAAGGUUCAACAAUUUCCCAAAAAUUUGGUUCCACUAAUUUUUCCCCCUGAAGUAAAUUUUUGGUAAAAUAUGGGACAUUUUCCAUAAAGGAAACAUCCAUAGUUGUGUAAAAACGUUUUGUAAGGGGAUUAAAACAUUUGUAACCCUUUUUAUUAGGAGUAUAUCCUACAAAAACACAUUUUUCUGCUCUUGGGUCUAACUUAGAUCUUGACCUUUUUGGAAUGUGUACAUAUGCAGUGCAACCAAAUAUUUUCAAGGGUAAUUCAGAAUUAAUUCGAGAUUCUGGAAAUACCUUUUUCAAGCACUCCAAAGGAGUGGUAUACUGCAAAAUUUUUGUAGGAAUCCUAUUGAUUAGAUAUGAAGCAGUUAGUAUGACAUCCCCCCAUAAGUAUUUUGGAAUAUUCAUGUAAAACAUCAUAGCCCGUGCUACUUCUAACAAGUGUUUAUUUUUACGUUCAGCUAUUCCAGUCUGUUUAGGGGUAUCAGAACACAAGGAUUGAUGUAAAAUUCCUUUCUCGUUUGAAAAGGUUUCCAAAACUUUAUUAAAGUACUCAGUCCCAUUAUCAGAUCUCAAAAUACUGAUUUUUGUUUGAAAUUGGUUUUCAAUCAUUCUGUAAAAUUCUUUAAAAAUCCUUUCGACUUCAGAUUUUUCCCUCAUUAAAUAUACCCAACAAAGACGUGUAUGGUCGUCUAUAAAGGUCACAAACCAUUUUUUUCCUGAAAUUGUGGUUACUUUUGAAGGUCCCCAAACAUCACUGUGAAAAAGAUAAAAUGGUUUUGAUGCAUAGUAGGGUUUUGGAAUGUAAGUUUUUCUUUAGCUAUUUGCCAAUAAACAACUUUCACAUUGAAAUGAUAAAGGGUCAACCUUUUGAAAUAACAUUGGAAAUAAAUGUUUUAAAUAAGAGAAACUAGGAUGGCCUAAUCUGCAAUGCCAAACCAUUAUUUGAUCAUGAACAGAAAGAGAACUAAUACUACUUAGUCCUUGAGCAAUUUUAUUACUAGGUAAGUUAUCCUCGAAAUAAUAGAGGCCAUUGAUCAUCCUAGCACUGCCAAUUGUCUUCCCCGAGCUCUGGUCCUGAAAAAUACAAUGGGAUUUAUAGAAGAUAACACAACAAUUAGAAUCUCUAGAUAAUUUGCUAACAGACAAGAGAUUACAAGUAAGUUUAGGAACAUGGAGAACAGAUUAAGAUCUAUUCCCUCAGAGAUUUUUAUUAGACCUUUUCUUGCAAUAGGUGAGAAAUUACUAUUAGCUAUCCGAACCUUUUUAUUUCCAGGACACGGUGAAUAGGAUUCAAACAUGUUUGAGGAAUUGGUCAUGUGGUCGGAUGCUCCAGAAUCGAUUAUCCAUGGAGUAGAUUUAAAACGACAAGAUAGAGCAUAUAAUUCAUUACUUGUGUGUGCCAAAGAAACACUAGAAGUACUGGAUGUCAAGUUGGAUUUCAGCAGUGCAAGAAGAUGCUCCAUUUGCGCAGUGGUGAAGAGGCUGGUCUCAGUCUCAUUAGCAGUAGGAAUAAUGGCUCGGCCUGGUUUGUCACCUGUUUUUCCUUUCCAAUUUGCAAGUUUCCCAUGAAUUUUCCAAUAGUUUUCACGAGUAUGGCGAGGUUUGUUGCAAAAAUCACACCAAACUUGUGGUCUUUCAUCUCAUUUGCGCUGAAAUGCAGCAGCUUUAUUAUAGCCUCCACUCGUGGUAACCAAGGCCGAACCUUCAAUAGCAACUCCAGGUCCCUUCUUGCCCAGCAUCACAUUCCUCCGACUUUCUUCUCUUUUAACUUCUGAAAAAACUUCACCAAUUGAAGACAGGGGUUGUCUUCCAAUGAUUCUCCCCCUUACCUCAUCAAACUCGACAUUAAGGCCAACCAAGAACUUGAAGAUCCGAUUGUCUUCCAUGGUCUUCUUAUGAUGAAGUCCAUCCUCGGCAGAUUUCCACUUAUAGGUGUUGAAGAGGUCAAGGUUUUGCCAGAUCCGCUUCAAGGAGUUGAAGUACUUUGUGACGUUGUCCUCCCCUUGUCGUAUCUCACCAAGUUUGAGGGUUAAUUCAAAGAUCCGUGAUUGAUUCCCUAAAUCAGAAUACAUCUGAUUUACAUUCUCCCAAAGCUCUUGUGCUGUUGGAUAACACAUGUAAUUAGAGCUAAUGUCUUCUUCCAUAGAAUUCACAAGCCAUGUCAUCACCAUGGAAUUCUCGGCAUCCCAUAUAGCAUAGUUUGGAUCAUCCACUGCAGGAGCCUUCUUUUCACCCGUCAGGUAGCCCAUCUUUCCACGUCCUCUGAUGUACAUCCAAACUGAUUGAGACCAUCUUAGAAAAUUGUCGCCAUUCAAGUGAAUCGUGGUGAUUUGGACAGAGUGAGAUUUCGAGGUGGUAGGACUGAUUUUUGAAGAAUCAAUGAUGAUGGGAUUGUUCAGAGAAGGUUGAGGAACAGUAGUGGACUCGUUUGAAAUAUCCAACAUGGUUUCAGAGAAUAGGGAUUGAAAGAGAGGAAGAAGGAGGAUUUCGGCAAGCAAAUUGCUAGCUUUGAUACCAAGUUGAAGAAUAGGGUUUCACGGGAAUAAUUUUCUUUCAUUGAGAUUAUUCUUUUAUAGAGUUUACAACAUAUACAAAUCCUUCAAAUUAGGAAACUAAAUCACUGAUUAAAAGGAAAGAAUAACUCCUAAUAAUUACUUUCCUAAAAAUACAAAGAUUGACAACUAAUAAAUAAUUUACAGCUUUACAAAGUUAUUUCUUUCCAUAUCAGUUUCGGUUUUCCAACAAUACGAAAGUAGAACAGCAAGAAAAAAAUGUAAAUUCUCUUAAAUAAUUCUGAAUAAUAAUAAUAAUAGCUGCAAAUUAUGUCCCUAUUUAUAAGUAAUUGAAGAAUGUUAAAAAAAUAAAAACUAACUGAUAGAUACUAGUUGACAUGGGAAAACACAAAGUGAUAAGAGUUGAGCUCUUGAUUUUGAUAAAAAUUGAAAUCCUAAUUUGAUGUGAACAGGAAUCCUUUUAUCUCCUACUUCUACACCUAUAAUAAACUUGAAAUGGGUGGUCUUGAUCCCCAUCAGUAGGUAGUAUUGUAUUUCUUUGUUACGCUAUAUUGUGAUGUUAGAAACAAACUAAGAGGGUGUUUGGUAAAUAGAGAAUGACUUAAUAUGACAAUUUAAGUCAUUAAGCUUAUCAAGGCCUUGUUUGGAUUGAUUUUCGAGAAACUAAAAACUCUUUUCUAUGUCUGCUUGAUUAAUUUCAUUGAACGAACUUAUGGCUUAAAAAAGAGCUUAAUAUGGAAACCAAGAAAAUGUUGCUUCUCGUAAAAACUCUAUUUUGGCUUAUGUAAGAAGUUCUUUAAUGUUUAAUAAAACUUUUACAAUACCAAUAUUACCCUUUAAAUUCAUUGACUCUGGCUUCGGUUGUAGCUUCCAACUUAAGCAAAAAAGGAAGCUAUCCCAAACAAGGCCUAAAUAUGUUUCAUAAAACAAAUUAAUAUUUGGACUUAAAAUUAAAAAUGACGUAAAUAAUAACUUAAAAUAAAUAUCAUUUUUUAAAUCCCAAAUAUUUUUUGCUUAGUUGCUGUGUCUCGUAUCUCCUUUAUUUUCUCUUAUAACCUCAUUACUUAAUAUCAAUAGGGGUUGUUAUGUCAAUUGAAUGGUUAAAGGAAAAUUGUAAGUUGAUUUUACGUCAAACAACCUUAAUGAUUAAAGCAAGAAAUUAAGUAAUAAGUUUUUAGUUAACAACAUAAACAUAAUUUAAAUUAAAAGUCAUCUUUAGUCAUUACGCAUUAAGUGUUAAGUUUUACCAAAUACCAUCUAAGAAUGGUGUUUAACUUAUUGACUUAUGAAGUCAAAACUGAUUUUUCAUCAGAAAUCUGCUUAACAAUUACAACUUUUUUUUUUUUUAAAUAUUUAAUAAGUUCCAUAAAAAGGUUCCUAAAGUUUUAAUAUAUUCCAUUGGACUUUUGUAUUAAGAUACUCACCGAUAUAUUUGUAAAUUAAGAUGUUGACAUAUUUGUCAACAUCAAUGUUUAGAACCCAUGAUUUUCCCUCAUGGUUCGAAUAUGCUUUAUGGUUUGAUGAUUGUAUGCAGUGGGGCUAAUGUGAUGUUUAAAUCUCUUUUAUGGAUAUGCAGUGUGUUGGUCAUCAACUUGAAAACCAAGUAGAUUUCUGGGAUGUUGGAAGAUAAUUUUGUGUCAUGGGGAUUAGACCAACAAUAUAGGAGGCUGGUUUCUUAAGUUGUUGAUCUUGGUGGGAUAUGUAGAUGCCAAAAAUGGUUCUAAGUGAAUUGAAGGAAUUUAGCACGUAUGAUCCCAAGUACUCAUACUUAUUUGCAAUAUGGAUGCAUAAAGAGAACAUAUAUACUAUGAACUUCUGUAUAAAGGUUGCUGUGGAUGAUAUUAUUUGUGGAUUGAAAUAGAAUUGCACCUCUUUGAUCUUGUGGUAGACUAAUUGUUUGUUCGCAAUGUAUUUUUUUCGUUGGUGGAUAGCAUUGUGCCAUGUCUGGCAAUCUAUGUAUUGGGCUGCUAAACAUUUUCAAUCAUUAUGGUGUAUAUUGAUUGAUAUCCCAACUUUCUAAGCUAUCUUAAACAAUUUUGACUUUUCAUGGCCUCUAGAAAUAUGCUUUUUUUAUUUAUUUUAAUUAUUUCUCUCAUGCAUUUUUCCAUCUUGAAGUUUGUUGGGACAGAUGAAGCAACAUUACUAGAAUAUGCAAUCCUUGAGGUACAACAAGUCCUGUCAACUGAGGAUAUUGAUGGGAAGGAAGAGCAAUAUAUGAAUAGCUUAGUAUGUUCCAGGGUUUUCAAUGGCAAAGAAAAAAAAUUAAGUCUGGUGGAGGCUAUUUUUUUCUCGAUGAGCAUCUGGUGUGACAGUAAACUGUUGGAUUAUCAUCUGCAUUUUAGUAAGGUUAGUAGCUAUUAGUUAUUAUAUUUUGUUACUUCAUAUUUUAUUGUUCAUAUUUAAAUGAUAGCCAACAUUUUUGACAUCUUUGUAGCAUGUUCUGUCAUGUAGACUUGACUUUUGUCUAAGAUCUAUGUGUUCUCCAUUUAAGUCUCCGUGAAGGGUGAGUCCAGGUCUAAAGUUCAGGCUGAAAGGCAUAGCGGAUGUUCCCCUGAUCUUUUGUUGAUAUUGUUAUUAUUAGUGAUAUUUCUAUUGGUGUUUUUGUUGUUAAGUUUAUCCAUUUGAUUCAAAAGUUUAAUGGGCCAACAAUAUAUCAAUCUGACUUGCACUAAAGUCCUAACACCCUGCCUUAUAGGCAGCCUUCUCUGGCUUGAAUGUAGAUUUAGUAAAUAGGGGAAAUACGUAAGCGUUCACAUUUGAACUCUUGACCUCUAGGAAACCAGGCUUCGAUAUCAUGUUAAGUUACUGAUUUGAUGAAAAGAUUAAACAAUUAGGUAAUGGGACUCAAUAUAUAUAAAUAUAUACAGUUGACUUGGACGAAGCAUGGUUAUUAUUAUUAUUAUUGUUGUGUUGGUAAUAUGUUAAUUGUCAACUUGGUUGCCCAACUUCAACAUUGUUGGCUUUUCUUUUUCUUCUUUAAUAGGAAGCAGAAGAUCAUUAUUAUUAGCUUCUUCAAGUCCCUGGUAGUUCCUUCUAUACCCUGUAUAAUGUGAUUUUAUUUCCAGAGUUUCUAUGCCUAAUUAUGAUAUUUUCUUUUCAGAAACUCGACAACUUUAAAACAGUUAUGACCUUGGCAUUAGCAGUUGGUUUUAUCACUUCUAGUGAAGGCGGUGAAAUCAAGGUUAGUGUUGCUAAAUUGUAUGUCAUUCAUUUACCUUGCGGGUGGCAAAAGGAACUAUGCUAUUUCCAAGGCUUAAUUUUGUAUUUUGGUGUUCUAACAUUUGGUUGUUCAGAUGUAGAGUCCUUUUUGCCAAAAAAUUGAAAUCUUUCUUUGUAUUCCAAUUUGUAUGUCAUUCAUUUACCUUUUUGGUGGUGAAGGAACUAUGCUACUUCCAAGCCUUAAUUUUGUAUUGGUGGUCUAAUAUUUGGUUGUUCAGAUGUGGAGUCCUUUUUGCAAAAAAAUUGAAAUCUUUUCUUGUAUCCAAUUUGUAUAUGACCUAUAUCAAGUUAAACCAGUUUUUUCUUGUUACUAAGUCGUGGUUAGUUGUUGGAUGAUUUAGUUAGUUGAGUUUGUCCCUUUUAUUAAUUUGUCUAGAAACUAAUAUGAGUAGAGCUUGUUUCUAAAGGUUAGUGGUGAUCUUUAACUUGCUGACUGAGUUCCAUGGGGAUAGAGCAAUGGAUCAGAAUUUUAGUAGAGUUAGGAAGGAUUUUAAAAAAAGCUAAUGCAAAGGUUUUCAUAUGUGAAGGUUUUUUCUCAGAGUGAUUAUGGUGACAUUAGCAGCUUUUCUUCUUUUGCAUUUUCUAUAUAAUUAAAGGUUUUUAGAUUAGUUCACUUUUUCUUUAUGCCCAUCUUAUCUUCUCUUCAGUCUAGCCCAUGAGAGAAGCUAGCCUCAAGUUGAUUGGCAAUUGAUGCUCUUUCUGUCUGAUGACAACCCUCUUUUGUUUAAAAUAGUCAUGUUGAUCCAUCGCAUUAACCAUUUUACUGUCCUUAAUUUUCAUCUUACAAGAAAAGUUUUCAUACUUGCAGUUAACAAAAACUAAUGGUUUGGACGAGAUUGCUGCUAAAAAACUUCAAACUUAUAUUCAAAAAUCCAUUGAAGCUGCAUACAGCCGGGUAAGUUGGCUAAUGAUUCACCUUUUUAUGAUCGCUUUUGGUGUCCAAAUAAUAGUUCUUUUUUGGUGAAGUCAAUAUAUUUAUUUCAUUGUCCUUAGGUAGCAGCUACCAUGGAUCUUGAAUCUAAAUUAGAAAGAACACAUCCCUUGGCUCUGCUUGCAAAUGAACUAAGAUUGAUUGCAAAUAGAGAGUUAACUGUAUUUUGCCCCAUCCUACGUCAUUGGUGUCCAGAAGCUGGGAUGAUAUCAGCGAUGCUGCUAAACCAACUUUAUGGGGAGAGACUGGUCUGUUUCCAUGAUGACUAAUGAAAAUCAUCUCUAUGUCUUUGCAGCUGGUGCAUCCUUACUGCUUUGCUGCAUCUUUAUUUAAAAGGCUGUUGUUUUUGUUGACAUGUAGAAACCAUUCCUCAAAGGAGUAACGAGUCUUUCUGAAGAUGUCAAAUUAGUGCUUCCUGCAGCUGAUAUGUUAGAUCAUGACCUGACUCAACUAUAUUCUUCUGCAUGCAAGGACCAUGGGUCAUUUCACCCUUUUGUCCAAGAUUUUGAUCAUUAUGAGGUUGGUUUCUUCCUUCCCAACCCACCCAAAUUUCCAAACUGAAAAUUUUAUGUCAAUUGUUCCAAUAUGGCAUGUCUCUGAUAAUUUGAUAUCACUGUUCUUGUCUUAUAAAAUCAUAUAUUCUUCCUGCAUAUCGUUUGAGUUUCCCUGUUUUAGGCAUCUCAGUAAAAUAUGGCUUAGAUAAUAUGAAAAUUAGACUAGAAUUAUAUAGCAAGAGCACUUCUAAAAAAAUGAAAGUUUAAUUCUUGACUUUUGGAAGUGAAACUAUAAGUAAUGGAUGUGCAGCAAACUGAAAUUUUAGAUCAAGUGCAUUUCAUGCGCUUCGGCGGCCUGAAUCUUAAGACACUUCAAAGGUAGCAGAACCAAGCUUCCUACUUAAUCAUGAAACAUGGUUCAAACAUUCAUAAUGCAAUCCAUUCCAAUUCUUUCAAUCUACUGCACUUUUUUAAAGUUUGUCUCCUUGUUCAUGAAUCCUAAUUUUUAAUUAGCCAAACUUAACACUUUGUCGAAGGACUGUACCUAUUACAAUUUACAAGCAAGGGCUGUCAAAUGUGUUCUUGUGAACAGGUUGUCUUAGGUAAAUUUGGGAAUUUUUAUGCUGUUUAAAAACCUAAUCCAAAUUAAUUGAAUUCCAUUUGCAAUAUAAUUAUAAUAGCAAACAAUCUGAACUGCAGCAGAUCUUAUUCAUGCCCAUGGACGAGCAUAUGUGGAAAACACCCUAUGAUUGUGAUUUUUUUACCAGAGUUAAAAACCCUGGGCUGAACAGCUGCAGUGGUAAUUCACUAAAUAAAAAGGGCUCAGAGAAUUUCUUUGAAUCUGAAAUGCUCAUCCCUCCUGACAGACUUACUCUUGAUUGUACUUGCAAUCUUUUGUCACUUCCUCGAUGUGGCAGUCCCCAAUUGCUCCUUAAUUAUAUGUUUCUUCUAGCAUUUGUCUUGUUUACACAAUGGGUAUGAGGAUCAUCCUGUUCCUGGGAUUAAAGUUCUUACAUUUAAAAACUAUGAUAGCAUUCAAUCUGUGUCUUUUGUGUGACUCUGGGUCCUAUUGACAUAGAAGAUGAACUGUCUUGGAUGUUGGUGCUCACAGCGAUGCACAAGUACUCUUGUUUGAGAGCCCGAUCAUUUAGAAGUAUCUUUUUUACAUGUUUUGAGUUGUAAUCUGAUGCUUCAUGUGCUUUGUUAUAAUAAUGAGAUGGAGAAUGAGCUGUUUGUCCUUUUUCUUUGUGUGCAGAUUGGGGAAAUUUCUAGACCUAUUAUUCUUGAUUGGGUGAUUGCUCAACAUGGGCGCAUCUUGGAAUGGACUGGACGUGCUUUUGAUCUUGAGGUUGGUCAUGUACUCAGUAGGAUUCUUUAGCCUUUUAGUAUAAUUGUAUUCUUUGAUAACAAUCCAGUAGAGUACAUGAAUCAGUGUCUUUCGCCAUUGGGAAAGAUUAAUUAAUAGCCAUUUAGUGGAAGUAUGGAGGCUCCCUUUCAAAUAAAAAACUUCACCUAGAAUAUCAGGCGUCCGUGAGUUAUCUAGGUCUCCUCUUAGGUGGCAACCUGAAAGUGCCUGCUUUUGGAAUUUGGUUAUUGUGGGUGUCUAAACAAUUAGGUGGUUGAAAGGAGUCUUUUAUUUUGUUAGGAAUCUGAAUCACAUUGAAUCAAUCCUUCCUACUCAUAUCCUCACCUAUUCUUCUCUUUUUUGAAUCCCUCGUAGGAUUGCUACUGGGAUUGACAAACUUGCUGGAUUUAUUGUGUUGAAAGGCAAGGAAGGUGUUAGGGACCAUCUAAUUAGGGGGAAUUGACUCUCGUGGGCUACUCUAAAUGUUACUGUCUGAGCCUGAAGGGUAUCUCAUCCUUCUUUAAUUUGGGUUUUUCUUAAAAAGAUUUGUUUGUUUCACAUAAAAAAUUUCAAAUAAAUUCUGUGUGUGUUUAUUUACCAGUAUGCAUUAAAUAUUUUAUUGUGGCAACUAAAUGGAGAAAAUGUUGUUCUAGUUUUUCUUUUAGAGUUAUUGAGAGGGUUAUGAAUGCCUGUGGGGCUAGGCAUGCAUGGGCUAUCAGUUGUUCAUGAGGGCCAUGCAGAAUGGUGACAUGAUGAAUGUGCCAAUAAGGACUGGCAAUUUAACUCCAGUUUGAUGUUCUCCGAGUAUGAGAGGAAGAUACAAAACUUGGGUUGAAAUGGUAAGAAAAGACAUGAUAAUGUUUAAUGUGAUGGAGGACAUGGCCCUGGAUAAAGCUGAAAGCUGAUCAAUGUUUCACAUAGCUGAUUGUUAGCAAUUGGGGUUCAGGGCUUUUCUAUUGUAGUUAUUUUAAUUUUUCUAAUGACUCAAGUUAAAAAAAUGUCAUAGUAUGAUUGUUUUAAUCAGUGAAAAGAUUUUAUGUGUCAAACAAUUAUCUCUAUAUUCAAAGCAUUGUAUAGUGACUAGGAGAGAGCAGUGGAUCUCUCCAUGAUUGUACAGAAAAUUAGAGAGGGAAAUUUAGUCAUGUUGUGGAUUAUGAUGAAGUCCAACAUUUACUAAAAUAAUCCUGCAUACUUGAUACUUUUUAAAUGCACACUGGAAGUUGGACAUGAUGUGUUUGAUUUUUGGGCACAUGCAGGAUUGGGAACCUUUAUCAUCUCAGCAAAGACAGGCAGUAUCUGUAGUUGAAGUGUUUAGAAUUGUAGAGGAGGUAUGUAUUAUUAUUAGGAGAGUUAUUUGAUGCACUGAAGUAGUUUUUUAUUGAGACAUUAUAAAUUUAAUCGCCAUAUGAUAAAAAAUGAUAUAGAUGGAGGUUGCUCAAAAUAGAAGUUUCUUAAUUGAGCUUUUUGGAAGGGUUUGUCCCACUAUGUUCCAUUGGUUGUCUUCUCUAACCAUUCCACUACAAAUUUGUACUCCCAGGAUUCUAAAUUCUUCCUUUCACAGUUUUCUUCUAUGGAUGGCAUUUGUGCCUUUUAUGAAUCUAGCUUUUCUUAAAUGCCUUCAGUUUUGUAUUGUAUGGUGGCCUUAUAUUGAACUUUACUUGCAGACCGUGGAUCAAUUCUUUGGGUUGAAUCUUCCAAUGGAUAUCACACAUUUACAAGCUCUACUAUCUGUUAUUUUCCAUAGCCUGGAUACAUACUUGCAGAAAGUAAUCAGCGAGUUAGGUUAGUGUCAUUAUGUAUUAGCAUACUUAAAAUUGGAUUUACUGCUAAUUAGUUCUUGCUGCUCCUUGAACCUGACUUGAUAAAAACUAUGUAGAACUGAAAGAAACUCUUUUGUUUAGGGGGCAUUUUUCUUUUUGCAUCUGUUAUUGGUUUUGUUGUAUCACUUAUGAGUAAGGACGAAGGCUUCCAUAUGGUCCUUGGUAGAGGAAUACAUUAUAACUGUCCUUUUAAAACUAAUAUUUAAAGCUAUGAUGAUGACCCUCGAAAAGCAGUCUGAUGCUUUUAUAUUUGAUUUUCAAGCUACUUAUCAAAAAAAAAAAAAAAUAUAUGAUUUUCAAGCUGACUAGUGAGAAUGAAAUUGAUUUCCAUGAAACAGUUGCUAGAUGCUCCCUUUCCUAUCGUCUAGUGUGUAGGGUUGCAACUUGGGGGGGUUUAGUUGGGUUGAUGGCUAACCUGAGCUCAACCCAAAUUAAAAAACAAUCAACUCGAGUUGAGUUCAUGUUGGUUGGGUUAGAUUUGGGUUGGUUGUGUUGAUCGGGUUGCAUAAUUCAAAAACCAUCUGUAAUGUUUUUUUUUUAUUUAAUUUAAUUUUUUUCUAUAUAUUUAUAUAAAAAUUUAAAUAGUAAAUAAGACAAAAUUUAAAAAUAGCAACAAAAAAGUAAAAAUAAAUUUAUAUAUAUUUUUAAAAUAAUGAAAAAUUAUAUGAUAUAAUAUAAUUUGAUAUUUUUUCUUAAAAAUUUGAAAAGAAAAUGAAUAUUAUUAAUAUAGGAUAACAUACAUCAUAAAUAUUGUAAAGACAUUAAAUCGGGCUCGGGUUGCACAAACCUUGUCCCAAGUCCAACCCAAAUUGAGCUUGGGUUGAAAUCACCUAACUCAAGCAAAAUCUGAGUAUUGAAAAUGAUUGCUCCGGCCCUUCCAAAUGUUGGGUUGGAUCGAGCCAACCUGCCCAAGUUGCAUCCCUAGUAUAUAUAGUUUUAUGCAGAGGUGUUUAUGCAUAUACAUAUGUGUGUGUGCGUAUACUACGUAUGUGUGUGUGUGUGUGAGAGAGAGAAAUUAAGUCUAGUGCUUCUCUUGUGUUUGGUUAUUUUUUUAUUAUAAGAAAUUAAUGAAUCCUUUUUGUGAAAAUUAUUUUGUAUCCUCAGAGUCCAUUGCAAAUGUUGCAAUUAUUUAAUCGAAAACAUGUUGUCCAAUGUAAAAUACUGAUCAUAAUGCUGUUAGUGGUGCAGUUGAGAAGAGCUAUUUAUUCCCUUCUACUCCUUCUUUGACUCGUUAUAAGGAGAUGGUUAUUCCAAUAGCCAAGAAAAAGUUGGUCGAGUCUACACCCUUGGAUGAGAAAGUGAACAAUAAGUUGAAUGAAUUGACAAUAUCCAAACUGUGUGUCAGAUUGAACACUCUUCAAGUGAGUGCCAUUUUUUUCUUUUCGAUUUUUGGAAAUUAGUCUUUUACAUGAUUUCUGUACUUGUUUAGCUAACUCGAAUUUUUUUGCAUGAGUAUGCUUGAUGUUUGUGGUUGUUAAAUGGACCAUACACUUCUCAAAUUACUUCUACUGUGUAAUAUUGAAUUUAGUUCAUAAGUUGUGAGUUCAAAAGAAAAUAAAACAAAAAGAAUGAUGGUGUCAUUAUAAUGGUUUAGAAGUACGUUUUGAGGGAGAGAUUUUGAUUGGUCCAGAACAAAAUGCUUUGGGAAUAUUUGGAAAUAAAAAUAAACAAUAUAAAUUUUUGGAAAAGAUUUGACAACAUGCAGGGAUGCUUGAAAGGGACUGAAAAAGGAGCAUUUAUUAGAUCCGAAGAUAUGCUAACGAGGUGAAUUAUUGACUGCACUGGAAGGACAAUAAAUUACUUUGCCUUACAAAUUAUUGAUGCUAAUUUUUCAUUUGAACACAAAAUUCAUAAAUGAUAACAGAGAAUUAUGAAGUGCUAAUCCAAACACUGAUACAUGUGAUAGUUCCAAAGUGUUGUGUUAUGCUUACACAUGCAAAACAAAAAUGCUAAUAUUCCUUUCUGUCCCUGUUACUAAAGUUUUUAUCUGCUUGGACAAGCUCAAGUACUGUCAUGUAUUAAGAAUAUUAUAUUCAAGUUUCCCAAGGUGAUUUUAUUUAUUUCCCUCCUGAUUCAAUGUUGUUUGUUUUGAUUGGCAGUAGAAACAUCGACUUGGUCACUAUGACACAUAGGUUAUUUACUUGUUCUGAUAUAAGAGGUCUAGACUUUUGUUACCUGGAACCCCAACUUUAAAGUCACAAGAGUAAAAUGUAGGUCCUUACUUAGAACUUUUGUUUUGAAUGUCCUUGUGUUAAAAUGUCCUCAUAUUCUCAACUCUUUUGUUUAAUGGUUUUAUUUCCUUCUUCCCUGUGGCCUUGAAGAUUUUCAGAGCUUAAUUGGUAUACAGAGUCAUCUAUUACAAGGAUUUUAUUUGUGUACUGCAUUUGCUGAAACACAAUUUUGUUUGCAGUCAACAUGCCAUCAAAUCAUUUCUUUAUUGUUGUUGCUCCUGUGCUGUUGUUAACAUCUAUUGUUUCUUCAUGCAGUAUAUUCAGAAACAAAUGCGUACCCUAGAAGAUGGCAUUCGGAAAUCUUGGGCACUUGUCAGACCAUCUGCUAAUCAAAGAUGGAGUAAGUUUUGUUUGGUUGAUGGCAAAUGGACAACCUAAUAUUUAUGCAUUUCUUUAAGUUUUAAUAUAUUGGCAAUGAAUUAACCUUGUCUAGACUUUUUUAAGCCUCUCUAUCUCUAUAUCCAGAGCCUAGGCAUGAUAAUUUUCCAGUCUACUAUUUUACUUGCUGUAAAGAAUGCUAUCAUUGUGAAUAGAUCACACUAUGGGUAGAUGAUAAAUUUAAAAUCAAUGGACUAAUGCUGAUUAGUAUUGCUACAGGCAACUACCUGGGCAAGCAUAUAUUUGCCUCUUACCACAACUUCAUAAUAUGUUUGUAUUAUGUCUCUAUCUGAAGGAAACGAUAAACCUACAUGAAAUAGCAAUUCAAAGUGUAGAGAGGCAAAAUAUCAUCUUGUAUCUGUUAAGAGGAAAUCGGAAACUGGGAUUUCGAAAUUAGAAAUGGCAUUUUUUUUUUUCUGAGAAAAAUGACUUUGGUGUAUGUUCUCCAUUCUGGAAUAUUUUAUCAUGCUAAUGGUAGUCUUGACUUUAACCCAUUAUGAAUUUUGAUAUGUUCAGAUUCUUUAUUCAUUUUCUUUAAGUGAAAAUCAAUAGGUGUAAAAUGAUUUAUAUGUAACAGUUUUGACUGUCAUCCUUAUUUCCAGCCAAAGAGGAAUCUCUAGAAAAUUUGGAGGAGAGUUCAAUGAUGUCUAGUGAAUCAAUUGAUGAACUAUUUUCCACCACCUUUAACAUAAUCAGGGAUACUGCUACUGAUGCUAUCAACAAAAUUUGUGACUUCAUUGGUGAGUUAAUAAGCUCCAGUAUAUUAGUAAUAUGCAUCUUACUGACACACUGAUAGAUUUUCUCCAUGUACUUGAAAUAUGUUUGUGAAAUUUAAUUUGUCAUAAUUUGUAAUUUUAACAGCUGGAACAAGUUGUUUCCUUGAAUGCCUGUAUCUUUGUGCAUUACAUUGCUUGUCAGCUUGUAAAUUGCUUUCUAAGUGCAUGUUUGGGCACAUUUCGUUUUUUUCUUUUUGUUUUAAAAAUAGCCUUAUACAAAAUGUGGGAAUUCUGAUACAAAAAGUAGGUAGAUACCUUACAUACUUGAAAACACUUUUAAAAAUUUAAGAAAGUAAAAAAAUAUCACUUCCACAGUUUUUUUAAAUUUUGAAAAGAGUCUUAAGAACACAAGAUAAAUUUUUGUUUUUUGUUUAAGAGUUCUUAUAUUUUGUUUAUAAGUUUCUAUUUUUAAAAAUAAAAAAUAGGAAGUAUAUUUAAAUGUCACCUAAGUUAUAUACAAUGAUUCAUUUUUUUAUUUUUUUAAAGACCUGGAUCAAAGAUUAUAAACUCAAAAAUUUAAAUACACAACACUCUUUCAAAUGGUAAGAACCCUUUAUUUGGAUUUUCUUUUCUAUUUUCCUUUUUUUUUUUGGUUGAUUAAGGUUACUCUUCAUUUCCAAUCUAGAGAUGGCCAUUACUAACCAGGACCUACCUUCAACCUCACCAAAAUGAGCAGGUUCAAGUCAACUUAACAGAUUGCCUAUAGGUUUGGCCCUUCCCUAACUGGACAAACUUGAAAUCAACUUGAUUAGUGAAAUGCCUUUCUUUACAUUUAACUAAUAACAUUGGGCCAUUGCUUGGUUAGUUGACUAGUGGCUUGGCUAUGUCUGGAACCCCUUUCCAAUUUGAAUUGCAUAUGCAUCCAUUCAAUACAAUUUAUAUUGUUUUGAAACAACAUAGUUGUAAGAAUUCUCGCCCAUCUUACUUUUCUUUCUUUUACUGAGAUUUUGAAGCCAUGCUUCUCUCUCUCUUGAGUGGAAGGAGGGUGGAUAUACAAGGAGGAAGAAACCACUCUCUGUGUGUGAUCAGAAAUAACUGUUUCAUUGCAUUGAAAUAUUAAGUGCAAAGAAAGCAUGAUAAAGCGAAAUCAGUCUCUCUUUGUGGGUGGGAUGGUGGGAAAAGUCAACAAAGAGGAAGAGAAUCAGAGGAUUUAAGAAAAGCACAAGAGCCACAUGAUGGGGGUGGUGGGUACUGAGUUAGUGUAGUAGAGUGAGCUUGGUUUGCUGCAUCUUAAAACGGAAUUCUACAGUUAUGGUAAAGCUUUGUUCAAAUAAUAGAACUCAGGGCAAGAAAUCUUAGAAAAACCAACUUUAACUAGAUUAUGAUCUCAAGAUAGGGAAUUUGUAUAAGAAGCUUUGCAUUCUAUGCAUUGUGGUAGCAGAAGCUGUGACACCAUUUUGUUGUGCAAUAAGAUAUAUCACAUGUAAAGCAAAUCCACACAUAAAGCUGGACAAUAUAUAACAUGAUUUAGCCAACCAUACACAUCCAUGAAUGAGAAAAAAUCAAUUCACUAUAUAGAAAAUAUUACAUGGGGAAGCAAAUGCAGAUACAAACAAUAGUCUCUCGAAACAUCUAUGCUUUUGUGCUCGUAGUAUUACAUCUUAAGCUGAGCUCUGGGACAUCCCAUGUUUCUUUGCUCUACCUAUGUCUUCCGUCUCUCCCUUAUAUCUUUCAUUCUCAGUAUAGCCUUUAAAGUGCCAUCUUAAUUUCAUUUCAUUUUCUUGUUAUGGCAAAAAAUAUCUGUACAGACAUCUGAAAUCUUUCCUUAUUCAACAAGGAAAUCUAUUUCCAUGAGGAAGUAUCAAAAUAUAAAUGAUUCUACACAAAAAUGAAUUCUUAUGAAAUUAGUAGUUGAAUUAAAUUGGAACUUUAGAUGCCUUCUAAGAAUCUCCACCUUUGGCUUAAAUUCCAUGGUGUUGGCCUUUGGAAAUCCAUAACAAAGGAGUGGGAUCUUUGAGCAGCAGAAUAUCAUUCUCAGUAGGUAAUGGUUAGAGAGUGAGAUUUUGGAAGCAUAAGUGGUGUGAAGAUGAGUUGCUUUGUGUUUCCUUUCCCUACUUAUUUCACUUAGCCAUUUCUAAGUACGGGUGGGUGGCAGAUGUGUGGAACUCAAUAGUCAAAGGGGGUGGAUGGGUUCUCGCUUCUCUAGGUCGUUUAAUGAUUAGGAGGUUGAAAGUGUGGAGCGUUUUGUAUUGAAACUUCAAGCAAAAAGGGUGUAUAGGGAUGAAGAAGAUAGGGUGAUUUAGAUGGUUUCAAAGAGUGGAAAGUUUUCAAUCAUAUCCCUCUAUUCCGUUUUGGAGCCUAGUGACCCUUUAUUGUUCCCGCAGAGCAUCAUUUGGAGUUCUUGCGUGCCAUCCAAGGUGGCUUUUUUUGCUUGGGAGGCAACUUGGGGGAAAGCCUUAACUUUGGAUCAUGUCUAGAGGAGGGGGUUUCUUUGGCAAAUAGAUGUUUUCUUUGCUACUCUAAAGAAGAAACUGUUUGAUCACAUUCUUCUCCACAGUGCAAAGAGAAGGAUUAUUUGGAAGCUGCUUUUUACUUUGUUUGGAGUGUCUUGGGUUCUUCCCUCUUUGGUUAAAGAGACACUCCUUGGGUGGCAUAGGUCCUUUUUGGGUGAAGGUCGCAAAAAGCCUUGGAAGGUUGCCCCUUUAUGUAUCUUUUGGACCGUUUAGAAAGAAAGGAACAUGCUUGCUUUUGAUAAUGCGGAGUUAACGGUCCAAAGGAUGAAAAACUCUUUUGUUUGUAAUUUGUGGUCUUGAACUAGGGUGUUUAUAGAUAUGGGCCCUACUUCUUUUAUUAGUUUUAUUGAUUGGCUAGGUUAAUAAGGGCAGGUGAUGUUUUUUGUUCUUUCCCUCCCCCACUCGGUUAAGCCUUUCGGCGGCUAGUGUGUACUUCCUCUAUACUUUGGGACGCUAUUUGGGCAUUUCCUUUUAAUAUAUACUCUUUGUUUUACCUAUCAAAAAAAAAAUGUGCCUUAGCUAGUGCACACUCCUUCAAAGUGCCACUGCUGAGGCAUUUAAUCAAUGCACUCCAUUUGGAAACUUGUUUGAAGCACAUCUACUAGAUGCUGGACUUUUGAAUAAAAGAAUACUGAUAACCAUCUAUCAUCUCCAAUCCUAAGUUCACAAUACUUGAUGUUCCAAAUCCUUUGCACAACAUAUCCCUUGUAUGCUACUAACUCCCCCAGUUUCACCUUCUAGUAUCUCUAAAUUGUUGAGACACUUUAACAUUUCUAGUUUUCAUGAUUCAAUAAGUGUCUUGCAACACAUUCCUAAUUCAUCGAGCUCAUACUCCAUGUAUCAUAUGAAGAUGAGAGAACAAAUGAUUCAAUUUUCAAUCAAAAUUCCUGUUGCAAUUCUCUUAUACAGUUUGGAUCUCUUGUGGCAUCUUUAUGUUCUAAUUGCACAUUCUGAAUCGCCAAAUUUGCACUUCCUCCUUGCACUUCCAUAAAUCUUUACCUUAGCUUUGAUACCACAUGUUCUAAUAGAAGAUUUGACUCCAAAUUGUUGUGUGAUAAAAGAUAAGCAAAUCCACACAUAAAGAUGCACAAGGUUUAAUGUUGCUUGAUUAAUUAUGCUUAUAUCAUUCAAUGAGACAAAUCAGUUCACUAUUACCAUAGAGAACAUUACAGAGGGAAGUUAACACAGAUAUAAAACUUGAGUCCCUAAACAAUCUAUGUUUCAUUGGUCCUAGUAUUUAUACCUUGAACCUGGACCUGAAACAUUUCAUAUUUCCUCUUCCAAUAGAUGGCUCCCUUCUUUCCCUCACUUUACUUCCUUGGUAUAGCCUCUAGAGGCACAUCUUAAUCACACAACUUUUUCUGUUCAUGACCUCCAAUAUCCAUGGAGAUAUUUGCAACGCUAUGUCUGGUUUCCAAGAAGUACUAAGGAAAAAAAUGCUAAGAAUUAAUUCCUCAUGUUUGGUUCACCAUAGAAAAUACAAAAUAAAAUAAAAGAUAUUUAGAAUUAGUUUAAAACUUAUGCAUUUUUACAUUAUUUAAUCUUUAUAUAGAAGAAAAAUAAGUAAAAUGAGUUGGAAGAGGUAUCUAAAAAUAAUUUAUUAACUUUAACACAGGGUAUGGCCAUCCCUUAUUUAACAAGGGAACCUGCUUCACUAUAAAAUGUUCAAAUAUAAAUUGUUCUUUUCUACAAUAUUCUACACCAAAAAAAAUUCUCAUGAAAAUAAUGCUUGAAUCAAGUUGGAUUGAAGUCAGUUUUCAACAAUAUAAAUGAUACAUGGAUCAGUCAGGAAUAUAAUGCCCUUCAGUAAAGGAAUGGAUGGUAUCGAGGGCUAAAAGGAAGCAUUUAUAUUUAUAGUGUUAUUUCCUCUUCCUUCUGCUUCUUCCUCUCCAUAAACUGUAAUUUUUUCCAUACAGCUUUAAACCCCAUUAUACUCAAAAAGCAUGUCAGUACCCUUUACUGUUAUUGUAUACCAUUAGUUAUGAUUCUUGAAAUUUAGUUCAUGUUUUAAUUUUCUAGUACUGAACUUUUAUAAAAACCUACUUAGCAAUGUGGCAUUCUAACUAAUAAUUAUUUCCAAAUUUACCAUGUUGUACUUAUUAUGUUUUUGACAUUUCCAAAGACAAUUUACCUUGGUUUUGUUUGUUAAAUUUAACUCUUAGGUACCAAAGUUGUGUUUUGGGAUUUGAGAGACUCGUUCUUAUUUCGUUUAUACCGUGGUAAUGUUGAAGAUGCUCGCUUGGACAGUAUUCUUCCACAUGUUGAUACUGUAAGAUAUGAAUGUUAAUUGUCUCUCUUUAUCUUUGUAUGUAUGUACAUGUGAUCACAUAUCGAAUUUCUAUCAUAGCUUUGUAGUGUUUUUCUCUAUUAAGCUGGUUACAAAACCCUUUUAAUCUAGAGCCCAUUGUUGUAGGUCCUUGAUCAAAUAUGUGAUUUGAUUGAUGAUGCUCUCAGAGACCUCGUGGUUUUAAGCAUUUGUAAGGCAGCAUUGGUAUGCUCUCAACCUUGUUUGUCAAAAUCUGUCAAGGUCCCUUUCUUUGUGGUCCUGAUUUUCUAUGUUCUCAUACAGGAAGCUUUUGUUUGGGUUUUGCUGGAUGGAGGACCUUCUCGGGCAUUUUCUGAUUCAGAUAUCCCAAUGAUGGAAGAUGACCUCAAUAUGUUGAAGGUAUGGAACAUUUUUCCCAAUCCUUUUGGUUUAAUUUUAUUGGUCAGUACAUCGAAUCAGCAUACUGCUAAAUGUAGUCAGUUUCUGUUUGAAAGGUAGCAACUGAUUGGGUGCCACUGAUAAACCCAAGUGGAACUGUCACGAUUACUUUCCUGAUACAUAUUUGCUUUCUAUUUUCAUUUCAAUUUCAUUGCCGUCUAAUAGAAUUAUGCUGCUUUGCUUUAUAGGACUUAUUUGUGGCAGAUGGAGAAGGCCUUCCACGCUCAUUAGUUCAGAAGAAAGCAGAAUUUGCUGAACAAAUACUGAGCCUUUUUGCCCUUCAGGUUUUGUUCACCCAUGGUUGAUAAUUAUGCACACCCACAAAUCAAUACACGGCCAAAAGAAGGAAUAAUAGAAACUAGCAUCAUGAUGACUUCUUCCUUUUUUUUUCUCCUGCAGACAGGAACAGUUAUCCAAAUGUUGAUGACGGCAAGUGAACACAUUUCAACAGGAUUAGAUUCUCGUAAACAUGGUCGCCUAUGCUUGGGAGACGCUCAAACCUUAGUACGAGUAUUAUGCCACAAGAAAGAUAGAGAAGCUUCGAAGUUCUUAAAAAGGCAAUAUCAGCUCCCCAUGUCUUCAGGUUAUUUUUUUAUCCCUCAGUUAGACUACCCUGAAACACAAUGUUUUAAUUUGGUAUUGGUUCCUAAGCGGUAUUGAUGUUGUUCUAGUCUAUUCUGGCAGCCUUCACAUCAUUACAUGCUCAAUGGAAAAUGAAACCUCUGGGAAAAAUGAAUGCCGUAUCUUAGAAGUGUUUUGGACUAAAACAUCCUACUGCACUUGUGGGGGUUUUUCUAAAGCUAGGGUCCCCACUUUGAGUAGUAAGCAGGGGACUCAAUUCAACACAGUAAAACGAUAACAUUUAUCCUGAAAUGGUUGGGAUGAUGCGUACACGCACUCUCACACUUGCUUUUCCAACCAAGAUCCAAAAUCUAAAUACUGCUUGAUUUACUUUUCAUUUUUCCUCCCACCUUUCUCGGCAAGGGUGCAAGUUCCUUUUGUGGCAGCUGUUUAAUGCUUUUGGCCAAUCUUUGACUCUAAAUCCCAACCAUCUUUGCUCGAAACUUUAUAAUCUGGUUUCCCUUACAUUUCACUAACUAAAAAAUAAGCUUAAAUCCUUUCUAGCCACCGCCAGAAUAUAAUAAAGUUAAGUGAAGUGAUUUAUUUUUUUGGCAGAAUAUGACGAUACUCCGUCAAAGGAUUCAACUUUGAGAAGUCCCCUUAUUUCAGAUCUCAUAAAGCGAAGCGCAUCAUUCCACUGGACGGAGAAGGGCCAGAGUAGCUUCAUAUCUUUAAAAAAGAAACUCCAAGAAGCAACUUCCGAAAUCAGAUGGUAAACACAUUUCCCUUAUUCUUCCGUGUCACAUGUUUGACACGGAGCUCUAAGUCAUUAUGGGCAUAUGGGAAAGGCUAUGGUUUGGCCCCCUUCCGUUUUACGGUGUAAGGGCGUGCCCGUCAUAGCAUUUUAAGCGUUAAUAUAACGCAAACUCUAUAAAUCAAUAGUCCCCCGCGGCCUACCCACACCAAUCAUAGCAGAAGAGUGCCAUUGUCUGAUGGGCCCUGCUGCCAUUACGUCUCAAAGUUUGCGGAUGACAAUCAUUUUGGAUAAAUAUGUACCUCCAGGUCUCCCCUGAUGUGUUCAGAAGAAAAUGUUGUGUGCUGAUUUGAUUUGGUGAUGGUCCCAAAAAGCUAGAGCCGUGUCAUCUAGAUUUAUCCUAUUCGAGCUUUGGAAAAUGAUAUGCUACCAAAUGGGUUUCAUAUCUAAACUUCAAGAUUGAACUGUGUAUUAGAAUUUUGGUAAUUAAAUAAAGUCAUAAAGAAAUGAGAAUGGAUAAUAUUAAUAAAAGAAGAAGAAGAAGAAGAAGGUAGAAGUGAUCAAGUGAAUGAAACUUGGAUAUAGAUCGAUGAACCAAAUAAAAAUAUAAGCUAAUGAGAUAUUUUUGACAUGGGCAUCUUUUUUCAAAGCAUAUAUAAGUUAUAGUUUUGUGAAUUAUGUUUACAUUCUUCCUUAUACCUGUGAUAUCCCUUAUUUUUUUUUUUCUAUAUUCUAUCAAUCUGUAAUUCAAAACAGCUGAACAAUAAUUUAAUGGUGGAAAAUUUUUGAAGUAUAUAUUGUAGCCGUGCAUGCAAUUUCUUACUUCCCACACUCCAAUAAACUUGGAAACACUGCCACAUCUAGAUUUUUUUUUUCUGCCCUACCGUCGAAGAUUCGAAUCCAAGGAUGUUAGUCUCUAUUCUCUAAGAAUUUCCAAGAUGCUACGAAUUUGCUUUGGGUAACCGGACGUGUAUAACAGAUAUUCCCGCAAAAGACCUAGUCAACCAAGUCAACUGGCUUGCAUAUAUAUAUAUAUAUGAAAAGUCACAUGUUCAUCUUUUAAUUUUUGCCUCUUUUUUUUUUUUGGGUGUUAAAACAAAAGCUUUCAAAUCCCAAUCACACGGGAUAUGAACAUACACUUUGCAAAAGCUUUAGGCUUUCGGCGCAAUGAGACAGAGUGAGAGCCAAGUUCAUUUCCACUAAACAAAGCAACAUCAAUAUUUAUGAUUUGCCCAUCCCGUGGAUUGAGGACUACUGUAGCAAAAUCACAGCCGACAUUCAAACCAUUGAUUUUGUUCAAUCACAUCAUUACCGACUUCUCUUCCUUCUCUUCCACUUGUCGGCCGCUUCCCUCCUCUACACCCACCUCCCAACGGCACUACACUACCCGGAACCAGAGUCACCGGAAUGCCAAUUGCCAUCUGAGAUGGGUCCACCGCCGGCAACUGCGUGUGGCCAGGGUCCGCCGGCCUCUGCUGGAAAACUGGAAAUGACCCUUCUAACCUCACGGCAACAUUCACAAUCCCAUGCCCUCUCGUACCGUCUCUGUCCCGGAGACGGUAGCUUAGGUGCCGCAGAGUCCCCGCCGGAGAGAACCCUUCUAGAAUAUCCCCGGCCGGAAUCUGACACCAACCCAGCUGAAUCUUGCCCUUCAUGAGACGCUUGGUGUAGAUGUGGAGGUAAAUGGCGGAGUAUCUGUGGGAGAAGAAGGUGGCUUCCAUGGGCAGCCGGAACUUGUCACCCCAGGUGGGAUUGAUUCCCCCCUCGUCGUCCACCCUUGUCAUGUACACCUGGCUCUGUUUAUCAGCGCCAGUGGGCUUGUAGGGCGUGGGUGGGGCAGUGGUGAGAGUGAUGAACGGGCGGAUGCGUUUAGAGAAGAAGGUGGAGGUGUUCUUAAGGCCCUCUGCUGAUACAAUUGUGAUUUCGAUAACGAAAGGCUGGCGAUUAGUAUCGAACAUGGUGACUCUGUGAGGGAUUAAUUUACAUACAAAAUUCAAAAUAGAGUUGAGUGAGUGAACGAGUGAAGAGCCAAUCUGGGUUUUUGAGUUUCAUAUAUACAGAGAGAAACAAGAAUGAAAAAAGAGGAGUUGAUGGGAAGUUGGGAUGCUACUCACUCUGCAAUUUCCCUUGUGGAAUAAACUCCCCCAUAUAUGGAAAUUUCAUGUUGGCUGAGUCAACUAACUCGCAUGUGAUGACCACGUGUAGAACAGUAUAUUUACAUAUACACAUUUGAGAUUAUUUUCUGUUUUAACCUAUAAUUUUUUUAGGUUGCCGUAAUAAAGACAAAUUUUCAUUGUUCUACCUCUUAAUUUCAUUUAUUUUUUAUCUUAUGGGUUAGGUAUAUCUUCGGCCGUUAUUUAUACUCUUAUUUAAUUAUUUAGAUUUUAUUUUAUUUUAAUAUUUUAAAACCGAGAUAGGAAUUCGGUGAUCACUUCUUCUUACCCUAGUAAUUUUUUAUUUUAUUUUAUUUGUUUCUUAUUAAUUUUUUCUUGGUAUGAUCAAUGAUGAUUACCAACAUCCAGAAGAUGAUAGGUCAUAUUCAAUAAAAUAAAACAGUGGGAUAAUACAGACAAAUUAUUAAAAAAAUAAAAAGAAAACAAGAAUGGAGCGGGCAGUGUGUAGUGAGUGGGACGGAAGCUGCCAAACCCCUAGUUGUUUAGAAAAACCAAAGUCCGGCCAAUAACUGCCAUUGAAAUAAAUGGUCAGUUUUUUCUCCUAUACGCCAUCACCCACGAAAGUGGUUUGGGAGUUUAGCGGAAAACUGCUUGAACCUUCCCUGCAACUCAGCAAUCGCACACCACCUUCUCCUCUACCCUAACGACUCAGGCAACUGUGGAUUCUUCAAACGUCCAAGUCAAGCCCAUACCUGGAAAACAGGAACCAAUUAAUUAUGUAAAUUUCCAUCACGCUUCUUAAAAAAUUCUGUGAAAGUGGAAGAGAGAAGAGGCCAGAAAUGGCUCACAUGGCUAGGUGUAAAUUGUAAUGAAGGCGUGAGUCACGGGGAGAGCAAAGAGAGGUGAAUCACAUGGCCCAAUUCUCCCAAGUAUUUCUUUACUACACUUACGAGCCUAUGACUGCCCCCCUCCUUCCCCCACCCCACCAUUGAGGGUUUCUGCAACAAGUUGGCAGGGGUGAAGAAAAGUAAGAAACACAAGACCAAGAAUAAGAUGUGUCACAAAGAACAAUUCUUUUGAAGGUGGGGCAUAGCUCCAUCUAAGACAUUAAUGGAAUUGCGGGUACGUAGGUUUAUUAUUAUUAUGUCAUUUUUAUUAGACAAUUCUUGAUAAGAAAAGUCAUCUCCCUUAUUGAUUACGUUUGGUACUUGUAGGAUAAAAUGCUAAUGAAUACGCUUUCGUGUGGAAGACCUAUUUAUUAUUUCACCCAAAUCGCCCCAGAUGACGACUUGUUUCUGUCAAUGAAUUAAGUGCUCCUACACAUGAUUUGAAAAGGUCAAAAAUGACAUUUAAAAUAUAUAAAAUCAAGCAACCUAUUCUAAAUUUCUAAUCAAAAUAUAAAAAGAAAAAGCUGUAAUUACCAAAAUGACCUAAAACCAUUAGAAAAAUAAUAUUUACAUAACAAUUUAAACAAAAUAUUGGCUCCACCACUGUUUACAAAUGUUUUAAAUUUAAUUUUUUUUUCUCUUAUAUUUUCCUUUAAAAUUUUCUCGAGACCCUACAUGGCAAAAAUGUUGAAUUAUAGAGUUCAAUGUUCUGUGCGUUUUUUGAAAUAAUUCUCUUAUUGAAUUUAUAAUAAUAAAAAAAUUAAUUCAAGGAAACUCAAUUAAAAUUUUAUUCAUUUUUUUUUUCUUUUUUUACGCCGAAAGGUGGAGGUGAAGAUGUUGAGAGGCCCAAAAAUGGUUUCACGUGUAGGGUAAGGUUUGGGUGCAAACCAUACAGGCGUGAGUGCCGAGGUAGCGAGGUGGAUCACAUGAAAUGAAGCCAACACUUUCUCCACUGGCCCCCACUCGAUCGAUGGCCCCCUCCAUAACUUGUUGAUUAAGGGUUGCAUCCAUUGUCAUGGAGAAAGAAAGGUUUUGGGAAAUGACUCAUACGAGGAAAAAUAUCUCCCUUAGAAAAGAUAUGUUGGAUGUUUUAAGAUCCUUCCAAACAAACAUGUUAUGUCUCAUGAUUUUCAAAAUAGACAUAUUUAAUUUAUUAAAGAUACAGUUCCUUCAAUAAUCACCACCUAUAAUUAUAAAUAUAGCAUCUUUGAUUUGUUUGGUGUAUUCUUUUUGUUCGGUCUUCAUUUCUAGCAUUCCAGUUUAGUCAAAUAUUAAUUCAAUCAAGAAUUUAAGAGAGCGUAAAUCAUUAAGUGAUUCUUUGUUUCUUAUGAUUUAAACUGAUCAUAAGAAAAUAAUUAUUAUAUCAUGGGAGAUAAUCACUUUUAUACCUUAAGCAUUUGAUCGAGACAAAAUUUGUGUUAAAAACAUUGAGUCGAACUUUAACCUUAAUUAACUUAUUGUUUAUUAGUUUAAUUUUAUUGUUUGAUUUCAAAAUUAGAUGUUCAACUACUUUUUAGUUUGAACAAUAAUUUUAAGACAAAUUUGUUUUUAUUCAUUGUUAAUUUUAAUUACAUAAUAAUUUUUUAUGAAAAUGAUCUCUACAUCUUUUGUUAUAUUGCACAUGAUAAGAAACCUAAUAAAUUAUACAGACUUCAAAAGGUGGCCAUAAAAGAUAUUAUACCUUACAACUCUAAACCUCGCUUGGAUCUCAUUUGAGAAUGCCCCCACAUUAAAAGUGGGUAAAAUUGAUAAGCAAGUAUAUGCAGUUGUGGAAGCUUAGAAUAGUUCUUACUUCCCAUGCAAGAACUAUAUUUUCAAUAGUUUGGAUAACACAUUAUAUAACAUGCAUAGUCUAAUAAAGGUUGUUACGGAACUAUGAGGGUUCUUGGAGAAAAAAGUAUAAGAUAGAGGAUGUUAGCUUGAAGAAAUUUGUAGUUGACAUAUUUUUUAAAUUCAAAAUGAUAGACUCCAAGAUAUUUAUGAGUUGAGUCUUAAGAACUGCAAAUCAUUUUGCAUGAGAUGAAAUGUUAUUGAGUGGGUCUUUCCAAAUUGCAGUUAUAAUGGAAAAUUUACCACUCUUAUGGAAAGAUUUUAAAAAUUACUUGAAGUAUAAAUACAAAGAGAUGUGACUAGCUUCAAACAAUUGUGAGAUUGAGGAUUGAAGACAACAAUCAAAUUUCUCACAAAAAAGUUAGGAAAACUUUCUAUAAAGUCCAAGGCAAAUUUGAUAAAGUAGAAAACAAAAAAAAAAGGGAUGUAUUUCGAUGAAAGUCCUAAUCAAAGGAAAGACAAAUUUGAAAAUUUAAUAAAAAGUACUAUGUGUGCAAUAAGGUAGGGAUUCUUAGUCUAAAGGAUAAGACAAGAAAAUUAAAUACAUAUGAUUGGAGAAGAGAAAUUGAUAAAUAAUGCAUUAGAUUUGAUUCUUUCUACUACAUAGUUUGAAGGUGAACAACUCUAAGGAAUUGUGCAUGGACACGGGAACUACUUGCAAUGUAUGUUCAAAUAUAAAGAUGUUUAUUUUCUUAUGUACAAAUAAAUGGAAAGAAGUUAUACAUAGCUAUGUCUAAAGUCAAAGGCAUAGGAAAGGUGGUAUUAAAGAUGACUUUAGGAAAGACACUCAAUGAUGUGUUGUAUGUGCUAGAUAUCCAUAAGAAUUUAGUGCAUGACUCGUUAUAAGAAUGGCUUCAAAAUGGUCUUCAAAUCUAAUAAAUUGGUAUUCACCAGGAAUGACAUGUAUGCGGGCAAAGAAUAUCGUGCAAAAGGGUUUGAGAUGAAUAUAAUGACUUUAUUGUGAGAUUUUAGUAAUAAUAAUAAAAUUAAAUUUUGUGUUUAUUUACUUUAGUCUUAUAAUUUGUGGCAUAACAAAUUAGGAUGUGUGAAUUUUUAUUCUUUGUGAAAAUUAAGAAAUUUAAAUUUAUUGUCAAACUUUCAUAUCAAUCUUAGUCAUAAGUGUGAAAACAAAAAUACGAAGAAGCAAGACAAUUAGAGAAUUUGAAGUACCUUUUCAUGAGCUCUCUUUAAAACAUGGUAUUAUUUAUCAAACUCCUCACUCACCUUGAUCAAACGAUGUUGUUGAACAUAAGAACCAAAUAUGAAAGGAAAUGAUGAAUGUUAUAUUGAUAAGUUUUGGUUUACCCUAUAAUUUGGGAGGGGAAGCAAUUCUUUUGGCAUACUACAUUUGUGCUAAUGAUAUUAAUGCACAUGGAUUCCUUGUAUAUGCAUUAAACAUUUCUUUUUAAUUUGUGAAAAUACGAUCAUUGAAUCAAGAAAUACCUUUUUUUUUUAAGAACACAUUUCCCUAUAAAAGCAUAUCAGAGAAAAAUUAUCAAAAAAAGAACAUAUAAUAUUGAUAGUAAUAAUCAUCAAAACAUUGACAAACCUAAACAUAAUAAGUUUGAUUAUUUGACUUAUAUACAUUAAAGAAUGAACCCUAGAUAUUUAAAAAAUUAAUUUCUACAUGGUGUUUGCAUUUUUGGUUAAAUAGAAAAAGUUGAAAUAUUUAAUUUUUUCUAUUUAACUAAAAGUAAUCGAUUAAUGUAAUUAAAUUGAACCUAUUGAUAACAAACUCACUUUAAUUAUAUAGGUCAAUAUCAAUAGAUUACUUUAAGCUGAACAAUAAAAACUAAAAAUAAAUAAAUACUUACCUUUUUAUUCAAUCAAAAAACAAAUACGAUACUAAUAAGCCUUUUAGGUUAUAAAUGGAAUAUUAAUUGGAAAUUGAAAGUCGAAGGAGAAGGAUGUAAAAAUCACUAUUAAAAAUUUAGAUAAUUAUUUAGAGAUUCUUGAAUUGCAUUUGGUAGGUAUUUACUUUGUUAUAUAAUACAUUGUCAUCAAAAAUAUUUUUUUAUUAUUUAUAUUUAAAAUUAGAUUUUUUUUUUCAAACCAUUAAUGAUAAAAAUGUUAUUAUUAGAAGCGUUAUGUAUUAAAAUCCUUGACAAACAAUUUAUAACAAAAUGUUACUAUGAGAUUAAAUUCCUUUUCUUGAUGCAUCCUUGAUAAUGUAUCAUUAAUCCUCUUAUUUACUUCAAUCGAAUCAAUCCACCAAUGGUAUAGUUACUUUGAAUUGACCUCAAAUUGAAAUGCUAGAAUCAAAAUGGAUAGGUUACCCUUCUAUGAUACUAUCCCGUUUAUAUAAAUUAAUUUUCAUUGUCGUCUCAAUAAAAAAAUCUCAUACUCCCAUGGGGCCAUCCCAUUAAAUUAAAUUUUUUUAAUUAUAUUAAAAAUAAAUAUAUUUUAUAAAUAAACAUAUAUUAUAAUUUUUGUAACUUAUAUGAUCUGUCCAACUUUAUCUCUGAAUGAUAGAGUUUAAUAUUAAGAAAUCGUGUGUACAAUAAAAUUUGACAUUAAAAAAUGCAUAUAAAAUAGGAAUUUUCGUCGGACGUUUAAAGAUGGAGCGGAGCUGUCACCUAUAUCUAAUUUGAAAGCAAUGUGUAUUGUUCCAGGCUUCCAGCCAUGCAUCUACUGUGCAAACUACAAGUCUACACGGCUGGUGUUGAUGCCAGCCACGUAGUACUUGUAUCCAAGCUGGCCAUCCAUAGGAAUUUAGAAGGUGGGCAUGUUGGGCUUAUCCAUAGCCUGAUUCCGGAUAUUUCAUAUUUGUUUAAUCUUCUUCUCGGCUCAUUGAUUGGGUUGGGACUUGGGACCAAACUUUGUCUUCAGUCUCUGUGUGUUGGGACGCUUGACAGUUGUUGUUACUUAUUGACUGGGAGAAGAAGGAUGGACGAGUGUCACUGCAGAAUAUAAAAUAAAUCAUCCCCCACUUCAUCCAUUCUCUUCCAUAGUCCAGCUGUCCCAAAUAUCGGCUGUAAGCCUGUAACCACCGUCAAGUUCGCCAGCUGCCCCACUUAUUAUGUUGCCCAACUUCUUUCACAUAUUCCUAUGAGAUGGUAUUGGGUCCCAACACUAUUGAGUACGCCUACCGUCACUUCAACCAUGAAAAAUUCAAUUUUUAUUGAAUCUCAGGGUGUGGACUCUCAUGCUUUUGCUCCCCGAAGCCCAGCCCAAACCCGGUCUCACAUGCAAUUUAGUUCUCAACGUAUUUUCCUUCAAUAAGAGCCUUCGAUUUCUGAUGAGAAGAACCCCACCUCUACUCUCAGCAGUGAGUCAAAGGCCCACCAACCGUGUAGGUGGUCCAAAUAUGAAAUAUCAGAGACUGUGGAGCCCAGACUUGCACCAUCAUCCCUCUGUCUCUAUCUCCUUCGGCUUCUCUCCAAUCCCUUUUGGAAACCACUUUUCCCUUUUUAUCUUCUCCUGUGGCAUUGUCCUUGCCAACAGCUACCCAAAUGAAAUGAUGACCAGAACCUUCCAGCCCCUACGCUAUCUCCAUGAGCUGUUCAUCAGAAAGCGACACCCACUGGCCAAAGCAGACCUACAGGUGCCGAGCCAACUCAGGCACUCGUGGUCACCAAAUUAACCUCGGUAUUAGUCCUGAGUCAUGACCCCUCUCCACCGGAUCAUCUCCGGCAUUUCCGAGGAUAACCGCAGGCGGUGCAGCGUACCAAACGUUUGUGUCCCAUUAUUUUCUUGCUUGGAAACUGUUGACCGACACUGCAAAACUCUUGAACUCAGUUUCUUUCCGCAGUUCCAUCAACUUUGUAGACGCAUUGGGCUUUCCACGUACAUACUCCUGCAGCUGAGACCAGUUUAUUCAAAUUCUUAUACAUUAUCUAGGAGGAGGCAGAGCUAUAGUCAUGUUUUAAUCUAGUAGGAUAGGAGAUGACCCAUAAUCGAUCAUCAUAUAUAGACACGAUCAUCAUGUAGAAAUUGAGUGAGGAUGAGUUUUACACUUUUACUCACCUCUCGAAAGGCAUUCUUAAGGGGGAAUAAAAAAAACCAAAAUUAUGUUACCUUUAAUAACGUUUGUUCUCAAAAAUUGUUUUCAAAACUAUUUUUAUAGUGUUUUUUAAAACAAAAAUCAAUUUAAAAGCAUUAUCAAUAUACUUUUUAUACUGUCAAAUAUUAUUUAAAGACAAACUUUAUAUUAUAGUGUUUAUUUUUAACUUUUUUUAAUUUUCAUCUCAUUAUUAUUUUAAAAUAAAUUAUAAAAAUCAAAUAAAAAUAACUAAAAUAUAUUCUCCAAAACAUCAUAUUUUAUAUUUUCAAAAAUAAAACUCUCGAGAUAAAUAAUAUUUCCUUAACUUUCAUAUUAAACUUUAUUUUAAAUCAUAAGUUUUUUUCAACAAAAUCAUUCAAACAAACAUAAAAACUCCGAGUAAGCUUAAACAAGAGCUAGCUUCUCAAAACCGAUUUCCACCAUCUAAUUUCUUGCAUAUGUUUCAUAUUAAGCACUACUUGUAUUUUUCUAGUAAGACAAAAAGGUGCUUGCUAUCAAGUAUCAAGAACGAAGGUCUUUUAAGGUAAAACCCAAAAUACAGGCCCAAUUACAAAGUUCUGACAACUGUCAAAAGCCAUUUGAAAUCUGGACCAGUAAAACACUGCUGUUUUGGCGGCCCAAAGUUUGGACAUGAAGGAUGUGGAAGAGGCCUAUGGUUAAAUUAAAUAUAGAAGUGGGGGUGGGGAUGGCAUAUGGUAAUGUAAUAGGCUUACAUCAAUGCAAAAAGCUAACCAGGAGGAUUUUCCAAACCCAUUGCAUUAAUAACUCCUCCCAAAUGUUGGAGACAUUUUUAAUAUAAAUUUGUACUACUUAUUAAAAUAGGAGAUGUUUGUUAACUUUUUCUUUUCAAAUAUACCCUUAAGUACCAAGAAAAUCUAUCCAUAAAUUCAUUAAUAAAUAUUAAUUUAAUCUUAAAUUAAAUUUAUAUCAUUUUUUAAGGAAGCCGAUGAAAAUGAAAGAACAAAAAAAGGGAUAUUAGAGCCUUUCAAGCAUUAUGAUUUUUUUUUUUGAAAAGUUAACUUCUCUCUUUUACGAUUAUAAGAAUUUAAAUAUAAUUUAUGAGUUAUAUUUUAUUUGAAAUCAUAUUUUCACUUUAAUUAGUUUUAUAAAGAAUUUUUAUAGAUCUUAUGAUAUAUUUUUAUUUGUGCUUUUCUCUUAAUCGCAAACUUUGAUUUGUGUAAAAUUUUUUUUGCCCAAAACCACCCUAAUAAAAAUUUUUAAUUUUUUUUAUAAUACUAUAUAUAUAUAUAUAUAUAGAGGUUGAGAAUAAAAUUAUAAUUUUAAAACCAUGAUUUUAAUAUUAUAAAUAUUCAUUAGAUAAAAAAUAAUCUCUUAUAUAUACUAAGAUUUCAUUUGGAUAGUUUCAUGCUUUAACUUAGUUGAAAGCUAAAAUUUAAGACAAAGUUAUGAUUUUUAGAGAAAUAUUUUAAAUUUUUCACUAAAUAUGAAAAUUUUUAAUUUAUAAAUCCAAAUAAAACUUCCAAACCACCUUUUCCUACUUCCAUAUAUUCCUUAAUCAAUUUAAAAAUAAAACUCUUAAAUUUCCAAAAAUUGAUCCAAAUAGAGAAUAAAUUAAAUAUAUGUUUUUAUGGAAAUAAAUCUUCUAUUCCUCCUUUAAAUAAAUUUCUCAAAAUUUUAUAAUUUUCCAAUAUAUAUAUACAUGUUGACAGAUCAAAACUGAAAAUUCUUAAAAUAUAUGCAGAUUUUCUUCAAACAAUCAAUCAAAGCAAUAAACAAAGUCUAAGAGAUUCAGAGCAAAAGUCAUAACCUCUACAUUGGCAAUGAUCCUCCUUGUCAAGUCUACCUCUAACAAGUAAUGAUCCUAAAUUUGCUCCGGGCUGUAAGCCAAAAGUUUGGAAUAAACUAGUAAUGUUUUUCAAAACCCAUCCCAUCCGACGAGCUGGCAAAUCUUAAAACCAUUAUUCACGGAUCAUGGGAUCAUGGAUCAUUAAGCUGAAACCGUCACCGAAAAUAUCAAAUAAUUCUAUACUUAAUUUGACAUUGCAAACCAACCUAACCUUGAUGAGCCUCCUUCCUCAGCAUUUCCAGAGAGGGCAGCUCGCUGCGGUUCCACGUUUCCACGGGCAAAAAUUACACGUCACGUCUCACGGAGAGGGCUUCCGAGAAACAACUAGAAUGGAGCUUCUAAAUAUACAAUUGGAGCGACACGUGUCGAUCAUGGCACGCUCCUACCUCGAAAAGCGUUCCUAAGGUGCCCACUGUUCCUGUCACUAUCAAUUCUAAUCUAAAACGUUUAAUCAACUGCGGAGUUCUAGCCACGGAGGGUCUUGAUGAUGAUCAGAACUUCCAUCCAACGGCUCUGAUUUCACCUCUUGUUGCUGGGUCUGAGCUUCCUUCUCUGACUCCUCCUCUUCAUCUCUUCUGACGCGCUUCACGCCGAUGGAAACACCGAAUAAUCGUGGGCUUAAAUCGCCCUCGGCCUUGACGCCACUCUGUCCGGCUUCCACAGGCAACUGUCUCUCCGUCAACAAGUCCAGCGGCCUGCCUUCCGGAAUACCUCCUGCGUCAAUUUGGCCGGCGGCGUAGUUUGUCAUCAGAGCGAGUAUGUUAUUACACAAGCCCCUCAACUGCGUUAGUUCCUGAGUUAGUUGCGAGUUCUCCCUCCUGAGCCGUUCGUUCUCUUCUAGAAUCUCAGGCGUACUGGAGCAGCUUGAGGUGCGAUGCACCGUAACGGGUACGGUGGCGGGUGAUGAGUUCGAAGAGAGAACUUGUUCAUCGCCGGAAUUCGUCGGAGACACCGCCCGAGCAACAACGGGAAGGACUGCCGCAACCGUCACCGUCGUCGCUGCAGCGGCAGCCAUCGGCGAGAUUUUCCGGCGCUGUAUGUCUCGCAAAAGCGCUUUUUCUCCUUUGCGGAAGUAGUCGUUGGCGAACUCCCAUCGGUCGGGCACAACCUUACGAAAUCCCUGCAGAUUAAAAAGAGAAUAAACAAAUCAUUUAAUAAAGCAUACUUUCUAAACGGAAGAAAGAUCAAACCUUUAUCAUACGUUUGGUUUCACAGCAAUAGGAAGAAAUAGAAAGAAAGGAAAACUAGGAAUCCGCCAUAUUGUUAGAUUCCAAAUUUUCUUUUAUUUGGCCACAACUUCUAGUAGCAUUAUCAGUUUCACGUAUAAGCUUUUCCGGGAGGACACUUACAUAAGUGUUUAGCUGUCGAACGAAGCUUGAGAAGUUAUUGUGUUUGAAGUACUUCGGAAGCAAAUCCCUCGCAAAUUCAGCAGGUCGCCAAACGAUGAAGGUUGAUCCGUCUUCGUUCCACGAAAUAAGAUCGUCCACAGCCGGAUCGUCCACAAGCUGAUAUGUUUUCGUCAGAAACGGCGUCGGGAGCGAUCUCUGUGAUUCUCCGGCUAGUGAUUCGCCGGUCUGUUCAACCGGCAAUGGUGCCAUGAGCUUCGCUCUCAGAUCCGAACCCUAAGAAACUGGAACAUCUAUGAAAUUUACUUGUUUAGUCCUUCGACUAAAAUUUUUUACAUGCUCAAAUCAAAUUUACUAAAAACGAAAGAAAAUAUCCAACCUCUAUUUGCCCCUGAGAAAGGGCAAGAAAAUGUGAAAAAAAAAAGUUCAUUUUCCAAAUUAAAUUAGAAAAAUCCUAAAGAGAGAGGGAGAGAACAACUAUCGCCUAACUGAGCCCCAAUCAACCACGGUCAGUUAUUCACUUUGUCUAUGACCAGCAACAUAUCGCAUAACAUUCAAUAUUCCAUCUCCUACCUCUUGUUUUCUAUUUUCAUCACAGUUUUCUCACCAACCAAACAAACUACUUAAUCAAACUAGACUAUUUCUAUAGCAAAAAACUAUUAAAAUCAAAUAGAAUUACCUGAUAACCUAUGCUUACAUCCAAAAGAGGAAGAAACACCGAACCAGAAACGAUCGCCGGAAAAGAGAGGAGAGAGAAGGUUGGAGAGAGGUGGGUGUUUUUUUGUGCUGGUUCUAGAAGUUUCUGGGUGGAGUAAAUGAUGAAGAAAAAGAGAAUUCGUGAGUUCGAGAAGGAAAAGGAAAGAAAGGUGAGAAAUAAAAAAGAAAAAGGAAAAGGGAGGCAAAAAAAUUAAUAAUAAAAAGAGGUGGGGCCCACAAGCACACGAAGGAAGAGAGAGAAAGAUAAAAGGAUAGGAAGGUGCGAGAAGGCAGCAAUGGUGUUUUCCAGAAGCUUCGUUCUCUAUCAUUCAUUUUUUUUUCCUUUUUUUUUUGAAGAAUUUAACCGGUUGUCUUCUACGUGUCGGCCAUCUGAUGGAGUCCAAGCUUAAACUCAAGAUAAGGAUGUUGAGACUUGAGUGGAUGGAUGGGGUCCGAUUCACUCACCCGGUGGUGAAGUACACAUGAUUAUGCCCCCAAAUUCUAACCUUACCAUCUUUGCCACGUGUGAAAGGAAUGUGAUUGAUUGUUUUAUUCAUCCUACUUAUGACAUUGAAUGGUUACUUUUGAUUAAGCCUUUUGCCUCUGUAUUAAAUUUUUAUAUUUGUAAUUUUUUUUUAUACUUACAUAUGAUAACACAAUGACACCGUAUAAUGUUAUUCAAAAGUAAACGUGGCCGUAUCUACUUUAUACUCUCAAAUUAUAAUUUGAAUGACCAUAAUUUUGACUUUUUUUUUUUUAUGAAAAAAUUAAGGCUUUUAAAAUUUAUGGUUGGGUAAAUUGAUGUUUUAAGUUUGAUUAAGAUUGAUAGUGCAUGGGACCAUAUAAAUGUACGACUUUAUAUAAGAUUUAACGUGAUGACUUACAAGUGUAGACAAAAGAAAAGUGAAAAAAUAGACAAAUCACUUAUAAGUGUCGGACCAUUUUAAAGUUUAUUAUUGAAUUUAAUCUCUUUUUAUUCACAUCUAACUCAAAUAAAAUAUAUCAUUUUUGAGUGAAAAAUCUUCUUUUAAUUUAUAUGGAACUUUUUAAUAAAUAAAUUAUAUUUGUAAAUAACUUGGUUAUUGUACGUAGAAGUCUAAGAUUGUCGAUAAAGAUCAUAUCAGACGUUGAUAAUUUCAUUUUUAGUUGGAAAUAUGAUGAUAUUCUCCCAAAACUCAAUGUUGUAUCAAACAAACAUGAGGAAAGGGUUGGUGCAGCAAUUAUGAGAUUCCUUUCUGAACAAUCGCAAAGAGGAAUGAUGAGUUGCUUUAAAAUAGAAAGGAUCCAAGAUUUUGUAAAUAAUAGAGACCCAAUGCAUUCAUAUGAUUUUCCACCCUAUGUUUGUGGCAAAUUGGAACAUAUAGUCAUUAUAUCGAUGAAAAAAUUGGAAUUUGAUAACCAUGGUUGGCAUGACCUUUCUAUUUACAUUUCUUUAUGGGAAGAAGGUGAAAAAUCUUCUAAGGGGAAUCAGGAGAGAUGGCUGUAAGAGGCCAAGGGAUCAUCUUACAGAAUCUCUACAUCUUGGCCGAUCUCUUCACCACCCUCGAUCUCUAUUGUUCUCAGGCUCUCAUCACUGCCCUCAAUCUCUACUGCUCGCUCUUCAUCGUUAAGCUCGCUCCUCCGCUCCCUAGAGCUCUUCCCACGCUCAUCCUCUGCAGAAUCUGCCAAACGAAUAUCAACACAAUAAGAAUUAAAUGAUUGAAAGAGAUAAAAUGAUCAUCCAAGAUCUAUAAAUCUAAUAUUUCUCAUGUUUGGUUUUCAAAGGUAAGCUUUAGAACCUCCAUCUUGCUCCAAAUCACCAUCGGCUUCAUCCUCGGAUGAUGUCCAACCCCCAAACUGCCUCUGACCUGAAGCUACCUCAUUCAGAGCUCGAAUUAGAGCCUCAGCAUGUGCAGAAUUAUCCUCGAAUCCCUCGAAAUUUUGUAAAGGAGACACACAACCUGUUAGAAACAAAAGCAAGAAUAUCCAACGCUAAAUGGUAAAUUUAAGGGCACCUGCAGGAGAAGAAGAAAGUGAAAGCAGAUUUACCAUUGUCUGCAUCAAUCAUAGUGUUAUAUGGCGUCUUGGGUUCUGGAAUUUUCUGCCUUACAGGUUUGCUUUCUUCAUAUUCACGAAUUUUGGCUUCAUCCCAUGUCACACGAUGACCCCUCAUCUCCAAACAUGUACUAAUAGUACCAGCAUAUAUGGUUUCUUCUAACUAUUCACUCUCAUGGCAAGCCAAAAUUCAACACAUAUGUUUGGUUACCGGGAAAUUGAAGAAGAGAAAACUGGGGAAACAUGACUCGACUAGACUAGGCUUGCGGACUAUGGAAAUGGAUGGUUUUAACUCUUACGAAUGGUUUGAAAUAUAGAGAGGAAAGCGUGUCUUCAUCCACUAAGGAAUAACUUGAUUCCACAAUUUUCUUGGGCCCAUCAACUCUUUAUACCGUUUUGAAUUCAAUGCCAUAGAUGAAUGCCAAAACGCAGCGUUUGAAGCCAAGACCGUGAGAUGGAAAAACCCAUAAGCCCCAUGGACAAGGAUAAACACAUCAAAACCCAGGCAUUUGAUUAAAUAGAAUAAUCCAAAUAUAACAUAAAUAAUAACGAACUAAGUAGGAUGAUUAUUAAAAGUCAAUUCAAGUCAAAUAAUAUAAUGGAUAUAAGUUUUAAGUACGAAUACUAGGUGUUUGGUAAAAAUGAUAUAAUCCUUUAGUAUUUUUGUUAAGACGAGUCUUCCGUAUUCUCAAGAACACGAAUAUCUAUAUUCGAUAAUAACAUAAAUAAAAGAAUAUUUUCUAUUUAUUAAGAGACACAUUCAUCAAUAAAGGAUAUGUGUCUUGCUUAAUAAAUUAUAAAAGAUCAAGAAUCUUAUAGAGAAGAAGACUUUUUGAAUCAAAAUAAUGAAUUUAUUUUAAAUACAAUUAUAUUUCAUCCAAAUAUGUGAAAAAUGUAUUAAGUUAAAGUUGUGUUUCCAAGACGUAUGAAACUUUUAUUGGUGUAACAAAUAGAUCUGAGUGAACGGUGAAACCAAAAAUAUGUUUUUGAAAGCGUUUUGAGGACGUGUGGAGACAACGGAGAAACCAAAGCGCUGCGUUUUGAGGGGAAAAAACGAAGCCGUUUUAGUGGGUUGCAUGCAGCGAGCUCUGGGAUUUGGAAAUUGGAGCCUCCCGUUCGAAAUGACCAAAACGGUGCGUUCCAAUUGUAUCGGUUCUCUCACUGUGUAACAAUUUGGUGUGUUGUGCUCUGUCGGGCGGAGAAAUAUCUGAAUCCUCCUUUUUCUAAGGUCUCUCUCAACCCAAAAACAAGGUUAGUGUUAGGGUUUAUCAGAACCCUUUUUUUUUUUUUUCCUUGGGCUUGUUUUGUUUUGCAUUUCAUUUCUCUGGUUUUCAGGAAUUAGGAGGAAAAGAUAGUUUGGAACCCAUAUUUUCCUUUGGUUUGGUUUUGGAAAAGGUAACUCAGGUGGGCUUUGUAUUAUUGCAUGGUUUGGAUAAGAUGGGUUUGUUUUCUUUUCUCCACUGAGAACCAGAAACAGAAAAUUGGAGGAAAAAAAAAUAAUUUUCCACUGUUUUCUCAGCGUGCAAACAAACCCUUGCUUCCCAUAUGGUUGAGUAUUGUUCCAGUGUUGUUUGUUCACUCAUUUCCACGCAUUUCCAUGUAUUGUUUUUCGUGGUCUCAUAUUGUUUGACAAAAUGCCUCAGUUAAUGUGGAAAUGAUUUUGUUAAAUGCAAGUCCUUGAAAAAUAGAUACUAAUGCCUUAUCAGAUUAUGAGGACAAAAAUCUCAUCAACUUCAAUCAACAAAUUCUUGGUACUCGUAAUGUUGUAAAACCCCUCCCAUUGUAUGCUCGCUCAGGCUUUGAUUCUUUGCUUGUUCAAGAACAUGAUUGACAAGAUCAAGCUGUUCUAUUGCAUUUUUUUCUAGUUGAACUUGAGUAGUAGAUUUGAUUUACCACUUUUUAAUGGGAAAUUGUUCUAAUUUCGACUUAAGCAUUUCUGCAUUUUCAGCUUGGUAUUCAUACUUUUAAGUGUCUCUGUGGUUCAGUUUGCAUGCACAAAAGAUAGAAAAUGCCUCUGUUUUGUGUGUACCAAUGUAAUGCUGAUAUUGUGUUCAUUCUUACAUGGUUGAAUUUGCAGCCUAAGAGGAAAUCUUUUCCAUUUUGUUGAAGGGCUUGUAUGAUCUAUUGAUUUUCCUAUGCUACUUGUGUGAGCUACUGUGAUCGGGCUAUAUUACCACUGCUCGGUCAAAUAUACUGAAGAUGCAGGCAUUAGCCUCAACUCGAUUGCUUCUUCUUGUUGGAGAUUGUUUACCCGUAGGAAAGUUAUUACAUGUUUCUCGAUUCCAUGGAAGUGUACGUUUUCUGAGUCGGGUUGAUCGUGAACAUGGACCUCUUACUCUUGCAAGCCUUGGAUUCAAAAGUGAAUUUGAAACAACAAAGGGUAACAAAACAAAACCACUUCAUCAACUGAAUGCUGUGCCUGAAGUCUCCAAAAAUAAAGUGAAGGCGGUCAGAAGCAAUGAAAUGAAGGCAGUUGGUACCAAAAAAUCAAUUGAAAUAGAGGCAGCUCCAUUUGCUGCAAAGUCAUUUUCUGAGCUUGGUCUCCCUCCUUUAUUGAUUGACAGGUUAGAACGGGAAGGCUUCUCAGUUCCAACUGAUGUUCAAUCUGCAGCAAUUCCCACAAUUCUUAAGAAUCAUGAUGUUGUGAUUCAGUCUUAUACUGGCUCAGGGAAAACAUUGGCUUAUCUCCUUCCUAUACUGUCUGAAGUGGGACCACUGAAGAACAAACCUCCCAAUGCUGACAACACAUCUAGGAAUAAAAUGGAGAUAGAAGCAGUGAUUUUGGCUCCCUCUAGGGAGCUGGGGAUGCAAAUUGUGAGGGAGGUUGAGAAGCUGUUAGGACCAGCAGACAAAAAACUCGUUCAGCAGCUUGUAGGGGGUGCAAACCGAACAAGGCAGGAAGAAGCUCUCAAGAAAAACAAGCCAUCCAUUGUCGUUGGGACACCUGGACGAAUUGCAGAGAUGAGUGCAUCGGGGAAACUUCGUACCCAUGGCUGUCGUUACUUGGUCUUAGAUGAAGUUGACGAACUCCUUUCGUUCAAUUUCCGGGAGGACAUGCACAGAAUAUUGGAACACGUAGGAAGGAGGUCUGGUGCAGACCCACAUGGUACAAAAAGCCCACUUGAAAGGCGGACUGAGCGGCAAACCAUCAUGGUGUCUGCAACAGUGCCAUUUUCAGUGAUAAGAGCAGCUAGGAGCUGGGGGCGUGACCCACUGCUUGUUCAAGCCAAAAGUGUAAUCCCACUCGAGUCUCUACCUACUGGACCUGUUAAUUUGUUAGGGCCUACAUCCACUUCGAGUUCAAGCUCAAGCUUGCAGACUCAGGCAGCAGCAGAGGGCCUGCCACCAGUUUUGAAACAUUAUUUCUGUGUCACAAAGUUGCAGCACAAGAUCGAUACAUUGAGAAGGUGCGUUCAUGCACUCGAUGCCAAGUGUGUGAUAGCUUUCAUGAAUCACACCAAGCGGCUAAAGGAUGCCGUCUUCAAGCUGGAGGCUCGUGGGAUGAAAGCCGCUGAGCUACAUGGGGAUCUUGGCAAGCUUGCCAGAUCAACAACUUUGAAGAAAUUCAAGAAUGGGGAAGUGAGGGUUCUGGUGACAAACGAGCUUUCUGCCAGGGGUUUGGAUGUGUCCGAGUGUGAUCUUGUGGUUAAUCUGGACUUACCCACAGACUCAAUUCACUAUGCACAUCGAGCUGGCAGGACAGGUCGACUUGGCAGGAAGGGUACUGUGGUCAACAUAUGUGAGGAGCCAGAAGUGUUUGUUGUAAAGAAACUGCAGAGGCAGCUUGGGGUCCCCAUUCAGGCUUGUGAGUUCACAGAGGGCAAGCUUGUUGCAACCACAGAUGAGGAGAAAACCUUAGAGGCUGUGAAGUAACAUGACAUCCUAUCAUCUUUUUCAAAUCUUCUCAAGAGAAUUCAUCUGGAUAGUUUUCCCUUCAGAUACAGGUAUCUUUUAGGGUCUGUUCUCAUACCAAUUAGUAGUAAUAAUGUUGUUGAACUUUUUGUGUAUUUCAGAUCGACAAGAACUACUUCCUCUGAUGAAUUGGAAGUUUGUCUUCAGAUAUGAGCUACUCAUAGAAUUAUACUGUAUUGACUCUACUGAUUGCUUUUUUGACCUUCCUAUGGAGAGCUUUUCAUCAACCCUGACUUAAUAAAGUAACUAAAAUUAAUCAGUAAUUGGACAAUUAUUUCCAGGACCAACCCUUUAAAAGAGUUGAAGAGGAUUCUAAAGCCAGAGUGGCACUUUGCAUAAAAAGCAUGUGCAUCCAUAGUCCCACCAUCUAAUAGAGCCCAUUUUAAUAAGGCUGGAAGGAUCACUUAGAUUAAGCUGGACAAGCGCUUCCAAGUUGGAGGUCACAUUUAUUUUUGUUUUUCUUUCUAAUUUCCAGGUGUUCGCAUUUGAUAUUUCUUUCCCAAUUUGAAAUGAUAACAUACUGAAAAAACUAAUAGUGUAAGCAUGAUAGAGGAACUUCUGUGUUAUUACAUUUCCUAUUUAUUGAAGCAGAGAAGUUCAGAUUAAUAAUGGGGGAACUAUUUACACCAGGAUGGCAUCACCAUAUGACUCUCUUACAAAGUUUGUAGCCUGAAAAGAGGGCACAGAUUGCGGUAACAAGGAAAGCUGCAAAGGACAUGCAAACAGAGACUAUGCCUGCCUUCCAGAGUGCAGUUUGUUCCAGCCGCUGAAUGGCUGGUAUUAUCACCGAAGAAGAGGAUGCAAGAAGAUAACCCACCAACUGUUGCAUGCAACUAAUCAAUCACAGCUUAAAAAGACAAAAAGAAGAUUAAAAAAACAGAAAAAGGAAAGGAAGAAUGAGGAAAAAUGUAAAGUAUUUGUCGGUUUACUGCCUAACCAAUUCUGGGAAGUUAUUUGAUCAUUUAACAUUCUAUUUGAUUCUUGAGCUCCUAGGGUGAUGGUAGUAGUAGACAUGCAUGGAUCAAGCUGGGCUAAAUGUUGAUACAGAUCCAUAACAACCUAAAUUGGACGGUCCAAUCAUCUGGACUAUAGUCUUCCACAUAGUUUGAGGUUGCAUGAAAAUGUUUCGACUUUGAUCAAUUCCAUAAUCCAUGGCAGUUGGCACUGUGUCAGGUGUACCAUAGACAGGGAUAUUAUCAGGCGAAAUGGUUGUUAAGCAUGAAGAGAAAGGGUACUUACCUGAUCAAGAAUGAAGCUACUGUAGUCGGACACCCUGUCUGAGAUGAGAAAGCCUUUGUGGGUAAUGUCACAAACACCUUUACAUAGUUGGAAGGCUGAGUAAGUGAGAGCCAAAAUGGUUACAACCAAACAGUACCUACAUGAAGGCAACCAGAAUAUCUUAUGUGAAUGAACAUCGCCGCUGGUGGAUCAGACCAAAUUAAAAAUGAGCAUAAGUUUGGAUUAGAACAGAAGAACUGCUUUUUCCAAAACUAAAGCGAAUCGCCCAAUUAAAAACUAAAGGAUUAUAGGAUUAUUUGGGUUAGGAACUCAGACGCCAUCAAAUAUUUCCAAGUUCUUUUUUCUGCCCUCAUAGGUAUGAGAUCCUAAACUACAAACAUUAGAACUAAAAUUUCUUUGAAUUUUGAGAAAUUAUUAUGCUUACGUUAAUUCUGGGUACUUUGUGAAGCCAGCUCGUCCACUUGAUGGGGCCGUGACCGUGAGGGAGAGAGCAGAGACAAAAGAGAAAAGAAGAGCCAAGCUUCGGAGGAAGCAAUGGGAAAAAUAGACAGAGGGUCUAGAGCUCCACCCUGUAGUGGCAACUGAGAAGGAGAAAGGAGAUGGUGUUGGAAACAGCUGUGUUGAUGGAGAUGGUGUUGAUACCGGCUGUAUUACCGGAGAUGCUGUUGGUAAUGGCUGUGUUGCUGGAGAAAGAGCCGCUGCAGGUGAAACGCCAGCCAUUAACCUACAAGCAAUCACCACCAAGUCUUUUUCUUCUUUCAUUGCGCCCUCUCUUUUCUAUCUCUUUAGAGAUAAUAUUCCUGAAGAAUGGAAGGGAAGAUAGAAGGCAUCUUCCUAGGUCCUCAACCCUGUUGAUAAACUUAGAAGAGUUUGGUUCGAAGUCAGCAAGUCAACAUUUAAAACGAACAUGCUUAGGUAAUUACUUUAGGACUUAAAAUCAUCAAAUCACAAGAAGCCAUGUAAGCAUGUAGGGGUGAUUCUUGGAGAGAUGAAGCUUCUUGUCCCUAAACGCUUCCCAAUUCAAAAAGGAGGCAGGUAAUCGAAAGAGAAAUGUUGAUGUCAACCCUCGUGAUUUAAGAAGUCCUGAAUCAAUAAAAAAUAGCACACUUGUGGAAAACCAACAACAUGUUAAAGAUAAAAAGCUUACCCAUGUGAUUUUUUUGUUUUGUAGUGUGAUUUGUUUUGACCAGUAACUUCACUGACGGGAUAAGGGCACAAUGAAGGGAUACAGAGACAUCAUCAUUUUGGAACAUAGAUCAAUGUUCAAUUCAAUAAUUCAUUCUAAAGAUACAAGUUUGUCAUCAGGAAGGGCCAUUUAUUGCCCAAAUAGCAAUGGAAUAAAGUGAUCCAAACAUGUAUAUCUACCUUAUUUCAUUUGUAGGAUAAAGGAGGUAAUUCAUUAGCUUAAGCCCUAAACUCAAAGAAGGAUCCAAUUUAUCAGUUCAUAAAUGUUUGAUGAAGUCCAAUGGAUUUUUUCUGGCCCCAGUGUGAUCUGGGUGGGGGUGCUAAGUAUUACAUGGUGUUUCCACAUAAAUUUCCUCUUCAAGGCUUGGAAUGAUACCCCCAUGGGUUAUUACUAGCCCACUUCCAUUGAUCCCUGCACAUCUCCGCUAUACCAUACUUUGCCCUGAAAUGGUAUCCCAAAAAUGGCUGUGAGAACUAAUACGAAUUAUGCAGGAUCCACCAGAAGGAGCCAUACACAACAACUAUUUCAACAUCAUACGAGUUAUAACAAGCAUGAGGAGAAGAAUGGAACAAUCCAACAUCAUCAGCAAUGUGACAGAAUGUGCAUGUCAUAUAGCUAAUUAUGCAGAAAGAGAAAUAUCCACAAACUUACUUCCAACCAAGCUCUUUUGCAGCUUUCUCCGUAGAAGCGUAAACAGCAGUUGCAUCCCCUGCUCGCCUUGGACAUAGUUUGAUAGGGAUUUUCUGAAAGUUUCAAAUAAACCGUGGCUUAUAAUUUACCAGUGAGGGAGAGGGAGAGAGGUAGAGAGAGAGAGAGGCUUGGGUGGGGAGGAUAAACUAGGGACCCCAAGAUGAUGGUUACCUUGCCAGAUGCUUUCUCAAAUGCAGCAACCAUUUCAAGUACUGAUGUACCUUGCCCAGUCCCCAAGUUGUAUGCAGUGCAGCCUGAUAUGAGAUAGUGCAAUCAAAAACCCCAGGGAAAGUAACAAGGCUUUUGCCAUUUGAAACUAUUUUCCACUGAAAAGCUCAGAUUAUACUCCUAUAGUGAAUGGGGAGAACAUGAGUUAAUUAACAUGAAAUCAUCUACAGAAAGAAGUGAUCACCUAUAUCCUCUGAUGUGAAAAGCUUCCGGAGAGCGGCAAUAUGACCGUCUGCUAGGUCCAUAACAUGGAUGUAGUCUCGUAUCUAUCAAUCAAAACAUUAAUUAGCAUUGAAGGAAUAAAUGAAAAUCUGUUUUAUGACCACAGGAUGACCAUAGUGUUUAUGGAUUAGCAGUAUUCCAAAAAUGAGCAUUCAAGCAGAAUAUAUGCUUCAACUUCUAGAUGGUACUCGGUCACUUCUAUCCUACAUAACACUUAGUUCCAAAGCAAAAACAUGAAAGAAGAAUGAACAUACCGCACUACCAUCCCUUGUGGGAUAGUCAUGACCAUAAACAUUAAGCUCAGGCAAUCUGCCAACAGCCACUUGUUGUAUGUAGGGCAUGAGAUUAUUUGGGAUACCCUUUGGAUCUUCACCAAGUUUACCACUUUCAUGAGCCCCAACAGGAUUAAAGUACCUCAGUAAAAUAAUUUUCCAAUCAGGUUCUGCCUUUUGAAUGUCACGAGCAAUUUCUUCAAGGAAAAGCUUCAACCAUGGAAUAAGACUAUAUUUAGGUAAGCAAGGAAUUAGACUACAUUGGCACUGUCUCAAAGGUGUUUGUCCAGACUUGAGCAUCAAACAGAUGGUUAUCAUAAACUAACACAAAUUUGAAAUAAAAUAGGAUAAUUUUUAGGGACAUGAUGAAAUUUUACCUUAGUACGGCCAUAUGGAUUCAUGGCCAUUAAGUUGAAAUCCUCGACACAUGGAAUUUUGUCAGGUUGACCAUAAACAGUUGCAGAUGAUGAGAAAACCAUCUAUUCAGAAUCAUAGUACUUGUAUCAUUAGUGGACAGAGCAUGACAUGAAGCCAAUGCAGAAAGGUAAAAGAAACAUUAAGUGGUUUUCACAUAUGGAUUCAACAGGACCAAUAAAUGUCAUAGAAACUGAAGAAAAGAGAGGAAGAAACUAUAGAAAAUCAUAAAAUCAAUUUUUUCUUGAAAGUAUUGAAUAUAGCAGCUUCUAUAUAUUAUUGUUUUACAUAAAAAAUUUUGGUAUUACUAGUCAAUGAAAACUUCAUCAGAAGUGCAAAUACAUUGAGCGAGAGAACGAAAGGAACAAUGCGAGUCAUUUUGGUGAAAGAGCAAAAUAUAUUGCAAGAGAGAAGGAAAACAAUCAGAAGGGUUCCAGAAAUCUGCAAAAACAUUCCCACAUUGUAGUAUCAUAACAAUGUGGAUGGGAAAAUCUUAUCACAGGAAGUGGCCUUGCAGUGGUCUAAAAUUUUCGUAUCCUCCAUAUAAUUUCAUAGUCCAUACACAAAGAAAGUCAUACCUUAUGGUAUCUAAUAAGCAUUCAACAAAAGGGACAUCUAGAACAACAGAGUUACCUUCCUCCAGAGGCUAAAGCACGCAUUUCAUAGAGUUUGAUGGGAUGCAAGCAAAAGAAACUAAAGUUUAUUUUUCAUUGCUCAACAAAACACAAGAAACAGUACAACAUAUCUAUAAACUUUAUUAGUAAAAAACAUGACCCAGCAAUUGCUAUUCAUCAUGAUAAAUAAGUCUUCCAAAAUAGUAAUGGACUAAUGCUGAGCUACUUUAGAAAAACAUGAUACUUUCCUUCCUCAUACAAGUUCCAAUUGAACCAGUUGACUAAAUCAGAGAAAGCAACCAAAAGAAUUGGCAGACACACCUUUUUACAGUUAUAUUUCGCCAUGAUCUCAUAGAGAUUAAUUGUGCCAAUCAAAUUGUUAUCAAAAUAGCGGCGAGGAUUCACUACACUCUCUCCUACAGCUUUAAGGCCCGCAAAAUGGAUCACAGCAUCAAAUCUGUUACAUUGUCAAACAUAAAGCACAAGACCCAAAAUACCAAAUCAAAAUUUUCGUAAAGAAUUAAUGUAAAGCGACAAAUGAUGAAAUAAGUCUGAGGACCAGAAACAUUAAGAAAUAAAUAAAUAAAUCCCCAUUAAAUAAGAAAAACUGUAAGUUGCAAUAGAAUUAGUAGAAAGAAUAAGAACAGGAAUAAUACAUAUUUGAUCUGUUUGUCACUCCUAUUACAGUGUGGGACCAUAACAAGAAAAGGAACCACAAGUAAUUCUCGACUAAAAUGUGAAUAGGCUCACUUUGAAAUUAUCAAAAUCGAAAAGAAGGGGUCAAAUCCGCAUACUUGGUUUGAGAAAAAAGCUUCUCCAAAUCCGCCUUAUUCCUAAGAUCACCCUGCAAUCAAUCCAAACCAGUCAAAUCCACGACGAAUUAGCACAAAAUGAGAAAAAGAAAAAAAUAAAAUAACUUGAGCUUUCCAAAGAUUGCGGAAAAAAAGUCUAAAACUAGUUUGAAAAAAACGAUCAUUCCUUGUCCUUUUCCUCCCACAUUUUCUCAGAAACCAGCACUCAGACUCACAAAACCCCACACAAACAACUCCUGAUCCGAUCCCGUACCAGAUUGAAAUGGAGUUUCCGAGAGAGCUCAGCACCGACCAAGUCCCGGACCCUCUCAAUAGCCUCCAGAACAGAAUUAUCAAGGUUGUCGAUAAUCCAAACCGUGAAUCCCUCACUCAGCAGCUGUACCACAGUGUGAGUGCCGAUGAAUCCGGCACCACCGGUGACGAGAAUCGUCCGAUCGUACAACGCCAUUGCCUAGAAAAAAUGCGAUGAGAGAGAAGUAGAGAAAAGGAAUGAUUAAGGAAGCAAUGUCGAGAGAAAUAAAAGAGAAGAUUUAGGGUUUGAGCAAAUCAAGGAAUCAGUUAGGUCUUGGAUAAGCACAGAGAGGGAAAGAAAGAGAGAGAAAGAGAGAAAUGGGUCAGUGACUCGAAUUUGUUGUUACGUUUUAAUACAGGUAUGUCUGUUGCCGCGCUUUUCACUGUUGGUCACUGAGUCAUGCGCACGUCAACCUCAAGAGGCAGUUUUUUAGAAGUGGGUUAAGACGAUAACGGAAUGGAUAAACGUUCCUUUUUUUUUCCAAAAAAAAAAGAUUUUUCAUUUUAAUUUUUAACAAUUAUUUUCUCUUUUAUUAUGAAAUUAAUAUUUUAAUUAAAAUAAUUAUAUACAAGGAAAAGAAAUGUUCUUUAAAAGAUAUCAUAAUCAUAUCAAUUCUUUUUCCUAAAAUAAUAUGCUAUUUAAUGCUAUUUAAAGUAUUUAGAACUCAAUUAAGGAAUAUUAAAAAUCAAUUCAAAAGAUCCAAUUUUUAUAUUGAUAUUUAAAAAAUCAAUAAUUAUUUUUCUAUAAGGUUAAAAAAUAAAAUUUUAUGACAAAAUCACUAUUUUAUUUUUAUUUUUUAUUUUUUAUUCAUUCAAUUUUAAAAAAAAAACAUAAUAUUUUUUUCUUUUUUUAUAAUUUACCUUUUCUAUUAAAAAUAAAAAAUAUAUAUAAAAUGUAAUAACUCUUACAUAAAAAUAUGAAUUUUUCUUAAAUUCUUAAUAAUUAUUUUUAAAAUUUAACACAAAAAUUAUAAUUAUUUAUUUAAAAUUGAAGGUUAAAAUUGCCAGUAAUUUCUUCAAAUUGGAAAAUAUAUUAAAGUCAACAAAUCUAAUAAUUUUAAAACAUGUGGAUAAGCUUGAAAAGGGGCUGAAAUUUUGAAAGACUCAUACAAGUGAUAAGGAUGAUAGUUUUGGACAAAAACAAAAGUACAGGGAUAAUGAUCAUUUUAUUUCAUUCAAUAAUUGCCUCUUUGUGAUUUCAGAGCUUUUUUUUUCUCUACCAUAUCAUAUAUAAUACCUUAUUUAGGACAAUAAUUUGAUACUCAAUCAUACUUAACCUAAAUUAAAAAAUAACCAUCUAAAAACGAUCACAUUUAAUUCGAUAUAUUUAAUCUAAAUCAAGUAUAAUCUCAUUGGGAAUAGUCAAAUUUGAUCAAGUUAUAUAAUAUAUUAUAAAUAUUAUAAAGUAUUAAAUCGAGUUUGGGCCACAUUUAGAUUAUUUGAACCUUGGUUUACAUCCUAAAUUGAAAAUAAUUUACGGUAAGUUCAACUCAAAUAUUAGAAAUAAUUGUCUAAGUGCGUUCAAAUAUUAUGUUUGAUUUAGUUUAAAUCGGGUCAAUCCUUCCGAAAAUUGCACCAGUUACCUUAUUUAAAAAAAAAUAAAAUAUUGUAAUAUAUCUUAUUAAUUAUUAUUAAUACAAAUAUUUUUAGCAUUUAUUUGUGAAAAUUUACCCAUGUUUUCCCGAAAAAUAUUAGACUCCCUAAAACAUAAACCAAUAUAAUCAAGAAAAUCAUGAUAAAGAGAUUUUAAGACAAUUUGUUAUGAAUCAUUUAUUGAUUCAUAACAAAUAUGAAGACAACAAAAUGCGAGAUGAAUUUAUAUCAUGGCCUUUUGAUCUUUUGAGAAGAUAAAAAAUAAUAAGCCAUGAUAAUUUUCACAUUCCCUUGAUUUGUAGGGUAAGUUUGAUUUCCAAAAAAUUUGAGCAAAAACUUAUUAUAUUUGGCUCCUAUAAAAUAUUAAGGAAAAAAAAAGGUAAAAAAAUAAUUUUUUCAUAUUUGAUUUUAUUAUGAAAAAUACAAAAAAGUAAAUUUAAUGAGAAAUUUAUAUAUUUUCAAAUUAUUUAAUGUUUAAAUAUCUUAAAUGAGUUUUAAAUAAAAUAUAAAAUAAUUUAUUAUUUUUUAAUAUAUUUUUUAUUUUCCUUCUUUUUUUUCUUUCUACUUUCCUAAUAAAAAUUUAAGAAAAGAAAAGUAGAAAAAAAAUAGAUUUAAAGGCAAUAAAAUUAUUUUUACUACCUCAAACUGAUUUAAUUUAUUUUAGUUUUUUUGUGUAAAGGUUAAAUAAUAUGAAAAUGUAUAAACUAUUAAUUAAAUUAAAUUAUAUUUUAUUUUUUAUAUUUUUUUUAGUAAAAUCAAUAAUAAGAAGGGGAGAAUUAUGUUUUGGGGGUAGAUGGGCCCCCAAAUUAACAAAAGGUCCAUGCAACUCUUUAAAUUGAGCCUAAAACCCAAUGAAAGUAUGAAAAUUGAGUUGAAGGAUAUCAUCCUUCAGUAUUUCCAAAAAUGCCCUUUGUUGAUUUUGAGAAAAAAAAAUUAAUAUUUUUGAAAAAUACUUUUAUUUAAUUUAAUAUUUUUAAAAAAUACUUUUAUGUAAUUUAAUAUUUUUUAAAAUACUUUUAUUUAAUUUAAUAUUUUUUAAAAAUAAAUUUAUUUAAUUUAAUAUUUUUUAAAAAUAAAUUUAUUUAAUUUAAAAUUUUAAAAAAAAUUAAUUUAAUAUUUUUUUUAAAUACUUUAAUUUAAUUUAAUAUUUUUGAAAAAAAAAUUAUUUAAUUUAAUAUUUUUGAAAAAAAAUUAUUUAAUUUAAUAUUUUUGAAAACUACUUUUAUUUAAUUUAGUAUUUUUGAAAAAAAAAAUUAUUGAAAAAAAUUAUUUAACUUAAUUUUAUAAAAUAUUUUAUAUGUGUUCUUAAAGGGUAUAUUUGUCUGUUACUAUUUCAUAUCCUUCAACUCAAUUUAAGGAGUUAUAUGGACCUUUUAUUAAUUUGGGGGCCCAUCUACCCCCAAAAGAUAAUUCUCCCAAUAAGGAAUUUUUUUUCUUUGUAUUUUCCUAAAACAUAGUGGGUAUUUAAUAAAACUUAAUAAUUUAAAUUGACAUUAACUUAAAUUGUUCUUAAGUUGUUAACUUAAAACUUUUAUUUAUUUUUUUACUUUUAAGCAUUAAGGUUAUUUGGUAAAAUUAAUUUAAAAUUUAUUUUAAGUUAUUAAAUUGACAAAUUUAUCUUUAUUAAUUGUAACUAAUGUUUAUUAUUAAAAAAUUUAACUAAUAUUUAUUUUUAUAAAAAUGAGUCAAGAAUAAGGAGUCUUGGUUAUUAAAUAUAUUAUCAUUAAAUGUGAACAAAUAACAAAAAUGGAAUUAAAAAUAAAUUAACUAUUUUGACUUAAUAUUUAAAGUCAUUUUUAAUUUUAAGUUGUGAUAUUAAAUUAUUUUACUAAACAUUAGUAAAUUUACUUAAUAACUUAAAUUUAGUAAGUCAUUUUAAGUUAUUAAGUUGAUUUACUAGAAACAAAUUCAAGAGUAUCAAUCAUUUUUCAUCUUUUUUUUUUUAUAUCUAAUUAAUCAAAAUUACUUUAUAAGAUUAUAGAAGAAUAUUUUUAAAUAGAAAACAUUUAUAGAUUUAAAAAAGAAAAUUGAAGCCUACUUAUUAAAAUUACUUUAUAUGAUUACACUAAAUAUUUCGAUAUAUGACACAUUUAUUGCAUUAAGUUUUUUUUGAAUAAAAUUGAUAAUGAGAUUUUGAAAAAAAUAAAUAAAUUUGCAUAUUCAAGAGCAUGUUUGACAAUGUUUUAGGAAGUGUUUCUACCCUUUCUCCUAAAAACAUUGUAAAACAGACUCUUAAGAAUUAUUCUUCGGAAUUUCAAAAAUCCCUUUAUUUAGUUAUCAUCAUAAACCUUAGCCAAUAUCACAUUUUCACCAAAUCUGGCAAUGAUCUUCCUGAUCUGCAAAUGGUGGAGGAAGAUUUUCUAAAGAUAACUGAGAAUCAUCCAAGAAAAGGAAUUUGGAAUUUGAGUGCACGUCUGCAACUCCUCAGGCAUCUUACUUUCCGUAGCAAAUUGGAAGAGAAAAAUUGACCACUUCCAAGUUGGACUGACGUGCCAUUAUGCCUGACGAUUAGUUUGGUGUUCAAGCAAACCUGCACCAAUAGCUGCUGCUGCGUUCAUAACUGUUACCAUCUCAACCUUUCAAUUAGCUUAAAAGAAUAUUGAAAGCUUCAUAGCAGAGAAUAAAAAGAGAUCAUACAAGUUCAAAAUGAACCUAAUUGCCCUUUAUUAGCAUUUGUACAGAAAAUGAUCAGGGAUUAUUUGAACGAAGCUCGAAAACUAACUGACUAAAUCCUAAACGAGCCCCUGUUUACCAAAGGGGAGGCAACCCCUUUUGAUGUAGAGGCCAUUACAUUUCUCCAAACCUUGCCUGUUUUCAGUCCCUCCUUUUUUUUUCUUUUUUUUUUUGAGAAAUUUAAUUGCUGUCUUCUAAUGAAAAAUAAGAGAUGAAGAUGAAAAGGUUCAUAUAACCAGUGAAGAACACUGAGACCUUUGUAUUUAAAUCCAGCAGAGACACAGGACUUGCCUCCAACCAGCAAUGAAAGGGAAAAAUUAAAAUGUCUUUACUUUCCAUCAGAGUUGGCACUGGUUCCCACCAGUAGUUCCACUGUUGGAACUGUGAAAUCUCACUUUGUACAUGUGAACGGCUCUUCUCCAUUAUCAUCUAAUUCAUUCUGAUCAGUUCUCUUCUUCAAGAUGGUCAAUGACCAUGGCAUCAGAAUGCUGAUUUUAUAAUCUGCAAAACAAGGAGGGUAAGAGAGAAGAAUGGAUAAAUUUUGAAAAGAUCACACAGCUCAAGAAUGGGGGAAAAGCAAAGUUCAAUUCAUGCAUUCAAGCAUACAUAGAUAUCAAGAACUAUAAGAACUUCCAUUCAGAGAGCAAAUGAAAAUUCAAUCAUGCCAAAAGGUAAUUCAGUCAGCUCCAUUUCAAAAGAUAAACCCCUAAUUUCAUCCUAUUAUGAUUUCCAUAGGCUUUUAUUGCUUAGAAAAACAAUUAUCAUGCAUAACAACCGAUUGAACAGACCUGACUAACCCAUUGAUUCUCCAUAUUGUAGGCAACUAUGAAUUGAAACUGCUCUUCUAUUCUCAAGUAUAUGUACAACAGUAAAAUUUUCUUGCCAAAUAUUUUUCUUUUCUCAAAGGGUAAAAAAUGAUUUACAGAAGAACACUCUACUUCGCAUGUAGGUUCAGCAUCCAGAUGGGAUCCAUCAAUACGUGAGUUCAUUUCACAGUAGUUACUGAUAAAUGCAUUUAUGCUUUCAUUUGAAUGCAAAGAAAAAUGGAAAAGAGACUAAUAGUAAAAAGGUUUGGUUCCCAAAAAGUAUUAAUGAAAAGAAAAAAUGUUAAAGAAAAUGAAUUUCUAAUGUUUGGUUUAUCAUGGAAAACAUGAAAUAAAAUUAAAUAUAAUUAAAAUUAGUUAAAAACUUAUUCAUUUUCAAAUUAUUUAAUAUUAUAUAAAAAUGAAAAAUAAGUAAGAUAAAUUUGAAGAAGUAUGUAAAAGCAAAAGAGUGUGAGCGGCAGUGAUGUCCAAGUUUUUUCUUCUUCUUCAGUAUUCAGAAAUCAAACCGAGCAAAGGGAAAGAAUAAAAAAGGAUUGAAUUAUAUUUACCAAAAUCACCUUAAGGUAUCAAGACUCUGUUGGCACUAAAAUUAACAUCUGGAGUUGCAGUCGAAGAAACUGAGGUGCCACAUUUAACUCUGGAUGGAUCCCAUUCCAUAUCAAACGCAUAUUCCAAGCAUCUUCCCAGAGUCUUCACAGAAACUGGAGCUUCGGGUUUACAGAGGGAAGCAACCAAACCCUGCUUUGCAUUUGGAAAAGCUUUGCUGCUGUUGAUAUCUUCACCAUUCUGAGUACAUGGGACUGUUUGUGCAGGUGUGGAGCAAUCAGAAAAGUUGUUGCUAGAUUUUCGGGAAGUUCGCUUUCUUAUAAUAGAGGGAGUAUUUCUGAAACUCAUUGCUGAGCUCCUUAAUAUAGAUUCUGGACUCCUGCUGUUAAUAGAGACACUCUGUGCAACUUUGGGAGUGGUAAAACCACACGAUGGACUGCUUGAAUACCUAGUAUGGUUGUCUGUACUUGGAAAACAAUCGUUCUUUGAAGCAACCAACAAGUCCUUCGAAUGUAUUGGCUCAUAACAAAACCAACUAUUCUUUAUAUGCUCUGACUGUAAAGGUGUUGAAUUAAGUUUGCUUUUCUUGCCAACUUGGGUAUCAUCAUCACCAAAUCGAAAUGCUGAGAGGCUAGAAAGGGAAUCGCCUGUUUCACUACUAAAUCUCAAAUCUGUAACACUCAAAUCAUAAGUCCAAGGCCUUUUAGGAGAUUCCAGUCUUCGCUUAGAAGUGAGAGAAGCAACAGCCUCAGGAGCAUUACAAGGAUUACAGUUUUUUUUAACAGAACCAGGAAGACCCAAGGGAAUAGACAAAGGUUCACACAUAUUUGCAUGAUUGUCAUUGUCUGUGCAUGGUUCACCAAUAACAGCAGUACCAGUGGCAUCUUUACCAUCAAACUGAAAUCCAUUUGGCAGAUUUAAAUCCCCUCCUGAAGGGAUAACAGAUUUUGGUUCUAAACAAUUCUCUCCUCCAUAAGCAUUUCCAAGAACCAAAUCAGUCAAACAAGUCCCAACAGCAUACUCUGACCCGUCUUUCUGAUGAAGAGAGACUAUUUCACCGUGAUUCUGCUUGACAGCUGUGCCCUUCGUGCUGUUUGAAUUUGUUUCACAAUUUUGGGAAUCAGGAACGAUAGCUCCAUGUUUAUCCAAGGUGGAACGGGCAACUAAUUUGGUCUCCGAUUUCUUCUUUAUUGAGCAAUUCCAAUGAUUUUUUAUUGCAUUGUCAUUCCUGCCAUUUUCAAAAAGAUAUGAAAAGAUAAUACCACAUCCAGGAGUAAUUCAUUUGUUCUAUCUAGUGAGAACAUGCAUUAAAUUAUUUUUUUUUAAGAAUGAAAGAAUCAUAUUCAAAACAAAAAUCAGGUACUUCCACCCAGAAAUUGCAUUUUUUGAGGGGGGAAAAAGCCCUAGCCAAAAGGAUUUGAUUGAAAAAAAGAAUGCAACCAUGAUCUGAUUUAGAUUCAAAAAUACCUACAAAAGAACCAUUUAGCCUUUAAGUUGAUAAAGACAACUUCAUAUUACCCUGUAGAGCUUUGUAGAUCCAAAGUACAGUAUCUCUCUCCUAAUGCAUGGUUUUAAAUCAAACAGAAGAAUCUCUCCCCUAAUGAAUUUCACUUUUAGAUCAAAAUAGAGCAGAAUGGUUUUUUCUUUUUUCCUUUUGCCUCAAAUAUCCAAAAUGUAAAUAGAAGUCAAAGUAAUUUUGAGUUCUCUAAAAUGCAUUUUUUUGGGGUUACUUUUUAUUUGUCAAAGACAUUUGAAUAUUUCCCUCUUUUAUUGCAGGGAUAAUGUGAUAAAGAUCUUUCUAUAUAUCAUUAAUGAUUCAGUUCAAACCUUCCAGGCAGGAACCUUGCUAUUUCUGCCCACUUGUUCCCAUAAAGUUGAUGAUAGUACGUAAGAAUUGCCUCCUCUUCUUUGGUCCAUGCAUCUUUCUUUAUAGCUGGGUCUAAAUGGUUGUGCCACCUGAAAAAUCGAUUUGUGACUUCAGAAUUUUGGAAUUAAUGUACUCUAUGUACUCUAUAUAAGAACAAAUACAUUGAUGGGGCACAACAAUAUGCUGAAAAUGUUAGAAUGUAUGGAUCUUGAAGCACAUUCAUCUGCUUAGAACCAAUUAAAUUAUUUGCUUGUGACUUAGGUGAUACUUUUGCACACUAAUUAAGACAACUGGACGGCUUUGGUAAUAUAUAAUCAUUAUACAUAUGCAAUAGAGAAUACCAUCAGCAUAAAUCACCAACAUAGAUCUCCAAGCAGAUGAUAUACAAAACCAAAAGGUCAAUAGUGAAAAGGGUAUUCCUUCCUAGCUGUUGUAAUGCAUUUACAUGAUAAAGAGUUCCCAAAAUUGGAGCAAGCAAAAACAUAAGAAACUACAAAAACAAUCACACUUCUUAAAGCAUGUCAAAAUACCCUUAAUGAGAACUCAGGAAGGUCUCAGAAGUCGACAUUGUUAAUAACAAGAAAGAAGAAUGUACAUAGAAUGCCAUAACGUUGGUGCCUUAACUAGAUUUUACAUACCUUUCUCGGCAUUGCUUGCCUAUGCGGCCUGGUAAGGCCUUUGCAAUCAUAGACCAUCUCUUACAACCAUACUUUUUAACUGACUCAACAAUGCAGUCAUCCUCCUGAAAGUAAACAAGCCACAAUCACAUUUAAUGGUAUCAUAAUCUUCGAGAACACAACAAGCAGUAAGGUUUGUUUUUACCUCCUUCGUCCAAGGUCCUUUGACAAGUUCAGGAUUUAGAACCUUCUGCCAGCGAUGCAAGCACUGGAUAUCUGUCCGUCCAUGAAGAUACUCAGCUGUAUAAAUUCAAAAGAAAUCAAAUCAACAACACUGAGAAAGGCAAUGAGUAGUAUGGCAUUUUUACCCAAUUUCUUGGUAUGUUUUAUCCAAUUAUUACACAAACUGGUGGAACAAUAAAAAAAAAUUAAUCAAACAUUCUACUGCAAUAGAAAAUGCCAUGCUCACCUAUUUUCUUCCAAUUUCUUCCAUUGAAGUUUUUCACAACAGUAGUUAAAAGAUUGUCCUGUCCAUCAUUUAAGGAAAACCAAAAAGUAAGUUAUGAUGUGCUUACUGAGGUUAGAAAGCUUCAGCGGUGCAAAUUCAAGAUAACAAGAAAGAAAACAAUUAAAUCUAGAAAAGAUGUAGGCAGUAAUUUCUCAAUUUCGAACUUAUUGUAUUCUUCCAUUUUUGUUUUUCUUCUUAUUUCCUACACUCUGAAUACUCUAAAAAUGAAAAUUUAUUUCAAGAAACUUUAUGAGAAACAGUAAGCUGGCCAAUUUGAAUCUGCUGCUCAUCUACUUCCCCACUUAUGCAAACUAUAUAAGCUGACCAAAGCAGAAACUUCAGUGACUAACCUCUUCCUCUGUCCAUCCUCCCUUUGUUGAUCGUCUGGUCGGACCAGUUAUCCUCCUACAGAAAAUAGCCCAUAUCACAGUUAUCACAGUUCUAUGCAGGAAAAAGAAAGUUGCCCACCAAAGAAAAGAAUCUUUUGUAAGCCAUAUCAAGCAGCAAUCAGGGGAGGGAAAUCAUCAAAGAUUGGUUGACAGUGCAAAAAACGCCAUCAUCUAUACCAAUAAGGGUGACUUGAAACAACUUAAAUGUGCUACUGAAGAAGAAGACCAGAAGAAAAGACUGAAAUAAGACAUGAAUAUGGCCUAUAGUUUUAAACAUGCCUAUGUUUUUUAGAAAGGGAAUGAGCCCAAAUUUUCAUAUUUUGAUAAGUGGGCUCUCCUGAUUUGAACUGUAGCUGAGCUUAAAUAAGCAAGGUUAGUUAACUUUAGGUUUUAUUUUAUUUUUUCCAGUACACUUUGGAAGAAAAUUUAACCACCGCACACAAUGAAGUCGUAAUGACUUAACCAAACAUAACAAAUAUUAAAACCAGUAAGAUCACCCCCUCACGUGGUUGGGUUUUCAAUUUCCCAAACAUCCCCUACAGGUAUUCAUUGAGCUUAAUCAAGUAAAAUGAAGUUAAUCCAAAAGCGAUAACUACCUGAAUCAAUAUUCUGAUACUCCAGAACAUUCUAUUACAAAUUUAAUGUAUAUCUUCACAUAACCAGUGAGCCUGGAUGAGGUUUAUACUGAAUAGCCAACGGCAAAUUUAUCAUCUACUAACACAGGCCCUUUAAAAUUUUAACUUAUCAAUCAAAAAGCUUAACCGAUAAACUGUAACUUAAAUUGGGAAUCAAGGCAGAUCAAAAUGCUAUAAACUAGGUUAGUUAACUUUUGGUUUUAUUUUGUUUUUCCAGUACAGUUUAGGAAGAAAAUUUAACCACUGCAUGCAAUGAAGUUGUGAUGACGUAACCAAACAUAACAAAUCUUAGAACUGGUAAGAUUACCACCCACGAGGCUGGGUUUCAAUUUCCCAAACAGCCCCUACAGGUAUUCAUUGGGCUGGAUCAAGUACAAUGAAGUUAGCAAAAAGUGGAUAACUACCUGAAUCAAUAUUCUGAUACUCCAGAACAUUCUAUUAUAAAUUUGAUAUGAAAUCUAAAUAAAUAUCUUCACAUAGCCACCCUGGAUGAGUGAGGUUUAUACUAAAUAGCCAACAGCAAAUUUAUCAUCUACAAACACAGGCCCUUUAAAAUUUUAAUUAUCAAUCAAAAAGCUUAAACAUUUUCAAUAAGGCCUGAUAGACUGUAACUUAAAUUGGGAAUCAAGGCAGAUCAAAAUGCUAUAAAUUAGGUUAGUUAACUUUUGGUUUUAUUUUGUUUUUCCUGUACACUUUAGUAAGAAAAUUCAACCACUGCAUGCAAUGAAGUUGUGAUGACGUAACCAAACAUAACGAAUCUUAAAAACGGUAAGAUUACACCCACGUGGCUGGCUUUUCAAUUUCCCAAACAGCCCCUACAGGUAUUCAUUGAGCUGAAUCAAGUACAACGAAGUUAAGCGAACGGAAAUAACUACCUGUAUCAAUAUUCUGAUACUCCAGAACAUUCUAUUAUAAAUUUGAUAUCAAAACUAAAUGCAUAUCUUUACAUAGCCACUUCAGAGCCAGGAUGAGUGAGGUUUAUACUAAAUAGCCAAUAACAAAUUUAUCAUCUACAAACAUAAGCCUUUUAAAAUUUUAAAUUAUCAAUCAAAAAGCUUAAACAUUUUCAAUAAGGCCUGACAGACUGUAAGUUAAACUGCGAUCCAAGGCAGAUCAAAAUGCUAUAAACUAGGUUAGUUAACUUUCAGUUUUAUUUUAUUUUUUCCAGUAUACUUUAGGAAGAAAACUUAACAACUGCAUGAAAUAUAGUUGUAAUAACGUAACCAAACAUAACAAAUCCUAAAACCGGUAAGAUUACCACCCCUGGCUAGUUUUCAAUUUCCCAAACAGGCCCUCCAGGUAUUCGUUGAGCUGAAUCAAGUACAGAGAAGUUGAAGUACAAAGUGAUAACUGCUCGAAUCAAUAUUCUGAUACUCCAGAACAUCCUAUUAUAAAUUUGAUAUGGAAUAUAGAUGUAUCUUCACAUAGCCAGUUCAGAGCCCGGAUCAGUGAGGUUUAUACUAAAUAGCUAACAGAAAAUUUUAACAUCUACAAACACAAGCCCUUUAAAAUUUUAAAUUAUCAAUCAAGAAGCUUAAACAUUUUCACUAAGGCCUGACAGACAGAAACUUAAAUUGUGAACCCAGGCAGAUCAAAAUGGUAUAAACCAGCAAUUUAUCACAUCAAACAGAACUAAGAGAACACAGAAACCUCUAUAUUAUAACAAUUGACAAUACAAGAAAGCAAAUAUGAUCAAGAUGGCAUACUUCUGAGCAGAGGCCGAUCUCAGAGCAGCGGUAUCAGAACUGCUCUCAGAAACCGAAGAAUUGGAAACGAACUCAGCUUCCUUAUUCAAAUCCACAUUACAGUCCUCCUCCUUAACUCCCGACAUGAUCGCGAUCACCACCUCUCCUCCGAAUCAGUCCUGCAAAAAUAAAAAAACGGAGCAGAAGUCAGAACAAACGAAACCAAGUCAAAUCCCAAAAUCACUCACGAAAUCCAUCCCAAUUUCAAUACCCGUUAGAAAACUUCAAGCCUUCCUUCGUUUCCCGCAGUUUCUGAGCACCCAAACACCACUUAACGAAAGCAGUUUCUAGGGCUUAUCUCAAUGAAUUGUCAAGCCUAUGUAACCGCCAAAGAAAUGAGUAGCGACAAGUGUUUGGUAUUCAUAAGAAAGUGAAACUGAACAGAGAAAAAAACUUUGUCUUUCUUUUUUUGGAUUAAAGAAUUAGGGUUUGAAGAGGUGUAGAGACAUUCGGAUCGACACGAAGUAGCGGGAAAGUGAGGAGAGAGAGAGAAAGAGAAACUGGCUUGUUGCGUUUUGAUUUAAACGGCUCACACACAAAAGCUUUCUUUGGAAGCAAUGAGAAGAGAAGAGACGGUCACGGUCGUCUUUUUACGCCGUUUAUUAUACCGUUACAAUUUCUUUCUUUUCCGGCGAAGUUUGUUUUUUCUGCCCGCUGCCUUAUAAUAAACUUCAGUGCCAUUUAUUUUUAGAGUUGAAUUUUAAUAAUUUUAAUUUAACCUUUAUGUGUAAAUAUAAAUAAUAUUUAUAUUCAAAUUUGAAUCAAAUUAUUCCAAUAAAUAAAUAAAUAAGAAAAAUUGUGUUUUGAUUCACUAAUAUGAAAAUAUAUAUAAAAAAAAAACCUCAAAAUUUUAAAAUUAAUAUCAUUUUCAUAUAUUUAAAAAUAAUUUAAAAUAUAUGCAUUUUUUAACGAAUCAUCUAAUUAUUCUCCGGAAACAUCUAUUUGACUUGUCAUAUCAUCAACAUCAUUUAACAAUUACACUCUUUCACAUGUAUUUCUCUUCCUUUUAAAUAUUUAUUCACUCUCCAAGUAAGUAGUUUUUUUUUUUUUUUUCUUAUCUUCAUCAACAAGCAUUCCAUAGGAAAAAUGGCAUCGGCGUAAUGAAAAAAAAAAUAUUUAAAGAGACCGUGGAAAAAACCAUAAGUCUUAUUUUCAACAAAACUCAAACCCAUUUACAAUAAGUUUCCCUACUUUUAAUAUUCACACUCUUCAGUGGGCUGUUUGUUUCUAGAUAAAAAAAUAAUCUCAAAUAAUAAUAAUAAUAAUAAAUGAAAAAUAUAUACGAGUCUAGUUGUCAAUUGAUAUUGAUGACAUGACAAGUCAAAUGAACAUUUUGGAGAAUAAUUGAAUGACUUAUGUAUGUAUUUCAAAUUAUUUUUAAAUAAAUGAAGAUUAUAUUGAUUUAAAAAUUUUGAGGUUUUUUUCUAUAUAUUUUCAUAUCAGUGAAUUAAAACCAACUUUUCCCAAAUAAAUACCAUCAAUGUUGUAACACCUUCUAUUUUUUAAGUUUAUUUUUAAAUAAAAAUAAUAUUUUAAAAAAAUCAUGUGUAAUUUUACUAUGUAAAAAUUUUAAAAUAAAAUAUGUUCAAAUGUAUACCUUUUUAAUUAUUGAAUUUCAUAUUAAGGAAAUCAAAUAAAAAAAUAAGCUUAAAAUAGUAAAUAAAAAUAAUUUAUAUUUUUAAAUUUUUUGUUUUCUAUUCCUUUUUAAUUUUUCUUUUUAUGUUUCCAAAAGCUUGUUUAGCUAUUUAAUUUAAAAAUGUCUUUUUUUUUAAAAAAAAAAAACAUAAACCUAUUUUUAUUUUUUUUUCAACAUUGUUCUACCAUUAUUCUUUGGAAAUAAUUUUUAAAAAUAAAGUGAAAUAGAAAAUAUUUUUUUCACCUAUUUUUAAAAUGAAAAAGGAAAACAUGAGUUAAUUUAUAAACAAGUUUUAGAAAAUAUGACCAAUGAAUCCUAAAUUUCUUAGAAAUCAAACAUAACAUUAACGUAAGAAAUCAAACAUAACAUUAACGUAAUUUUGCUUUUUGAGUGUUAGUAAGGAUUUAACAGUGUAAGAUAAGUCACGGAUUUGAAAAAGGAAAUAAAUUUUCAAAAUGUCGUUUGUAAAUUAUUAACAAUAAAAGAGAAAAUUAAAAUAAAAACAUAAAAAAGAAAGGAACAAGGACGUGAAUUUAUUGACUUUUUGGGGUGACUAAAGUUUAAUGAGAAAAUGAAAAGGGCAAAAAGGCAAGAGUCAUUUUGGAAAUAUUUUAAUACUAAUAAAGGUAUCAUUUGGUUAUUAUGUUUCGUUUAAAGAUAAAACAAUGGACGACCUUCCAUUAUUUUUAGUCUUAUUUUUUAUUUUCAAAACAUAGAAAACAAAAACAUGUUUAACAAUUGGAAUAUUUUUCAAUAUUCAUGGGAAAACACAUCAAUAUUGGACAUGGGUUAUCAAUGAAUGUGGAUUUUCCAUUUUAAUAUUUUGGAAAUUAAAAAAUUAAUUUAUUAUUAUUAUUUCAAAAUUUGCUAUGUAAUUUUAAAAAAUAUAAAAGAAAAACAUUUUUCAAAUGUGAAGUCCAUUGAUUUUUUUGUUUAGCUUAUUAAGGAAAAUACGAAAAAUAAAUAAAUAAAUAAAAUUAAAAUUUUAUAUAUUUUAAAAUUAUUUAAUAUAGAAGAACAAUAGGUGAAAUGAGUUAAAAAAAAAGUGUGUAAACAAUAAUUUAUAACUUUAAGAAUAUUUUUAGUUAUAAAAAAAAAUUGAGAAGAAAAAAAAAUUAAGGAAAAUAACUAUCUCACACAAAAGAAAAUUAAAUAUAAUUAAAAAAAUAUUAAAAAUUUAUAUAUUUUUAAAUUAUUUAAUUUUUAUAUAAAUAAAGAUAUAUUUAAACAUAAUUUAUUAACUUUAAAUUCAUUUUUUAUUUUUUUCUCUAUUUUCUUUCUUUGGUACUUUUACUAAAAUUUUCUAAAAACCAGAAAGAAGGUAAUUUUUUUUUCCACAUUUUAUUCCCUGAUAUAAUAUAUGAAAUAAAAAAGAGAGAAUUAUGUUUUGGGGUAGAUGGGCUCCCAAAUUAACAAAAGGUUCAUGUAACUCUUUAAAUUAAGUCCAAGACCCAAUAAAAGUAUGGAAAUUGAGUUGAAGGAUAUCAUCAUUCAGUAUUUUCAAAAAUGUCCUUUAUUGAUUUUGAGAAAAAAAAUUAAUAUUUUUAAAAAAUACUAUUAUUUAAUUUAAUAUUUUUUAUUUAAUUUAAUAUUUAAAAAAAAUAUUUUUAUGUAAUUUAAUAUUUUUUAAAAUACUUUUAUUUAAUUUAAUAUUUUUUAAAAAUAAAUUUAUUUAAUUUAAUAUUUUUUAAAAAUAAAUUUAUUUAAUUUAAUAUUUUUUAAAAAUAAAUUUAUUUAAUUUAAUAUUUUAAAAAAUAUUUAAUUUAAUAUUUUUUUUAAAUACUUUAAUUUAAUUUAAUAUUUUUGAAAAAAAAAUUAAUUUAAUAUUUUUGAAAAAAAAAUUAUUUAAUUUAAUAUUUUUGAAAACUACUUUUAUUUAAUUUAGUAUUUUUGAAAAAAAAAUUAUUGAAAAAAAAAUUAUUUAACUUAAUUUUAUAAAAUAUUUUAUAUGUGUUCUUAAAGGGUAUAUUUGUCCGUUACUAUUUCAUAUCUUUCAAUUCAAUUUGAAGAGUUAUAUGGACCUUUUGUUAAUUUGGGUGUCCAUCUACCCCCAAAAGAUAAUUCUCCCGAUAAAAAAUAAAGGUAUAUGUUAAGACCUUUCUUAGGUUUCUUCUUUAGGAAGAGUCUUCACUAGUAGACGACUUUUUUUUGUAGGGAUGGGCAUAAGGAUCCCUAAUGCCUCUAAAAAAUUAGGGAUGGGGAGUUAAUGUCUUCUGUUGAAAUCCCCUUAUAGAAUUUCAUGUUAUAUUGUCUUCAAAACUAUGAGAGAGCAUCCAAUAAUCAACCAUAGAGGCCUUACGAACGACCCCUGUUGGAACAUGCUCCCAAGAGUAUGGAGUUGUACCUACCUUUUUAUACAAUGAUGACUCUAACAUAGAAUAAUAGCAUGGUGCCCUAAAGUUGACCAUCCUAAGCACCCUUAACAACAAUCUCACAAUAGAUGUCCAAUUUAGUAUCCCUUAAGUUCUACAAAGAAUAAGAUAAUUAAUUAACAAAUAAUAAUAAUAUGAAAUAAAAAAAAUUAAAAAGAGAUUAGGAAUUGUCAUACCAUCUUCACCUUCUGCAAUAGGCAUUAGAGGAGCACUCUAUGGCACAUUUGACUACCCCUCCCACUCCGUUGCUAACUAGCAAAAAACUUUAGUUCUACCAUUUCUUUGUGAAUUCUAGAAUCCUAGAAACUAAGCACUAAGACCUAUAACUAGGGCAAAUAUACCAAGUAGUGGUUCUAUGAUGCUUGACUUGAUACAAAAAUAAUAGUUCCCCAACUCCAAUUCAUUAUUAGGAGUCAUAUUCAUGAUAGUUAUAGCCAUUAGAGCAAUGGCUAUGUUGGGCUUAAAACAAUGCAAGGGAGCUUUAAUGAAAAAAGAGAAAUGUUGCACUAGUAGUGCAAGUGGAAGGCUUAUCCAACCCUCAAAUGUUCUACUAGGACUAUGCACUCCCUAGGUUUAAGGGGUUGAAGCUCUUCCUUCUAAAGAAAAACAUGAAACUUCACAAAGGAAUGAGUCUUGAAGCACUCAAUGAUGACCUCAAAUCAACCAUAUACUUUUUACAAAGAAAAAAUGAGCAAUGGAGAAGAAAGACAAAAUUUUAAAAAAUAUGAAAGAAAAUCAAAUAAAAGUCUUUAUAUAAGGCACUAGGGAUGGUUGACUACUAACCCACAAUGCUUGAGAACAUAUGGAUAGCCUACACUAAAAAAACACAUCAUCCAUCUUUUGAUUUUCUUGCUCAUUCAUUUAAUUCCCUAGAAAAUUGGGGGAAUAUGUAAGGACGAAAUGAAUUUGUGACAUAUCCUUCCAAGAACUUGAGAUAGCCUUGGUCUAGAAGAGCUAGAAACAACAUAACAAUCAAGGGUAGUCACUAGACCCACCAUCAUCAUGACUCACUAAAUGUCAAUUGAUCAUUUUUAAUCAUUAUAGUGAUGAUAAAAACCCCACUAUGCUUCUCAUGCACUUCCUAAAAAAAUUAUAAAUAGUGAAAUGGUUAAGCCAUUCCUAAACCAUAAUAGUAACCCUUUAAUGACACCAUAUUCAAUUCAAUAAUGGAGUACUAAAUUCAUUCUCCAAAAGUCUAUAAAAUGAUCUAAGAUUGUGCAUAAAAAGGUAAAAGAACAAAAAGUCACUCUCUAUCUGUUUUUCCUUUGAUCAAACUCAUGGUUGACUUGAUCAUUAGUAGAAGGAUCGGUCUAGCAAAGAGUGUAACAAGGUUCUCCACAUAAAUACAAAAUGAAAUCAAGAUUUCAUGAUAGCCUAAAAUCUUUUAUUAUUUUAUAUUUCUCAACCAACUUAAUCUAUUGGUAAUAGUGAUAGUUCGAAUCCAUUGAAUAGUCCAUCGUUAAAAAAAAUUUAUUGGUGACGAAAAAUUUCUAUCGAUAGACUUUUUGCCAACACAUCUUUCUCCGACUACCAUGCAUCAAGAUUAUCCGUUGAUAAAUGUUUAUUCUGAUAGUGUUUAUCAAUUGGGAAAAGUAAAUUUUUUUUAGUGCCUCUUUCCCUUAAAUCAUAGCCCACACACUAGUUUCUUUCGUUUUAUUUCCCUUACCUCAUUCCCCUUCCAUAUUUCUUCUUCCAUCACUUUUUCAAUUUUGAAAAAAAAAAGAACAAAAAUAUAAGAAUAAAAAAGAGAUGGAGUCACAAUUACGCAAUCAUAACACCACCAUGCACUAUUGUAACCAUUGUAAUGCCAUGGCAACAAUAGCACCGUGAUCAUUUUUCUAUUUUUUUUUUUUCAUCCGGGUGAAGAAAGACCAAAAGGAGAAUGGGAAAAAGUUAAGGUUAGAGGUAUGAUUAGGUGUAGGGUUCAAUGGAUAUAGAUAUUCUUAAAGGCAAAAGUGUUUUAAGCAUUUAACAUUUUUUUUUAAAUAAAAUAAAAUAAAAAUAAUAAAAGUAAUAAGAGUGUGUUUGAUAGUAAUUUUGGGAAAUAUUUCUAAUUUUUCUAGUACUUAAAACAUAAAAAAUUUUAAGUCUUACAAAAAUUAAAAACACUUUUUAAAAUUAUUACCAAAUGCAUUUUAAAAAGAAGAUGAAAAUGUUAGGUAGCGAUUCAAUAUCUAUAGAACUUAUAAUUCGAGAAUAUCAUAUGAAAUCUAAAUUGUUAGAUAAAAGUAUAAACAAAUGAAACCAAAAUUAUAAAAAAAAAAUAAAAAAUCAAAUUGUAAAUGUGAUCUGUAUUAAUUGUUCACACUAUGGGUAACAUCAAUCAGUAGUCAAUAUUUAGAAUCCCAUAAACAAGGCUAUUCAUUGUGAAUGAUUUAGAACUUAAGGGAGUGUUUGGUGCUCGGGAAUAGAGAGUGGGAAUAGACAUCUCAUUCCUUUUCUCCCUUAUUCCUAUGUUUGGAUAAAUGUUAAGAAGGCGGAAAUGAAAUAAAAAUUUGUUCCGACAGAAAUCAAAUCCAACUUAUGAGUCAGAUUUGCAUUCAUUAAAAGUAGGUGGUAUUCUGAUUCAUUAAACCUAUUUGAUAAUAUAAAAUAACCUAAAUUACUAUUUUACCCUCUUAUCUUGUUCUUCAAACCCGAUGUUUAUCUUCUUUGUAAAGGUAGAGAUUCAUUCAUCAUCCACUUCUUAUCUUCUUUGCAAAGCUAGAGACCCACUCAUCAUUCAAUUCUCUACAACAAGUGAUUCUUCCAAAUUGAAUCAAUUAAACCUUCCACGAUAUUUAAAAAAAAAAAAUCAAUUUCUAAUUUAUAGAGUUUUGGAUGUUCAUUUUGAUUGUUGGAUCUAGGUUCUGAAAACUCCCUUCUACAUCUUCGAUCAGGUUUACCUUAUUUUCUCUUUCUUCUUCUACUUCUUUAUAUGUGUUUCUUCUUCUCUAUAAAUCUAUUAAUUUUUUUUAUUAAUUUAUGUUUGGAAUCUAAAUUUGAAUUAUUUAAAAUUUUGAUAAAAGAACGAAUAUUUAAAAUUUUUUAAGGUUAUGGAUUUUAUCGGAUAUGAUACUUGUUGAAAAUUAGAAUAAAUUUGAAUUCUUUUAUUUCCUUUUUUGAAAAUAGAAAAAACAUUUGCUAGCUUUGAGAAUUUAAAUAUUAUAAUAAAUAAUUUUUUUUGAAAAAUAUAAUUUUAUAACUACUUAAGCAUGACAAAUUAUUCAAAUUUUUAAUAAAAAUAAUAAUUGAAUAUUUGUGCAUUAGGGUUAUACGAUUUUUUAUGGUUAAUUUUUUAUUUAUUGAGUAUAUAUAUAUUUUUUAGUCUUAUUAUUUAAUAACAAAAAACCUCUCAAAAUUUAUUUUUUUAAAAUAAAAGUAAAAAUAAAAAAAUAUUUUAAAUUAUAUGUAAGGAUAUUAUUGUAAAUUUAUUUCUUUUUCAUUUCCAUUCCUAUUAUUAUCAAACAUUGGAAUGGAAACAAAUAAUCAUUCCAAUCUUGCAUUCCUAAGUUCAUCCAAAUGCUAGAAAUGGAAUCAUCAAAUUCAUUCCAUUCUAUUUAAAAAUAGGAAAGGAAACAAAAUAUUAUUUUCAUUCCCUAUUCCGAUGUACCAAACAAUUAAAGGGAAAUAAUCAAUGUCAUAAAUAAAUGACUAAUCAUGUUCGUCUAUGUAAAUAGAUGAAAAAGAAAAAUACACAUUAGGUGAAUUAUGGAAAUAUUAAGAAAAAUGAAAAAGAAAAAGUAAGCAAUAACUUAAAAUCACUUGCUUAGUUUAGGAUUUGCCAUGACAAAUAAGUUAUUAAUUACUCAAACUCGACAUGAUUUUUGCUGAUUUUGGUUAAAUAAAAUUGUUUUUGGGUUUAAUUCAUGUCGAUCUAUGUGUAAAACAUCAAUUUGACUUGAAUUUAUACGUCAAGAUUCAUUAUAUUAACUCAAUAAUUAUUUGCAUUACAUUUGGAUUGACUUAUUUAACCAAGUACCUAAGUUUUGAAAUGAUACAAAUGUGAUCUAUCAACACAAAUUGUCGUUCUUAAUGUUUGGUUUAGUAAAGUACAAAAUAAAGAAGAAAAAAAAUUAAUAAAAAUGAUUUUUCUCAUAUUUGGUUUAUUAUUAAAAAUAUGAAGCAAAAUUAAAUAUAAUUAAAAUUAAAUAAAAUUUUAUGUAUUUUCAAAUUAUUUAAUCUUUAUAUUGAUUAAGAAAAAUAAGUAAUAUGAGGAUGAAAGAACACAUAAAAAUAAUUUAUUAACUUUAAAUUUAUUUUUUAGUUUUUUCACUUUUUAUUUUAUUUUAGUUUUUCUUUCCCUCUUCUUUGGCUUUUAUUUUUACUCAAAGUUUUUGAAACCACAUAUAACCUUAAUAUUUAAAUAUGCAAAGAAAAAUAAGAAAUAUUAGCUUGAAAAAGUGUGUAAAAAUAAUUUAUUGAUUUUAAGAUUGUGUUUGAUUCUUACCAAGUACUAAAAAAAUAAAAAUAAAAAUGUUACACUAAAUGAUUUUUUUAGCUAUAUUUUGUUCUCAAAAAUCAUGGAGGAAAGAAAAAAACUUAAGGAAUUGUUUUUUUUUUUUUCAUGUUUGGUUUCACUGUGAAAUAUAUGAGAGAAAAUCAAAUGUAAUUAAAAUUAAUUUGAAAUUCUUGUAUUUUAAACUUAAUUAAUAUGUAUAUAAUGAAAAAAAAUAAGUGAAAUGAAUUCAAAGAGCAUAUAAAAAUAAUUUAUUGAAUUUAAAUAUAUUUUUUAUUUUCAUUUAUUUUUUCCUUCUAUUUACUUUUCCUCUAUAUUUUUUUCCCAUUGUAUUUUCCCUCAAAUUUUAUAAGAAUUAAACAUAGUCUUCAUGUUUGAUUUAACAAAAAAAAUACAAAGAAAAUUGAAAUGAGUAAAACUUAUUUAUUUUCAAAUUAUUAAAUCUUUAUAUAGAAAAGGAAGCAAAAAAGGUCGAAUGAGUUUAUAAAAAGAUGCAAAAAUAAUUUGUUAACUUUAAACCUAUUUUUUAUUUUUCAUCACUUUUCCUUUCCUUCUACAUUCAAUUUUUUCUUUCAAAAUUUUCACCAACCAACCUUUGGUUAAUGAAAAAUACUAGGAAAUGGGAAAUAAAAAAGUUGGAAAGAAUUUGUCAUUUGAUUUACAAUGAAAAAUAUAAAGAGAAAUAAAAAAUAAUAAAAAUUAUUUAGAUACUUUUAUAUUUUAAAAUUAUUUAUUCUUGAAAGGGGAAAAAAAUUAUGCCAUGUUACAUUGUAGGAAAUUGAUAAGGAAAGAAAAAAAAAAUACUAAAAAUGAUUUUUCUUAUAUUUUUGUUUUUUAUUUAUUCUUAAUUUUCCUUUCUAUUUUGUUUUUUUCCAAACCUAAAUAUUAUUUUAUUUUGUAGUUCUUUUAAACUUUUGUGUAUAUUUUAAAUUUUUAUAAAAUUAUUAUAAUUUUAAUAAAAUAUUAAUUAUAUAUUUAUAUCAUCAUCGACAACAUCCAAUCACCAACCUAUCGAUGGAGACCCAUGGGGCAAUAAUUUAUUGGUAAACAAAAUCCGGUUGUGAAAACAUUGAUCUUGUCCCAUUUUUCAAUUAAAGAAAAAAAAAAAAGAAGAUAAAAAAGGGCAAAAGUUCUAUUAGCCUUCUAAAGCCCAAUUACCGACCCAAUAAAGUUCCGGAGAAAUUGUAUCCUGGGCUCGUGGGCCAAGCCCAUUAUUCUUCCACUCGAAAACGACAUUGCAUAGAGUUUGUUCCCCAUAGGAUGUGGAAAAACCAUACGAAAAAUAGUUUUAAUGCUACAAAAAUUUAUUUGCCUGUCAUUGAAUGAUUUAAAUAAACUAUUUUUUUUUUCAAAUUUAUUCUUAUAAACAAGUUUUUUUUUAAAAUAUUUACAGAUCAAAUAAAAAUUAAAUCACCUCUGAUUUUUGAAAAGUGACAUACAUAAUUCAAUUGAGAUUUUUUUUUCCUCUAGAAACAAACAUCUUAGAAAUAUUGAACAACAAAAAAAUAAAAUUUUUUAAAAAUUUAAAAUAAAAUAAUUAAAAUUUAAAUAUAAAUAAAACAAAAAAAAUUAAAAAUUUUAAAAAUAAAAUAUUGACUUACAUUGGAUUUUAGUUCUUUUUAGGUAUCAAUUUUUUGGACUAGUGUAUUUUAUGAGAAGUGAAAAACAAUAUUUUAUUUUUUACUUUUUUACUUUCUUUUUUAGUUUUAAUUUAAUUUUUAAUUUUUAAAAUAAUUUUCUAAUCAAUUUUAUUAAAAAAUAUAAGAAGAUGAGGUGAUUUAUAUAAUACAAAAUAUGAAAUUAUUAUUAAUUAAAGGAUUAAAAAUAAUUUUAUUUAUUACUUGAGGAUAUUAAAAAAAAUUCACAAUAAUUUAUAUCUUAUAUUAUAUAAUAAAAAAAUUAUAAUGUAUAUACUUUUAUUAACUUCAAAUAAUAAAUUAAAUUUUUUAUAAUUGUAUUUAAUAUUAUAAAAUAAAAGAAUCAUUUUAAAAAAUAAUUAUCCGAUAUAUGAAAAAUUGCAUGCACAAAGAUAAAACGUUCUUUUUCCCGUAUAUUUUCGGAGUAAAAUCCCACUUUUCCCGGGUUAUCGCGUACGUGGAAUGAAAGGAUGGGAAUUCUUGAAUAGUUGAUUAGUUCGGUCUUCAUCCAUGAAUCCAUCUAGAAACAGUGGGCUUCAAGGUGCAUUCCUUAGCCCAUUGGGCCUGACACGACCGCCCGUAUGCCCUGUGCAGCCCCGUUAGCUGACUUGCUUGCGUCUAUGGAAUGACGUCAAGCACGAGGGCACAAAGAUAUAUGACGCCAUUCCUUGGAAUUUAAUAAAAGCUGUUUCCCACUUCUCCGCCGCCCCCACCCUAUAUAAACCCCUACCCAUUUUCUCAUAAACCACCAUCACCACUACAAAGCCUGUCUUCCUCAAAAUGGGCCUUUUCAAAAGCCUCUCCAUUUCCUCCUUCCUUCUCGCCACCCUCUUCUUCACCUCCGCCCAUGCAGCCAUUUUCAAUAUCCAAAACCAUUGCUCCUACACAGUUUGGGCAGCAGCUGUGCCGGGUGGGGGUAGGCGCCUCGACCGGGGACAGUCCUGGAGCCUGACUGUGAACCCUGGCACAACUGGAGCCCGUAUUUGGGCCCGGACCGGCUGCAGCUUCGAUGGGGCUGGGCGUGGGAGGUGCCAGACCGGGGACUGCGGUGGCGUCCUCCAAUGCACAGCCUAUGGUGCACCCCCCAACACCUUGGCUGAAUUCGCACUUAACCAGUUCAACAACCUGGACUUCUUUGAUAUAUCCUUGGUCGAUGGGUUUAAUGUGCCUAUGGCCUUUAACCCUACCUCCAAUGGGUGCACCCGUGGGAUACGGUGCACGGCCGACAUCGUGGGACAGUGCCCCAGUCCGCUCCAAACUCAGGGUGGCUGCAAUAACCCAUGCACCGUUUUCAAGACCAAUGAGUACUGUUGCAAUUCCGGGAGCUGUGGCCCGACAGAUUACUCAAGGUAUUUCAAGACUAGGUGCCCUGAUGCUUACAGCUACCCUAAGGAUGAUCAAACCAGCACCUUUACAUGCCCUGGUGGUACCAACUAUGAAGUUAUCUUCUGCCCAUAAAGCCUCUAUUAACUAUAGUAUGCAUGUAUUCGCCAGUCUAAACUACUAGGGUGCUUUUGAGUCCAUGUUGAGAUGCAAAAGUCUAAGGAAUAAAUUUGAGCACAUGUAUGUGUACUGAAUGUGCUCAUGCAACAACUUUUCUACGCUAGUAGAAUAAAUGGAUGUUUUUAUGAAUCUUUGGGACUUUAUGCAUUUCAUUAAGAAAGUAUUUUAUCGUUAUUAUAGGAAAUAUUUUUAGUCUUUUUAAUAUUUAAAAAAUAAAAAAUUUUAAAUAUUAAAAAAAGUAGCAACACUUCCUAAAAUUAUUAGGAAAUCAUUACCAAUGGUUAAUUUAGAGUCUUUAGACCACUGGAAUGGAGGUUUCAAGGAAGAAAAAAAAAAAAGAAAAGGUUUGACUGGGAGCAUAGCUUUGCUGACUGACCUCACUCCCAAAUCAAUUUUCCAUGUGGUGGAAGACACGAUGGGUAGGCGGCUGUUAAUGGAGAGUUUGGAGUUUCCCCACCCACUUUCAAUUAUAUCCAUUUACAUGGAAAUAUAUAGGAAAAGAAAAAAAUUUAAUAUUUUCAAAUUUUAAAAUUUUUCGUCAAAAGCAUCUCCUUUCGAUUGUUAUAUUAAAGAUUUUGUGAUUUCAAAUCUUUUCUGGUUUAAGUGCUGAAUUCACCCUAAAGAGUUUGCCUUUUUUUUUUCUUUUCUUUUUCUGUCCCUAUUUAAUAUAUAUAAUUAUGUAGAUUUUCUAUUUUGUAUUUCAUAGUACAUAAUUUUGAUAAUAUUUAAUGUCUUUUGCUUGAUUCCCUGCAUAGCACGUGGGUAGGAUUAUUUUUGGCUUUCAAAUCUGCUUGCAUCUUCAAUGUAGCCUUCAUGAUUUCAUUGAACUGAAGUGGAUAGGACGAGCUUGAGUUAUUCGUAAUGGUGCUGUCUGGCCUUGCUGCACAUCUAUCUACGACCAUCAUAUACUCAGAGCAGUAAUGGUGCUGUUUGGCCUUGCUGCACAUCUGAUCUACGACCAUCCUACACACUAAGAGCACUAAACUUACUAGCAAAGAUGAAAAUAUCGGUAAUCACGUAUAUAUCGGUACUUCGAUCUCACGGAUAUAUCGACGGAUAUUUUGAAAAAUAAUAUCGAUAAAUCUAAAAUUAAUUAAAAUUUAUAAAAAUAUAAAAAAAAUUCAUAAAAAUGUAAUUAAAAGUAUAUUGCUAUUUUUAAGUUGUUUUAUUAAAUAAUUUGAUAUAUGUAUAAUAUCGUAUGGAUCGAUAAAAAUAUGAAUUUUAUAAAUGUACAUUUAUUAUUAAAUUACAUAAUAUUAUGAUAUUUGAUUGUAAUAUAUCUAAUUUUAAAAUAUAUAUUAAUAUUAAAAUUAUGAUCCAUUUAAUUCAAUUGUAUUAAACAAUAUAAAAUAAGUUAUGAUAUAUGUAUAAUUUUUAAAUAUUUAAUUAAUUAUUAAUGAUAUUAAAAACAUUAUGAAGAAAAUUAUAUAAUUUUUAUAUUUUUGGUAAUUAAUUAAAAUAAAUUUUUGUAUUUAAUUAUCAAAUAAUUAUAAUUAAUUUGCUCUUUAAAAUAUUCUUUUAAUAUUUUCUUUAGAUAAUGAGUUUAACUAUAUAUAUAUAUAUAUAUAUGUAUAAUGCAUAUGAUAUAAUAAAGGUGAGUUUGCCCAGAUGGUUAGUGGUUUGAACCUCAAACCUUUUGGUUUGGGGUACAAAUGCGAUAUAUCGAUGAGAUAUCAUCGAUUUUUUGGGUUUCUGGAGAAGUAUUGCCGAAAAUAUCGUCGAACCGUGUUGACCCUUUCCGAUACACGAUAUAUCGCAAUAUUUUCCUCCUUAUUAGCAAUGUCCCACCAAAGUUGCGUGCAUUGAAUUGUAUAAUAUCAGGAUAUUUUCCUCCUUGCUCACUAGCAAUGCCCCACCAAAGUUGUGUGCAUUGAAUUGUAUAAUCAAUUGACUGUUCACCUUUAUAUCUUCAAUGACACUAGUUCUAGAGGUGCAUUUUUUGUGUGCAUCCUCAUCGGAUUUAUCAGUGAAAAUUUGAUUUUUGAAAAAAGAAAAAAACAGUUGAAGUUCCUCUUUAUUUUAGUUUUUUUUAAAAGAAAAACCAAAAUAAGAAGAAAACCGUUCCAAAUUCUUUGGAAAAGAUAUAUAUGUAAAAAUUGAAUUUAGACUAAAAGAUUAGUCAUUUAUUGGAAAAGUACCAUGGUGAUGUGUAACAUUUCUUCAUGCUCAUACAUAUAUGUCUUUACUAAAUGAAUAAAAGAAACUAUAACGAUUAAUUAAUUAAUCAUAGAUACCAAGAUUAAGAACACAAAUCAAUAUACAAACCAAAAUAAGAAGAAAAUCGUUCCAAAUUCUUUGGAAAAGAUAUAUAUGUAAAAACUAAAUUUAGACUAAAAGAUUAGUCAUUUAUUGGAAAUGUACGAUGGUGAUGUGUAACAUCUCUUCGUACUUAUACAUAUAUGUCUUUACUAAAUGAAUAAAAGAAACUAUAAUGAUUGAUUAAUUAAUUAUAGAUACCAAGAUUAAGAACACAAAUCAAUAUACAAAAAAAAACGAUAAAAUCAAAUUAAAAUAAUACCCGAAAUAAAUGACACGAGAAUUUUACAAAAUAAUUUAUUAAACAAAUUAAAAAUAUAUAUAUUUCUAAAAAAUUAUUUUUUUAANNNNNNNNNNNNNNNNNNNNNNNNNNNNNNNNNNNNNNNNNNNNNNNNNNNNNNNNNNNNNNNNNNNNNNNNNNNNNNNNNNNNNNNNNNNNNNNNNNNNNNNNNNNNNNNNNNNNNNNNNNNNNNNNNNNNNNNNNNNNNNNNNNNNNNNNNNNNNNNNNNNNNNNNNNNNNNNNNNNNNNNNNNNNNNNNNNNNNNNNNNNNNNNNNNNNNNNNNNNNNNNNNNNNNNNNNNNNNNNNNNNNNNNNNNNNNNNNNNNNNNNNNNNNNNNNNNNNNNNNNNNNNNNNNNNNNNNNNNNNNNNNNNNNNNNNNNNNNNNNNNNNNNNNNNNNNNNNNNNNNNNNNNNNNNNNNNNNNNNNNNNNNNNNNNNNNNNNNNNNNNNNNNNNNNNNNNNNNNNNNNNNNNNNNNNNNNNNNNNNNNNNNNNNNNNNNNNNNNNNNNNNNNNNNNNNNNNNNNNNNNNNNNNNNNNNNNNNNNNNNNNNNNNNNNNNNNNNNNNNNNNNNNNNNNNNNNNNNNNNNNNNNNNNNNNNNNNNNNNNNNNNNNNNNNNNNNNNNNNNNNNNNNNNNNNNNNNNNNNNNNNNNNNNNNNNNNNNNNNNNNNNNNNNNNNNNNNNNNNNNNNNNNNNNNNNNNNNNNNNNNNNNGAUUUUUACUUACUUUUAUUAGAAAAUAAUAAAUUUUUACAACUUUAUUUAGAAAAAAUAUUUUUAUUUUAUUUUAUUUACAAAUGAAUUAAUUUAUUUACAAAUGAAUUAAUUUAUUUACAAAAAAAAAAUAUUUUUAAUCUAAUUUUAUAAAAAAAAUGAUUUUUACAACUUCAAUUUACCAAAAAAAACUUUCAUUUUAUUUUUAUUAAAAGGACAUCGAAGACCUUUAUUUAUGAAAAUUACUUAUAAUCUUAUUCCAAGGAAAGAGAACUUAUUUAAAUAUCAUUUUUUUUUGGAUAAUUUUAUUAAAGAAAAAACUUUUGGGCAAUUUUAAUUAAACAAAAUAAAUUUUCACACAAUUAUUAUUAAAAAUAAUUAAAUACAAGUUUUUGAAUUCCUUUAAAAACAUUUUUUGAAUUUUUUAUAAAACUUUUUAGAACUAUUAUUUUAUUAAAAAUUAUUUACCAAAUUGUAUUUUUGGUUUGUUCAAUACAAGUGAAUAUUUAUAGAAUCAAUAGAAAUAAAACCAAAUAAAAGUAGAAAAUAAAAUGUGUACACAACAAGCUUUCAUCCUUCUUUUUCUAUGUGAAAUUCAACCCUUCAUGUGUCACACAUCCAUACUCAGUCAAUACUCAAUAGAAUACCAAUGCAAGUAAUGUAAUGGGUCCAUGCAAAACAAAAAUGAAUCAGUCCAAAACAAAUAUUCAAAUCCAAAUUUUAGAAGCCAAUAACAAAAUUCAAAUUGGUCCAAUGAAUUUCACCAAUGAAAAUAAACUCAAAUUAACAAGUAUAACCCAACAAAAAUAUUUCAUUUACUAUAAGCAUUAAUUCAAAAAUUUCAAAUUAAUAACUAAUAUAUAAGCACAAUCUAAUAUCCUUCAACAAGCAACAAAUCAAAAGAUUUUCAAUUAAAUCCAAAUUUAAUAUUUCAUACUCCAAACUCAAUUUAAUAGGCAAACCCAAAUCAAUAACCAAAAUCAAAUUAAAUAAUUCAUGAGCAAAACCCAUAUCAAAUAUCAAUCAAUCCAACAAAUUUUACCAACAACAAAAAUAGCUUAAAUUCCAUAUUAAUUAAUAAACUCAAAACAUGACAAAUCAAAAUAAAUUCAAUCAAACCUAAAUUCAAUAUCUUUAAUUCAAGCCUAAUUUAACACUCAAAUCCAAAACCCAAUAAUCACCGAAUCCAAAUAAAACAUAAACUAACAAACCCAAAUUUAUGAAUACAAAUCAAAAUACAAGGUACAAAAUGAUAUCCAGAUUAUCUAAGCUUACAAAUAAUGUCCCGAUCAAGUAAAUGCAAACAUGAAAAUAAUAAAAAUUAGUCCAAACCAACAAUCUCAAUAAUCAAGAACAAAUUAUUGUAGUAAUUAAACAGAAAUAAUAAAAAUAAAAGGACAUAAAAUUACCCGGAACCCAUUGUAGUAAUUAAACAGAAAUAAAAAAAAUAAAAGAAAAUAAAAUUACCCAAAUUUGAAGUAUAUUGUUGAAGGGUUGAUAGAGGAGAAUGAAAAUAAAAAUAAAAUUAAAAUGAAAGAAGAUGAGAAGGAAAGAAAGAGAAAAUGGUGAGAUGGGAGACAGGUCGAAAGGGAGAAAGAGAGGGGAAAGGGGGGUCGCCGGUCGGCUAGUCACCGCCGCAGCAGAUCACUGACGGUGACUGACGGGGCCGUGUUGCCGAUAGUACGGGUUUAGUGAAUGUGGUGAGGGAAAAAUGAAGAAGAAAAGAAGAACACAAAGGAAGAUAAAAAAAAAUACAAAGAAAAAAACGAAAAGGAAAGAAGAAAGGUGGGGCAUGUUCUCUGGAAGUGGGUCUGGGGGGAGAAGAAGAAGGGGAAAAAAAUGGGGAAAAAAAAAAAGAAAAAGAAAGAAAAGAGAGGAAAAAAGGAAGAUAAAAUGGAAGAGAUGAGAGUGGGGGGUAUGGGUUCUCUGACGUGGGAAUGGGCAGGAAAGAGAGAGUUGAGAGAAUGGGUGGAGUAACUGGCAGAAAAAGAAAAAGAAAAGAAAAUGAAAGAAAAGAGAGGAAAAAAGGAAGAUAAAAUGGAAGAGAUGAGAGUGGGGGGUAUGGGUUCUCUGACGUGGGAAUGGGCAGGAAAGAGAGAGUUGAGAGAAUGGGUGGACUAACUGGCAGAAAAAGAAAAAGAAAAGAAAAGAAAAGAAUAGAAGAAGAAAGAAAAUGAAAGAAAAUGAGAGGAAAAAAGGAAGAUAAAACGGAAGAGAUUUAAAAUUAAAUAAAAUAUAAAAUAACAAAAUAAUAAAAUUUAAGAUUUAAAAUGUAUAAGUAAGUUAAAAAAAUUCAAAUUAAGAUUUAAAAGGUAUAAGUUGAUCAAAAAAUUUAAAUUAAGAUUUAAAAUGCUUGUAUGGGUAAAAAAAAAUCAAAUGUAAUCGAUUUGAAAUAUAAGAAUAAAAUUAAACUUAAAAUUAAUAUAAAACAAAAUUUAGGAAAAAUUUUAGGAUUACAAAAAGUAAGAGUAUGGUACAAAAUUAUUUUUAAAAAUAAUUUUUAUUAUUUAAAUAAAAAAUUAUCUAAAAACAUUAAUUUAUUUUUUUAAAAUAAGAAAUAGUUUUUAUGAAUUUAUUCUUAAAAUGAGAAGAGAGUGUUUAGAAUAUAUUUUUUUCACUUAUUUUCUAAAAAAGUAUUAUAAAAAUCAAUUUAAUAAAUAUGAAGAAUAAUUAAAAAUAAAAUAUUAUAUACAAAAGUUAUUUUAAAAAAUAUAUUAAAAAAAUUCAAAUUUCUAAAUGGACUUUUCUAUUAAAAAAUAUUAAAAAUUGUUUGAAGCAUAUUUUCAAAAAUAAUUUUUCUCUUUAGAUUUCAAAAAUAUUUCCAAAUAGAUUUUAACAUAUCGUUUCAAAGUGAUUCUAAUUAAAAUAUUUUGAUUUAUAUUUUUUAAUUCAAAAUAUAUUGUUCAACUUUUAAAUAUAAAACCAAUUCAAAAAUAUCCUCAACACAUAUUAUUUAAUCAUAAAAAUUCUCAUAAUUUUUUUACUCUUCAAAUACUUUCCAACAAAGAUCAAAAGUCACAUGCGAGUGUAGAUACAAUAAGAUUCUUCCAACAAAUUUCAAAUGCAAGUGACAUACAUAUUUCAACACUCCCCCAACAUAAUUCACAAGAAUAAUUUCUCAAUAACACAAAUCUCAAUUUCUACUAAAUAUCUAUAUCAAAAUAAAUAGAAAAAAUAUAUAUUUAAGAUAUCCAAAGAUGAUCACACCUAUUUUAGUUCAUUGUUCUUCCAUUCAACUUAUAUCCACAAGUAUUAAAUGAAAACUAAAACUGAAAAUAAAUUAAAGAGUAUAAAAAGAAAAAGAUAGAUAAUGAUAUCAGAAUUUAUGUGGAAAACAUUCAAAAAGAUAAAAAAAAAUAUGGACUUACCACCAAUAAAAAAUUUCACUAUGAAGAACAAGCAAUGUGUAUAAUGAUUUACCUAACUCGAGUCUUUUAAUUUUUCAUAGACUUAACCAACACCUUCUCACUUUAGCCGAAUGCCUUGACCUUUCAAAAUAUACUUGACAUUCUCAUCAAUCUUGAUUUCAACCUCUCCUUGAAGCUUGCUUAAGAAGAAAAAUGAGUUUUUACUCAAUCCCAAAUAGAUCAUAAAAUGAGAGAAAAGAUAUUAACCUUUUUUUUUUCUUAAGAAAAUUUGUUGAAAGCAGCUUUAAAAUCAAUAAGAAAAUGAGAUUUUCUUGGCCACCAAACACCAUAAAUUUGGUAAGAAAAAAAAAAGUACAAGGGCAAAACGACUACUAGUGUCUCCCAUUUCAAAAGGCAAUUUUUGUUUUUUAAGUCAAAAGAAACUUUUAUCAAACGAUUGAAAUAACAUCAAGAAAGUGCAACUUGGAUUGAAUUAACAUAAAGUUGGAUCAAUCCUGGAACAUGACAUUUAAACACUUAACAAAAAAAAAUGCUUCCUAAAUCUCCUUUAACUCCUUAAAAUAUAUAUAUAUUUUAAGAAAAACAACAUUUAAAAAAUAUGGUUGAUUUAAUUUCAUCUAACUCUAACCUCAACUACAUGCUUUCAUCUUUUAGCAAAUCCAACAACUUAAUUUUCAUUAGACAAAUAGUUUGAAGAAGGAUUUGAAAAAUAAUUAUGAUCUAAAACUUAAGGAUUGUCUUUAUGUACUCAAGACUAGAAAGAAUCUUGUUUCAAUUUCUAAUUUAAAUAAAUGUGAUCAUUUAGUUUAUUUCAAUAAAUAUGUUUUUAUUAAAAAGAAUAAUUCAUUUAUUUACUCAAACCCAUAGGUUAACAUUCUCAAUCAUUUUACUUCUAGUUAUAUUCUACCUUAUGUUGAAAACAAUCAUAUCUCACUAACCAAACAUAUUUGUGGCAUUUAUGCUUAGGUUAUAUAAAUCUAAAUAGAAUUCAAAAACUAGUUAAGUCUAAAACAUCGUACUCAUUAGUUCCAAAAAAUCUUUUAGUUUGCGAAUACUGUAUAAAAGGUAAAAUGAUUAAGAGGUCCUUUAUUGCUACGGAGGUUAGAGCCAAAGAAUGUUUAGAGUUAAUGCAUCCUAAUGUGUAUGAACCCUUUAAUGUCCAUGCACGAGGAGGGCAUGAAUAUUGCAUCAUUUUUGUUGAUGAUUAAUCUAUGUAUAGUUAUGUUUAUCUUAUGCAUAAGAAAUCCAAUGUCUUGAAUGAAUUCAAGGGGUGUUUGUUACCUAGGAAUGAGGAGUGGAAAUAGAAAUCUCAUUCAUUCCCUUCUUCAUUUCUAUGUUUGAAUAAAUUUUACGAAUGUAGGAAUGAAAUAAAAAAUGAUUCUAAUAUAAAUCAAAUCUCACUUAUAAGUGAGAUUUCAAUCCAUCACAAGUAGGUGGUAUUCUAAUUCAUUUAUCCAUAAGAAAAUAUAAAAUAGCCUAACAUUACUAUUUUACCCUUGAAUUUCAUUUAUCGAGCUCUAAUGCGUUUUCAUCCCAUAACAAAACCAAUUUUUUUUUAGUUUUAUUAUUUUGCAAAAAAAAAAAAACACUCAAAAAUUAUUAUUUUAAAAUGAAAAUAAUUUUAUUUUUUAAACUAUAUGUAAGGGUAUUAUUGUUAAUUUAUUUAAUUUUCAUUAUCAUUUAUAUUAUUACCAAAACAUUAGAAUGAAAACAAAUAAUCAUUCUAAUAUUAAAUUCCUAGGUUCAUCUAAACACUAGAAAUAAAAUUACCAAAUUCAUUUUCAUUCACCAAAAAUAAGAAUGAAAACAAAAUAUCAAUUUUCAUUUUCUAUUCUUAUGUACCAAAUACCCUUUUAAUGAAUUUAAGGCAGAAUUGGAAAAUCAAUUAGGUAAACACCUCAAGGCAUCGAUCAAAUUGAGUUGGAUGGUACGUGUCUAGUGAGUAGGAUUCUUUCUUGGAAAAGCAUAAUAUUAGGUAAACAUCUAUGAAACAAUCAUUGUUGGAUGUUGAUUCUAAAUGUUUCUUCCCCUUUAUCGAGGUAAGAAAUGUCCACAAAGUAAGCAAGUCGGAGGCUUACUUUUUUUAAAUAAAAAAAGAAAAAAGAAAAUGCAAGACACGUACAAAUUAACACGUUUUUUUAUUUUCAUAAUAUGAAAAUCAUAUAAAAAAAAUAACAAAAUAUAUUUUAAAAUUAUAAUAUAAUUAUAUAUUUAAUAUAUAAAUAAAAUUAAAUAAUGCAAUUUUCCUUCCAUUUUUAAUAUAUAUCUUCAUGUUUAAAUAUUAUACAUAUUUUAUUUAAUAAAAUUUAAAAUAUUUAAACAUUUACAUUUAUGCAUGAUUUAAUUUGACAAUAUUAAAGAUGAAAAAUAAAUGUUAUUGCUUUAAAAAAAAUUUGUAUAUAUUUUAAUUAUUUAUAAUUAUUUUAUUUUAAUAAAAUAUUAAUUAUAUAUUUAUAAUGUGAUGGCAACAUUUCAACCCGAUCAAUGAUGGAAUGAUGAAAACAUUGAUCUUAUCCGAUUUUUGCAUGAACAAAAGGCGCAAAAGUUCUAUUUAGCCUUUUAAAGCCCAAAUACAGACCCAAUAAAAUUAUGGAAAACUUGUUUCAUGGGCCAAGCCCAUUAGUCUUUCAUUCGAGAAUUACACUACACUGCAUAAAGUUGUUUCCCCAAAGAUGUGGAAAUACACCAAAAUCACGUGCUUUAAUCUAUUUUAUUUUGUUAGAAAAAAAUUUGGUAUGAAAAGUAGUUUCAGUGCUACAAAUAUAUCUAGAUAUAUACUCUUAAUUGAUGUCUUCUUCAAAAUGGCCCCCAUAUUGUGUUCUAGCCACGAUAGAUAGUACGAUUGAGAUUAAUGAGAUCUCGCUUAGUUAAUCCUUGUGUACGUGGAAUGAAUGGAUGAGAAUUCUUGAAUACUUGACUAGUUCAGUGUUCACAUUAAUCCAUCCUGAAACAGUGGGCAGGUGCUUUCCUUAGCCCAUUGGGCCCUGCCAUCUACCUUGUGCAGCCCCAUUAGCGGACUUGCUUAUGUUUAUGGAAUGAAAAACCAUCACUCAAGGCAUAAAAAAAUGUGAUGACAAAGACAAAUAAUGGAACAAAGGAUAUAACCAAUGAAUUAUGAUGAAAAAUGAUGGUAGGAGGACAAAAAAAUAAUAAACAAGGUGAACUAGUAAGUCUGUGGCUCAUGAAACUUUUGAAUAAAGCAAAUAUACACUAGAGGGUCCCUAUUCUAGUGUAAAAGGUGAGCAAAGCUAUAAAAAAGAAAAUGUUAUGAUGCUCAUGCGAGGCUCAAAGGGCUAACAACGACCCAAAUGUCAAUAAAGGUAAUAGAGUGUGAGCUAAUCAAAAUGAAGGUCACACAUCUUUCAACCAUGGUCUCAAACAUUGUGCUCUCAAGACCUCAAAUGAUCAAUACUAAAGAUCGAUAUUCAUUUGAUAUAACCACGUCAACCCUCUGAAAUCGUGUGCCAAACCCUACUCCAGAUGCUCCAUAAUAAUCUCAAAGAUGAUCAUCUCAAAACAAAGUAAACAACCAUCUUGUCAAGCACAACUGCUCAUCACAAGCCAACUCUCAUUAUGCAAUACCAAUCUCUAUACUCAUGGCAGAAUAAGUGACAGUUUCAUCAGACAAUCAACCAAUCCUCACAUCAUAAACCAACCAAAGAUCAUAAGUCAUCCCUCGCCAUGUAAGAUCAACCCUAAGCUCAAACUCUUCACACUCUACCUAGUUGGAUUAGAUAGAGGAUGUGCAAAGCUAGAAAAGUUGAGGAUGAAAAGGUCAUAUAAUGGUGUCAAGGGUGAUGUGUAAAGCUCACAAUGCAUGGAUGUAGGUCAAAACAAAGUCAAGGUGUGAGAGUGAAUAAGGCACUGCUCUGAUCAUAAGAAGAUGGGUCACAGUCUCCAACUCCCUAAGUCAAAUAUGUGGUCCUAGGUUAAUAGGCUCAAUAUCCUCCAUGAUAAGUUAGGCUUCAAGACCAUAAUGUGCAAGUGAAAAGAUGUCUCAAGUAAAAAAACCUAACAUAACACAUGGUAUGUGGUCAUGUGAUGAUAAUCAAAAUUUGGAUGUAUGACAAAGACUAUAAAGUCAUAAAAGUGUCCACUAUGAGAUGACUACAAAUGUGAUUAAAGAAUUUCUAUGAGUGAUCUAAAAAAUGAAUGAGGUGUGAAAAACAACAUUGCCAGGAAAUCGAUACUCCAUCUAUAACAAAGUAUCCCUAAUUCACUUUCAACUUAAGCUCCAUAAAUAAAAAUGAUAAAGUGAUCAAGGCAGAUCUUUCAAAAAGGGUGUGAACGUGAAAACAUGUUUUUCACAUUUCUGUAAUGAAAAUAUCGAGUUGAAAAUAGAAUUAAGUGAAUCGACCAAAAUAAAGUAUCAAGCCCAUGAUAAGUGAAGAAUGUAAAAAGGUGAGCAUGAUCAAUGAGCAUACCCCAAAAUGUCAAGCACAAUGACAAUCAACCAAAAGAAUGUUAACUCAAGAAAGAAAAUAUGUCUAAAGCCCUAAGGGAAAACGUGCUAGACUCAACAAGCAAUAAGAAGAAACCAACACUAUACAACAAAGAGUGGUCCAACUGAUUCUCAAACUUGCACUGAUCUCUAAACACUCUCAACUGAAGACCCAAAGAUGGAGUAUUGGAUCCAUGCUAUGACUAAAGCAGCCCCAAAGGCUCUCAAAUGCACUCACGUGUAAGUAAGAAAUCCUAAUCAAAUGAUCUAAGACUCAACCUAAUAGGACAAAGCGGCUCUAAAAAGAAAAAAUGGUGGACUUUAAAGGAUCCUUAGCAAAAGAAAUCGUAUCUUUCCAUGGUACGCAACCUCAUGCACACCUCCAAAGAGACGGAGGCACUUCCAUGCAAUGUGGUCAUCACCUCCACACAUCCACUAUCUCUCAUCCUAGAGGAUUUCUUAAUGGUGAAGGUUGUCACAUCUCUCAAUACUCAAUGGUAAUCUAAGGUGCAUAAUGAACGGUGUGGGUGAACCCAAAAAUCCUAUCAAACUUAGCAAAAAGAAAACACAUCGGUCACACAAAUAUCCUGAAAAUCUAGCUCUAUGCUAUACAAGUCUUCAAAGAUUGGACUCUAAUCAGUAUCAAUGUGUUGACUUUCUCCAGAAUGCUCCCAAACAUAGAUAUAGACCAUUAUUAAACUCUACUCUGAAUCACCAGCUCGGUCGAAGAGCAAACAAAGUAACAAGUCUUGUAUCAAAUAUGAGAUCAAGAAAAACAAGGUCAAUCGAGACUAGAGAGUUAGAGGUAAGAGGAUAGAUGUGUGUCCCACACAGACAAGCAAUACAUGCAUCACAUAGAAAAAGAGCAAUUAUGCACCAAACAAUCAUGCAAAUAAUAUGUAUAUCACUCAUAUCUAUACACAAACUAGGCAUGAAUAUGAUAAGCAAGAUAGGUAUUUAACAUAAUAGACAAUAUGUUGAGACAAACAAAAUGUUAUACAACAAAGAUAAUCAAUCAUGUCAAGAUGAAUGAGAUAUACAAAAAUGAGAAUAUGCAUGUCAAGGAAAGCAAGAUAAUCAUACAACAAAAUGAGUCACUAUGAAAGGUAGAUAAGAGAAUCAAUCGAUAUAAUCAACAUGUGAACAUCUCCAAUGAACAAUAAUAACCAAACAUGCAUCAUGGAUAAACAUAUUGAAACUCUCAACGUGUAAUCAACACCCAAUCAUACAAAGGCACAUAGAGAGGGGUAUCCAUUGAUCAACCAAUCAAACACCAUAUUUCCCUCAACUCGAGUUCAAGUUUGACUCUCUAAACAUACCCAGUGGAGUCGCCAUUUUGUGGACCUGCGUUUUUCACGUGCGUCCCCGCUCGAACGACGAAAUUCGUUUUUUAUUUGGUGAAAAUUUUAUUUUUUAGAAAAAAACUUGAAGUCGCCACUUAUUUUUGUUUUAUUUUUUAAAGGGAAAACAAAAUAAGAAAGAAAACUCUAUAUGACUCCUUAUUUGGAAAAAACAUAUCUGUAAAAAAUCGAGUCUAAAUACAUGAGUCAAGUUACCUAUUGGGAAUGUACGAUGGUGAGCCAUAGAACCCCUCCAAGCCCGUAUACCUACAACUUAUACUAAAUGAAUUAAGGGAAUUGUAACAAUUAAUUAAUUAGUCAUGGAUACCAAGAAAAAGAAUUGCACAAAUGAGUAUGUACAAAUUAUGAUAAAAAAAAUCAAAUUAUAAGAAUAGAUAAAAUAAAUAACAAGAGAAUUAUGCAAAAUGAUUUAUUGAACUAAAAAAAAUAUUAAAAAAUUAAUUUUCAAGAAAUUUCAAAGGAUUUUAUUAAAAACAAUUUUGAAUUAAUGAUUUCAAUUUAUUUAUUUACAAAAAAAAUUCAAUUUAUUUUCAAUAAAUGAUUUAAUUUAAUGUAAUUUGUAUUCAAUUUAAAAAAAUGUUAUUUACACUUAUUGUUAUUAAAGGAAUUUAGUAAAAAAAAAUUCAAUUUGACAAUAAAAAAAUGAUUUUUACUUUUAAAAAAUGAUUUUUUACAAUUUUAUUUACAAAUGUAUUUUAAUUUGAUAUCUAUUUAAUUUUUAUUUUUUUUUACAAAUUUUAUUUACAAAAAUAUUGUCAAUCCAAUUUUCUUAAAAAAAAAAAAAAGAUUUCUACAACUUCAAUUUACAAAUUCCAUUCUUAUUAAAAAAGUUAUUUAAGGCUUUUAUCUACAAAAAUUACUUUUAAUUCCAUUAUACUUAAAUAGAGAGAAUUUAUCUAAAAAAACAUUUUUUUGAUCAAUUUUAUUAAAAUUUAACCUUUGGGACAAUUUUAUUUAAAAUAAUAAUAAUUUUUUUAACAAUUAUUAUUCUAUUAAAAACAAUUUUUUCAAAUUCUAUUAAAAACAAUUUUUAUUUUAUUUUUCUAAAAGCAUUUUUCUGAAUUUUUAUUAACAAAUAACUUUCUUUUAUUAAAAAGAAUAUUUUAAAACUAUUAUUUUAUUAAAACAUAUUUAUUGAAUUGUCUCUCUUAUUUAAACAAAAUUUCUUGUUUGUUCAAUGUUCAAUUCUAUAUAUAACAAGUAAAUAUAUACAAACAAAUAUUUAUAAAAACCACUAAAAAUAAAAUCAAAUAGUAGUGGAAAAUAAAAUAUGUACCCAAAUAAGCUUAUAAUAAGCUCAAUGUCUUCCUAUAGUUUUUCGAUUCUCACUUUAUUCCAUGAAAUUCUAUGCGCCACAUGUCAUAAAUUUAUAUUUAGCCAAUAAAAUUGCAAAAUGAACCCAUGGAAAAACAAAAAUAGUCCAAAUGUAAAUAUCUAGAAAUUUGCAAAGUUCAAAAUAAAUAUUCAACCUCAAAUUCAAAGUUCAAAUUAGUCCAGUAAAUUUCAUUAAUUAAAAAUGAGUCUGAAUUAGUAAAUAUAACCCAAUACAAAUAUUUUACAUGUUAUAAGCCUUUGUCCAAAAUUUUCAAAUUAAUAACCAAAAUAUAAACACAAUCAACCAAACUUAAAAUUUGAUAAACUAAAACAAAUUUCAUUAGGUCUAAACUUAAUUUCCCAUCAUCCAAACCUAAUUUAAUACACAAAUUCAAAUUCAUAACCAAAAUCAAACUCAAUUUAAUAUGAAAACCCACAUCCAGAAUAUAUCACAAUUGUCUUAUGCCAAAUUAAAAUCCAUAUCAACCACAAAUCCAUCCAACAAAUUUUAUUAACCACAAAUGAGCCCAAAUUUCAUAUUAAUUGACCAACAACAAAUUAAUCCAAAUUCCAUAUUAAUUAACUAAACACAAAUUUCAUAUUAAUUCAUCAACAAAUGAACCAAAAUUCCAAAUUAAAUCACCAACCCAACUUUCACAAACUAUUAUUAUUAAAAUCAAAGUAAGAAAAAUAAUAAUAAUAAUAAUAAAAUAAAACAAAAUAAACUUACAUCGUUUUUCUUUUUUUUGAGACCAUGGAAGGAAUAUUGGGGAUGGCAGUGUGUGGAGGUGGCAUCGUUAGCAAGCGGUUGAUAAUCAGUUGACAAAUAAAGCGGUGUAGUAGGUUUGGGUGGAGAGAAAGAAAAGAAAAGAAAACAAAAGAAAAUUAAAAUAAAAUAAAAUAAAAGGAAAAGAAAGAAAAAUGAUGGAAGGGGAGAUGAUGGUGUGGGUGUUGUGUGGUGUGUGUUGGAAGUGUCGUUGAAGUAGGAAAUGGAAAGAAGAUGGAAGAGUAAAAGAAAAAAAAUGGGGUCGUGUGGGUGUUCGUCGUGAGUGGCCGUGUGGGUGGAGAUGCAAUCUGAGCAAGUGGGGUGUGGUAGCAGUAGUGUGCAAAAGGAGAAGGAAGUGGAAGAGCAAAAGAAGCAAAAUUAUAAUAAAAAAAAUGGAGAAUUGUGUUUUGGGUUCAACUGGGCCCAAAAAUUAACAUUUGGUCCAUAUAACUUUUAUAAUUGAUGGAAAUGAUAUAAGAUGUUAAAAGACCAAUAUAUCCUUCAAAUUUCUAUAUAUUACCUUUUAAGGAUAUAAAAUAGUGAUGAAUUAAAAUACCCAAUGACCUUUGACAUAAGUUUUUUUUUUGUCUUUAUUGCACCACUAUUCAUGCAACCAUAAUAAUUUUAUUUUAACANNNNNNNNNNNNNNNNNNNNNNNNNNNNNNNNNNNNNNNNNNNNNNNNNNNNNNNNNNNNNNNNNNNNNNNNNNNNNNNNNNNNNNNNNNNNNNNNNNNNUAUCUAUUCUUAUAUUUUGAUUUUUUUUAUCCAUAAUUUGUACAUACUCAUUUGAUCAAUUUUUUUUAUUAGUAUGCAUGACUAAUUAAUUAUUUGUUACAAUUCCAUUAAUUCAAUUAGAAUAAGUUGUAGUUUUACGAGCUAGGAGUGAUUAUAAAUUUCGUCCUAAAACUUUUUCAAUAAAUACCUUGAAUACAAUUGGUAGUCUGGUUUUUUUUCUUUUCUUUUUCUUUUUGAAAAAACAUUUAAUUAAAAAAUGAAAACUAUUUUUUUAAAAAAAAAAUUGAAACCUUGUUUAGUACUAUUUUUUAUAUGAAAAUAAUAAAAAGAAUUAAAUUACAUUCAUUGAUUAUCCAUUUUUAUUUUUUUCCAUUAGUUAUUUUAAUAAAAAAAAUAAAAAAAUAUAGUAUGUUUACAAUUAAACAAAGAAAUUGAUCAAUUAUAUAUUUUUUGUGGGGCUAUCUUUUACAUGAAAAUAUAAUUAAAUAACUAAAUUAUAUAUAUUUAUUACUAUUUUUAAUUUAAUUUUAUUUAUUUAUUUUUUGUCUAAUAGAAAAUUUUAAUAUAUCCAUAAUUAGCUAAGUAAUAAGUCAAUUGUGCACAUUUUAAUCUAUUAAAAUAAAUUACUUUCUAAUUUAAAUAAAUAAAAUGAAAUAAGUAAAUAAAUUUGGGAUUAUUUCUGUUUUUUAACAUAUCUUAUAUCAAUAUUUUUUAUGGUUAAAUAAAUUUUUUAUUUUUUUUCUUUAAUUCAAAAAAUAAAAUGAAAUAAAUAAAUAAAUUUGGUAUUUUUUAACUGAUCUUAUAUUUAUAUUUCUUAUGGUUAAAUAAAUUUUUUAUUCUUUUUUCUUUAUUUCCAAAAAUAAAAGGAAAUAAAUAAAUAAACUUGGUUUAAAUAAUAGUUUUUUAAGUAAUUUCUUUGUCUUAUUUUUAAUUACAUUUUGUAUUGAAAAUAAAAUAAAAUAACGUUUUAUUUAUUUUAAUUAUUUUAAAUGUCAAACUAUUGGGAACAUAAUUUACACACUCAUGUGGAUAUAAUUUAUACAUAGAUAUGAAAUUUAUACCAUUAUACAAUAUUAUUACACUAAUUGUAAAAGAGGUGUGCAAAACUGUACAUUUUGAACAACUUUUUUUUUUCUUGUCAUCUAAGGAUUAUACGUUCUCUUACCACAAAUUCUUUUAUUUCAUGUACUUUAUUUAACUCGCAUAUAAAAAUUCAAAUACUUAUCUUAAUAAUGAUGUUUAGAGAAAAAUUUUGUUUUUACAUUUUAUAUCAUUUUUUAAAUCAAACCAUUUGAAACAUGGUUCACACAUCAUAUGUGACACAUAAUGUAUGCAUAUGAAUGAAAUUUGCACCAUUGUAUAAGGGUGUUAUACUAACUGUACAAGGUAAAUAUUCAAUUGGACAAGACAAAUGUUCCAAUUGUACAAGACAAAUGUUCUAACUAUACAAGGGGUAUACAAGGUUAUCCUUUAUGAAAGAUUUUAAUCAAUUUUGGACAACUUUUUUUUUUUAUCUUGUCAUCUAAGGAUUGCACACUCUUAAGGUACACAUUCCUCUAUUACACACUCAUCUUAUGCACUUUAUUUACAUGAUAAUUCGAAUACUUAUCCCACUAAGGAUGUUUGAGAUAAAAUUUUGUUUUUCCAUCUUCCGCUAUUUUUUGAAACAAACCAAUGAAAACAUGGUUAACCUACCUAUGGUUACACAUUGAGCCAGGGGUAUAUAGAAUUUGAGUCACUGUACAAGGUAUUUACACUAAGUGUACAUGACAAAUAUACUAACUGUACAAGGGUGUACAAGAUUAUUAUUUGUGAAGGAUUUUAAGUGAUUCUGAAAAACUUGUUUGUUUAUUUCCCCUAACCGAUGAUAAAUGACAUUCCUUACACACAUUAGUUAAACAUACAUUCAUCUUAUGCACUUUAUUUAACUUGAAAAGGUACCUCACUUAUGAUGAUUGUAAAACAAAAUUAUACAAUAAUUUUUCUUCUUUUUUAAAACCAAACCAAUGCAAACAUGGUUAAUCGACCUAUUGUCAGAUAUUCAUAAGAUGAUAUAUGAAAUUUGAGUUAUUGUACAAGGGUAUUAUACUAACUGUACAAGACAAAUUUACUAAUUGUACAAGGGUGUACAAGACUACUUUUUGUUAAGGAUUUCAAGUGAUUUUGAAAAACUUUCCCCCUUUUUUUUCCACUCAAAUAUUUUUUUCCCACUCAAAUUCUCUCACUCAAGAAUUGUUUCGAAUUUUAUUUUUAAAUUUCAUCAUCAAAAUUUUGUAAUUGCAUAUUUUGCUUUUGUAGUUUUAGCAAUGUUCUUUCUUUCCACUAUUUUUUUUUUUUUUUUUGUGAAAUUUUAUUCAAAUGAAUCUAUAUUUAAAAUUGUAAUAAUAUUUAUCAAUUUUUUUUACUAAGAUUAUAUUUAAUUCUUUUAAUAUAUUUAUACUCAUUUAUUUAAAAAAUGAAAAACCAAUUUUUUUUUUUUUUUGUAAACAUGCUCUAUUACCUUUCAAGUAAAAAAUUAGAUAAGUUUGAAAGUCAAUUAAAAAAAAAAUUAAAUACCACUUUCAAUAAUUUUUAGAUAAAAUUUUAUAUAAUAUGUUUUAUUUAAAAUUUAAUUUCUAAAGUUUAACUGUAUUGACAAUUUUCUUGUUGUGAGUCAAAAUACUUUGCAUUAGUCUAUCUAGAUAAGAAAAAUUAUUAAUAUAAUAUUAGAACUUCAUAUCUUAGUUAUUUUUUUCAAUAAAUUUAUCUUUUCAAAAAUUUUAAAAUAAAAACAUUAGAAAUUAAAAAGCUAAAAGGAUAUAUAUAUAUAUAUAUAUAUAUAUAUAUAUAUAUAUAUAUAAUAGAGUGAAGUGAUAGUCAAUUUUUAAAAUAUGGUUAAUGUAGAAAAUAUAAAAAAUAAUUAAAAAUAAGAGAAAAAUAUAAAUGAAAGGAUAAUAUAAAUUUAAAAUAAAAAAUGAAAAUUAAAUUAAAAGAUAAAUACAAAAAGAUAAAAAAUAUUUGGAUGAAAAAUUCCAAAAUUUUUAUCAUUGCUUAUAAUAGGAGCAAAAAGAUUCAAUAUCUUUAAAAAAAAAAAAACAUUAUUGCUUUUUAUUUGACAUAAAAUAGAAAUAUAGAUUAGAAAAAAAAAGAAAAAAAAGUUAGAAAUGAAUAAUACUUAAUAAGAAAUAGAAAUGGGAAAAAAAAUACAAAAAAAUUGAAAUUCACACUCAUUUGUGUCUAUGUAAGGGUUAAGGGUAUUUUAAGGAUUAAUGAAAGAUAAUAUUUUUCAUCUUAAUUUUCAUACUUUGUUUAGGUUUUGCACUUAAAUAUACAUGAUAUAUGGACCAAAUGUUAAUUUUUGGACCCAAUUGGGUUUAAAACACAAUUCUCCCAAAAAAAGAAGUUGGAGGAAGUUGUGGGGAGAUGUGCAGAAGAAGGUAAUGGGUAAAGCGGUUAAUUGGAGAGGGUAAGAUGGGAAGAAAGAGGAGAGAGGAAAAUGAGGAAAAUUAAAAGAAAAUAAUAAUAAUAAUAAUAAUAAUAAUAAUAAUAAUAAUAAAUAACAAAAUAAAUAAAUAAAUAAAUAAAUUUUGAAAAUUUUUGGUGUUUACAAAAUCAUUUAAAAAAAUAAUUAUCUCAUCUAUGAAAAAUUGCAUGGACGAAGAUAAAACGUUAUUUUUCUUGUAUAAUUUCAAAUUGUGAGUAAACUCCUACUUUUCCCAAAUUUUGUGUAAGUGGAAUGAAUGGAUGAAAUUUUUUGAAUAGCUAAAGAAAGAGGAGAGAGGAAAAUAAGGGAAAUUAAAAGAAAAAAGAAGGAAAAGAAAAUAAUAAUAAUAAUAAAUAAAAAUUUUAAAAAAAUUUGGGGUUUACAUAAUCACUUAAAAAAUAAUUAUCCCAUCUAUGAAAAAUUGCAUGGACGGAGAUAAAACGUUCCUUUUCACGUAUAAUUUCAAAUUGUGAGUAAACUCCCACUUUUCCCGGAUUAUUGCGUACAUGGAAUGAAUGGAUGGGAAUUCUUGAAUAGUUGAUUAGUUCGGUCUUCAUCCAUUAAUCCAUCUAGAAACAGUGGGCUUCUAGGUGCUUUCCUAAGCCCAUUGGGCCUGACACGACAGCCCAUAUGCCCUGUACAGCCCCAAUAGCUAACUUGCUUACGUGUAUGGAAAGAAAUGAAGCACGAGGGCACAACCAUGAUGCCAAGCCUUGGAAUUCAAUAAAGCAGUUUGAUAUUUCUCCGCCACCCCCACCCUAUAUAAACCUCUACCCAUUUCCACAUAAACCAUCAUCACCACCACUACAAAGAGCGUCUUCCUCAAAAUGGGCCUCUUUAGCUGACUUGCUUGCGUCUAUGGAAUGAAGUCAAGCACGAGGGCACAAAGAUAUAUGACGCACGAGGGCACAAAGAUAUAUGACGCCAUUCCUUGGAAUUCAAUAAAGCAGUUUGACAUUUCUCCGCCACCCCCACCCUAUAUAAACCUCUACCCAUUUCCACAUAAACCACCAUCACCACCACUACAAAGAGCGUCUUCCUCAAAAUGGGCCUCUUCAAAAGCCUCUCCAUUUCCUCCUUCCUUCUCAUCACCCUCUUCUUCACCUCCGCCCAUGCAGCCAUUUUCAAUAUCCAAAACCGUUGUUCCUACACAGUUUGGGCAGCAGCUGUGCCGGGUGGGGGUAGGCGCCUCGACCCGCGUCAGUCCUGGAGCUUGACUGUGAACCCUGGGACAACUGGAGCCCGUAUUUGGGCCCGGACCGGCUGCAGCUUCAAUGGGGCUGGGCGUGGGCGUUGUCAGACCGGGGACUGCGGUGGCGUCCUCCAAUGCACAGCCUAUGGUGCACCCCCCAACACCUUGGCUGAAUUCGCACUUAACCAGUUCAACAACCUGGACUUCUUUGAUAUAUCCUUGGUCGAUGGGUUUAAUGUGCCUAUGGCUUUUAACCCUACCUCCAAUGGGUGCUCCCGUGGAAUACGGUGCACGGCCAACAUCGUGGGACAGUGCCCCAAUCAGCUCCGAGCUCAGGGUGGCUGCAAUAACCCAUGCACCGUUUUCAAGACCGAUCCGUACUGUUGCAAUUCCGGGAGCUGUGGCCCUACAGAUUACUCAAGGUAUUUCAAGACUAGGUGCCCUGAUGCUUACAGCUACCCUAAGGAUGAUCAAACCAGCACCUUUACAUGCCCUGGUGGUACCAACUAUGAUGUUAUCUUCUGCCCAUAAAGCCUCUAUUAACUAUAGUAUGCAUGUACUCGCUAGUCCAAACUACUAGGGUGCUUUUGAGUCCAAAAGCCUAGAGGAAUAAAUUUGAAUAAAUUUGAGCACAUGUAUGUGUACUACAUGCGAUCGUGUAACAAAAUUUCUAAGCUAGUUGAAGAAAUGGAUGUUUUUACGAGGGAUUUUACCGAUAUUAUUAAGAAUGUGUUUUAUAGCGAUUUUAUAAAGUGUUUUUAAUUUUUUUUUAUAUUUGAAAGAUAAAAAGUUUUAAAUGUUAAAAAAAGUAAAAACAUUUUCUAAAAUUACUGUCAAAUACACUUUAAAAAUGGAUUUAAUAAUGAUUCUAAAAAGUUUUUAUAAUUAAAUAUGAAAAUUUUGAAGUAUUAAAAAAAACUAAAAAUAUUUUCUAAAAUUAUUAUCAAAUAUAUUCUAAAUAAUGUAGGACCUAAUAGAGAAACACUUUUGCAUAAGAAUUUUAAACAAAUAAAAAAAUAAAAAUCAUUCCAUCAAAAUAAUUCUAACUUUCUUUUUGUCUAAUUGGAUUCCAAGUAAGCUCGGUUUUUGUCCGCAAGACCAAUUGUUAAUUUAGUCUUUAGACCACUAGAAUGGAGGUUUCAAGGAAAAAGAAAAAAAAAGGGUUUGACUGUGAGCAGUGCUUUGCUGACUGACCUCACUCCCAAAUCAAUUUUCCAUGUGGUGGAACCGUGGAAGACGCCUUCCUUAAUGGGUAGGAGGCUGUUAAUGGAGAGUUUGGACUUUGGGGAGAAAUUGAUUGUUUCCCCACUCACUUUCAAUUAUAUCCAUUUACAUGGAAAUAUAUAGGAAAAGAAAAAAAUUUAAAAUUUUUCGUCAAAAGCAUCUCCUUCCAAUUGUUAUAUUAAAUAUUUUAUGAUUUCAAAUCUUUUCUGGUUUAAGUUUUGAAUUUACCCUAAUGAGUUUGCCUUUUUUUUUUUCUGUCCCUAUUUAAUAUAUAUAAUUAUGUAGAUUUUCCAUUUUGUCUUUCAUAGUACAUAAUUUUGACAAUAUUUAAUGUCUUUUGCUUGGUUCCCUGCAUAGCAUGUGCGUAGGAUUAUUUUUGGCUUUUAAAUCUGCUUGCAGCCUUCAUUGAACCGAAGUGGAUAGGAAGGGCUUGACUUAUUCGUAUACUCAGAGGGCACUCAACUCACUAGCAAUGCCCCACCAAAGUCGCGUGCAUUGAAUUGUAAAAUCGAUUGACUUUUUACUUUUACCUCUUAAACAAAAGGACACCUUCUCACUCCUUCCAAAUUUUUGAAAAAGAUAUAUAUAUAUAUCUAAAAACUGAAUUUAAUUAGAUUAUUUAUUAGAAAGGUAGGGUGAUCAUUCAUAACACUUCUCAAUACUCAUAUAUGUACUGUUUUUACUAAAUGAAUGAAAAGAAGUAUGAUGAUUAAUUAAUUAAUCAUGAAUAUUAAGAUUAAGAAGACAAAUCAAUAUAUAUAAAAAAAUAAUCAAAUCAAAAUAAUGCACAAAAUAAAUGACAAGAAAAUUUUACAAAAUAAUUUAUUAAACAAAUUUAAAAUAUAUAUAUUUCAAAAAAUUAUUCUUUUAAGAAUUUCGAAAAAAAAUUAUUAAAAACAAUUUCGAAUAAAUAAUUUCAAUUUAUUUUUUAUUUUUAAAAAGUUUCAAUUUAUUUCCAACAAAUGAUUUGAUUUAAUUUUAUUUAUAUUCAAUUUAUAUAUUUUUUUUAAAUAAUUACACUUAUUUUAUCAAAAGAUUUUUUUUAAAAAAAAGGAAAAUUCAAUUCCACAAUAAAAAUGAUUUUUACUUGCUUUUAUUAGAAAAAAAAAAAGAAUUUUUACAACUUUAUUUUCAAAAAUAAUUUAAUUUUAUUUUAUUUACAAAGAAUUAAUUUCUUUACAAUAAAAUAUUUUCAAUCCAAUUUUAUCAAGAAAAUUAUUUUUACAACUUCAAUUUGCAAAAAAAACUUUCAUUUUAUUUUUAUUAAAAUAUUAUUCAAGACAUUUAUUUAUGAAAAUUAUUUUUAAUGUCAUUCUAAUUAAGGAAAGAUAACUUAUUUAAAUUUUUUGGAUAAUUUUAUUAAAAAAAACCUUUUGGACAAUUUCAUUUAAAAAUCAAUUUUUUUGAACAAUUUUAAUUAAACAAAAUAAAUUUUAGACAAUUAUUAAAAACAAUUUUUUAAAAUUUUAAUUAAAAACAAUUUUAGAAUUCCUUUAAAAACAUUUUUUGAAUUUUUUUAUUAAGCAAACUUUCUUUUAUUUAAAAGAAUCAUUUUAGAAAUAUUAUUUUAUUAAAAAAUAUUUAUUAAAUGGUUCCUCUUAUUUAAACAAAAAUUUUGGUUUGUUGUGAAUAUUUAAACAAAAUUUUUGGGUUUGAAUCAAUACAAAUAAAACCAAAUAAAAGUGAAAAUAAAAUGUAUAUCCAACAAGCCUACAACUCUUUUUUCUUCAUGAAAUUCAACCUUUCAUGUGUCUCGAAUCCAUACUUAGACAGAAUACCAAUGAGAGUAGUGGAAUGGGCCAUGAAAAACAAAAAUUAGUCCAAAAGUAAGUAUUUGGAAAUAUGCAAAAUCCAAAAUAAAUAUUCAAACCCAAAUUCUAUAAGCCCAAUAGGAAAAUUCAAAUUGGUCCAAUGAAUUUCACCAAUGAAAAUAAAUCAAAUUAACAAGUAUAACCCAACAAAAAUAUCUCAUUUGCUAUAAGCAUUAGUUCAAAAUUUUCAAAUUAAUAACCAAAAUCUAAUAUCCAUCAACAAGCCACAAAUCAAAAUAAUCUCAAUUAAGCCUAAGCCCAAUUUAAUACGCAAACUCAAAUUCAUAAUCAAAAUCAAACUCAAUUUAAUAUACAUACCUAAAUAAUAUCUAAAAUAUAUCACAAUAUUAUCUCAUACCCGAAUUAAAUAAUUCAUGAGCAAAACCUAUAUCAAAUGUCAAUCAAUCCAAUAAAUUUUACCAAUAAUAAAAUAGCUUAAAUUUCAUAUUAAUUAAUAAACUCAGAACGUGAUAAAUCAAAAUAAAUUGAAUCAAACAUAAAUUCAAUAUCUUAUAAUUUAAGCCUAAUUGAAUAUUCAAAUCCAAAAUCCAAUAAUCACCAAAUCCAAAUACAACAUAAACUAACAAACCCGAAUUUAUAUGAAUACAAAUCAAAAUAUAAGGUCCAAAAUGAUCCAGAUUAUCUAAGCUUACAAAUAAUGUCUAAAUGCACACAUGAAAAUAAUAAAAAUUAGCCCAAACCAAUAAUCUCAAUAAUCAAGAACAAAUUAUUGUAGUGAUUAAACAGAAAUAAUAAAAAUAUAAGGAUAUAAACUUACCCAUGAAGAACCCAUUAUAGUAAUUAAACAUAAAUAACAAAAAUAAAAGAAAAUAAAUUUGCCCAAAUUUGAAGUAUAUUGUUGAAGGGUUGAUAUAGGCUAAUGAAAAUAAAAAUAAAAAUAAAAUGAAAGAAGAUAGAGAGGGAAAGAAAGAGAAAAUGGUGAGAUGAAAGAUAGGUGGAAAGGGAGAACGAAAGAGGAAAGGGGGUCGCCGGCCGGCAGCAGAUCACCGAUGGAGACGGACCAACUGUGUUGUCGAUAGUGAGGGUUGAGUGAGUGUGGUGAGGGAAAAAUGAAGAAGAAAAAUGAAGAGAAGAAAAAAAAAAAAAAGAAAGGUGGGGCAUGUUCUCUGGAAGUGGGCCAAGAGGGGAGAAAAAGCGGGGAAAAAAAGAAGAUGAAAGAAAAUGAAAGAAAAGAGAGGAAAAUGGAAAUGGAAGAGAGGAGAGCGGGGGAUAUGGGGUCUCUGACGUGGGAGUGGGCAGGAGAGAGAGAGUUGAGGGAGUGGGUGGAGUAGGUGAGAGAAAAAGAAAGAAAAGAAAAUAAAAGAGGGAGGGAAGGAAGGAAAUGAGAAAAAAAGAAGAAGUAAAAUAAAAUUAGAUAAAAUAAUAAAAAAUUAAAAAUUAACAUUUAAAAUAUAUAAAUAGGUUAAAAAAAUUCAAACUAAGAUUUAAAAAAUAUAAAUGGACCAAAAAAUUUAAAUUUCGAUUUAAAAGGUAUAUAUGAAUAAAAAAAAAAUCAAAUGUAAUCCAUUUGAAAUAUAAUAAUAAAAUUAAACAUAAAAUUAAUGUAAAAAAAAAAUAGAAGAAAUUUUAAGAUUACAAAAAGUAUAGGGCAUGGUACAAAUUUAUUUUUAUUAUUUAAAUAAAAAAAGAUUAUCUUAAAACAUUACUUUAUUUUUUAAAAUAAGAAAUAAUUUUUAAGAAUUUAUUCUUGAAAUGAGGAGAGUGUUUAGAAUAUUUUUUUCACUUACUUUCUAAAAAAAUAUUAUAAAAAUUAAAUUAAUAAAUAUGCAGAAUAAUUAAAAGUAAAAUGUUAUAUACAAAAGUUAUUUUAAAAAAUAUAUUAACAAAAAUCAAAUUUCGAAACGGACUUCUUCUAUUAAAAAAAUAUUAAAAAUGGUUUGAAGCAUAUAUUCAAAAGUCGUCUUUUGAGAGUAGAUUUCAAAAAUAUUUCCAAAUAGAUUUUAACAUAUCAUUUCAAAGUGAUUCUAAUUAAAAUAUUUUGAUUUAUACUUUUUUAUUCAAAAUAUUUUGAUCAACUUUUAAAUAUAAAACCAAUUCAAAAAUAUCCUCAACACAUAUUAUUUAAUCAUAAAAAUUCUCAUAAUUUUUUUAUUCUUCAAAUACUUUCCAACAAAUAGUCAAAGUCACAUGCAAACUCUUCCAACAAAUUUCAAAUGCAAGCCACAUACAUAUGCAACACUCCUUAACAUGAUUCGUAAGAAUAAUUUCUCAGUGACACAAAUUUCAAUUUCUACUAAAUAUCUAUAUCAAAAUAAAUAGAAAAAAAAAUUCAAGAUAUCCAAAGAUGAUCACACCUAUUUCAGUUCAUUGUUCUUCCAUUCAAUUUAUAUCCACAAGUAAUAAAUGAAAACUAAAACUGAAAAUAAAUCAAAGAAUAUAAUAAAAAUAAAUAAAUAAAUAAUGAUAUCAGAAUUUACGUAGAAAACUUUCAAAAAGAUUAAUAAAACACGAACUUACCAUCAAUAAAAAAUUCCACUAUAAAAAAUAAAUAAUGUGUACAACGAUUUACCUAACUCAAAUCUUUUAAUCUUUCGUAGACUUAACCAACACUUUCUCACUUCAAUAGCAUAUCCUCAUCUUUCAUAAUAUACUUGGCCUUUUCAUUAUACUUGGCCUUUUCAUUAUACUUGAUCUUAACCUCUUCUUAAAGCUUGUUUAAGAAGAAAAAUGGGUUUUUUACCCAAACCCAAAUAGAUCAAAAAUUGAGAGAAUGAAUGAAUAAAUAGAUUAACCUUUUUUUUUUCUCAAGAAAAUUUAUUGAAAGCGACUUUAAAAUCAAUAAGAAAAUGAGAUUUUCUUGACCACCAAACACCGUAAAUUUGGUAAGAAAAAAAAGUACAAGGGCAAAAUAACUAUAUAUAUAUAUAUAUAUAUAUAUAUAUAUUAUUUUGUUAGAAAAAAAAUUUGAUAUAAAAAGUAGUUUUAGUGCUACAAAUAUAUCUAUAUAUAUAUAUAUAUAUACUCUUAAUUGAUAUCUUCUUCAAAAUGGUCCCCAUACUGUGUUCUAGCCACGACAGAUAAUACGAUUGAGAUUAAUGAGACGGCACUUAGAUAAUUCUUGUGUACGUGGAAUGAAUGGAUGGGAAUUCUUGAAUACUUAAAUACUUGACUUGUUCAAUGUUGUGGGCUUCAAGGUGCUUUCCUUAGCCCAUUGGGCCCUGCCAUCUACCCUGUGCAGCCCCAUUAGCUGACUUGCUUGCGUCUAUGGAAUGAAGUCAUACACGAGGGCACAAAGAUAUAUGACGCCAUUCCUUGGAAUUUAAUAAAAGCUGUUUCCCAUUUCUCCGCCGCCCCCACCCUAUAUAAACCCCUACCCAUUUUUCCAAAGGUUGAAUUCAAUUUAAAUAACAAAUCCAUCUUUAUAAAGUGAAAAAUAAAUUUGUUUUUUCAAAAAUCAAGUUUAAUAUUAAAAUAAAACAGAUAAGAGAUUAAAAACAAAAGUUACAAAACGGACAAGAGAGAAGAAUGGAAUGUGGUAAAAAAAAAACACAUUUUGUAUUUAUUUUUAAAUAACAAUUUUAGUAAUGAUUUUAUAAGGUGUUUUUAAUAUUUAAAAAAAAAUUAAAAAUACUUGUUAAAAUAAUUGUGAAACGCAUUGUUAGACUUUUUAGACCAUACAGGUUUCAGGGAAAAAACAAUAAAAAAUAAAAUAAAGAAGAUUUGAUUGUGAGCAAAGCUUUCAAUUUUCCAUGUAGUGGAAGAAGCCUUCUAUAUGGGUAUUUUAUUUUGUCCUCAUAACAUGAUAUUUAUCAUAUUUGGUAUUUGCAUAGUAUAUAUACAAAAUUCUUUUUGAUUUUUCUACUCUUUGCACUUCUUAGUGGUCUUUCUAUUACUUUUAUACAUAAUAAAAGUCAAUAACUAAAUGUAGAGAUUUUUUGCGGGCCCAAAAAUCACACGGUUAGUUCAUGGAGUUGCUUUCGGAGAGGCCUGAACCACCCACCAAAGUUGAGCUUAUCUCUUCGCUUUUACAUCUUAAAUGACACUAGAAAAAGGUAUAUGGCAUAGUAGAAAACUAUUUUUAAUUUUUUUUUUAUUAUUUAAAUAAUUUUUUUUUACCUGAAAACUUUUAUUAUUAUUUUAAAUAAGAAAUUGUUUUUUAAUUAUUUAUUCUAAAAAUGAGAAGAAAGUGUUAAGAAUAUUUUUUUCACUUAUUUUCUGAGAAUCAUUUAAAAAAUUUAAUUAUAUAAAUAUUGAGAAGAGUUGAAAAUAAAACAUUACAUAUAAUUUUUAAAAAUAUAAAAAUUUUAUUAAAAAUAUUUCAAGUUUCUAAACAUGCUUCUAGUAAAAAAAAAAAUUAAAAAUUGUUUGAAACAUAUUUUCAAAAAUUAAUUUUGGACAACAGUUUUAAAAAAUAUUUCCAAAUAGACCAUGAAAUAUCAUUUCAAAAUGAUUUUAAUUAAAGUUGUGCAGAGUAUUUUAACAAUGAUAUGGACCUUAUCUGGAAAAUAUUUUAAAUAAAAAAUAUAUGUUUAUUUAAAUUUGCGCCAUUGUAUUUGCUUACAAGUUUAUUUAUUGUCAUGUUUCAGAAAAAAAUAUCAGCUUCAGUUGAAAAGUUUUGAAAGAUACUUCGUAGUGGACCCACAUGGAUCACGAAUCCAUCUAAAACCCAACAUUUACGGGCUUUCCAUGACAUUGGGCCCAGUCACGUGUCUUUUAAGUGGAAAGUAAACUUUGGAUUUUCUCUUCUCUGGACUGGGUUGCUUCUCAGUAUCUUAAACGAUAAAUGAUGAUAUUAUCGAAAAUAGUCCCAGUCUCAGAAUAAUUGAAGUGGCCAAUCAUAUUGGAAUAAUUCAACAGGCUGUCUCAUUGAAUUUUGAAAUAAAUUUUUCCAACAACAUCCACCGACGUUUUUCUCAUUCAGCAUUCGGUAUUUAUGAAUUUACAUAAAAGUUAGGCAGAUUUCUGAAAUUAUAAAAAAUAAAAAUAAAAAUGACAAUGACGUGGGGCCUCGUCUCUGCAAAAUAUUUUAAAUAAAAUUAUUUAUUUUCUAAAAACAAACCUUUUUCAUUUGAAAAAAAAAAUUAUUGGCUUUUGAUGAUAAGGUUUGUGGAAGAAAAAGGCCAUCCCGCAUUGACUCUUUCUUUCAUGCCUACGAGUCACAACGAAGUCGACCACAAAGAUGAUGCCAUCAUUUGGAAUUUUUACAAGGCUUUAUGCACGCGGUUUUUCCACACUCACACCAACCCAAGCCCUCCUUCACACUAUACAAACCCUUUCUUCAAAUUGAUAAAUGAUAGUUUUUUUCAUUCAUACUUUCAUUUGUUCAUAUACAGAGUAUAUAUAGAGGGUAAUCAUCAUUCUAAGAAUGAGAAAGAAUAAUACAAGGAAAGAAUGAUAUAAGGAAAUAACAACUAAUAUCCUAAUAUCUCAACUUUCCUAAUAUUUCAAUAUUCCUAGUAUCUCAAUAUUCAUAAUAUCUCAAUAUUCAUAAUAUCUCAACAUUCCUAAUAUCUAAACAUUCCUAAUAUCUCAAUACUAAAUGAUAUAAGGAAAGAAUGAUAUAAGGAAAGCAUUCCUAAUAUCUCAACACUCCCCCUCAAGUUGGUGCAUAGAUGUCACACAUACCCAACUUGUCUAAAAAUUUUGAGAACACUUGACUUGAGACAGCUUUGGUAAGGAUAUCGGCCAAUUGAUCUUCUGAUCGAAUCUUAGGCAAUUCCACAAUCUUAUCAUCCAACUUUUCCUUAAUGAAGAAUCUAUCCACCUCGACAUGCUUUGUAUGAUCAUGUUGUACUGGAUUAUGAGUAAUGUCACAUGCGGCUUUAUUGUCACAAAACAAUCGGAUUGGUUGCCUAGAUAGGUAACUUAAAUCCUGUAAGAGGAGUCUUACCCAUAAUGCCUCACAAAGUCCUAGAGUCAUAUCUCUAAAUUCCGCUUCUGCACUUGAAUGAGCGACGACAUUCUGCUUCUUACUUUUCCAUGUCACAAGAUUACCACGUACAAAGGUAAAGUAACCAGAUGUAGAUCGCCUAUCAUCCACUGCACCGGCCCAAUCAGCAUCAGUAUAUACUUCUAUACUCUGAUGAUCAACAUUUUUAGUGAACAAAAUUCCCUUCCCAGGAGCAUUCUUCAAAUACCUCAAAAUAUGCAUGACUGCAUUCAUAUGUUGCUCUCCAGGAUUAUGCAUGUAGUGACUCACUACACUCAAUGCAUAAGCAAGAUCUGGUCUUGUAUGAGCUAAGUACAUUAAUCUCCCCACAAGUCUCUGGUAUCUUCCUUUAUUGGUUGAUACUUGAUUAGGCUCAACACACAAUUUCAGACCUUCUUCUAUUGGUGUAUUAACAGGUUGACAUCCCGACAUUCCAGUCUCCUGUAAAAGAUCUAAGGCAUACUUUCUUUGAGACAAAAAAAUUCCUUCACUUGAUCGAGAAACUUCAAUCCUAAGAAAGUAUUUCAGAGGACCUAGAUCUUUCAUUUCGAAUUCUUUAGAUAGAUAAUUUUGCAGAGCUUUUCUUUCUUCAGGAUCAUUUCCUGUAACUACCAUGUCAUCCACAUAUACGAUGAGUGUCGUAAUCUUACCAUGUUGCUUUUUUAGGAAUAAAGUGUGAUCUGAAUUACUUUGACGAUAGCCAAAAGCUCUCAUUAACUUUGUGAACCUUCCAAACCAUGCUCUCGGGGAUUGCUUCAACCCAUACAAUGACUUCUUCAAUUUGCACACCUUCUGACAUUGCUUUUCUAACACCAUGCAUCCUGGUGGAAGAUCCAUAUAUACUUCUUUAGAUAACUCGCCAUGAAGAAAAGCAUUUUUCACAUCGAAUUGUUGUAAUGGCCAAUCUAGGUUUGCAGCUAAAGACAAUAAUACUCGAAUUGUGUUGAUCUUAGUUACAGGUGCAAAUGUCUCUGUGUAGUCAAUUCCAUAAGUUUGAGUGUACCCUUUUGCUACCAGUCUUGCUUUAAAUCGUUCAAUACUACCAUCUGCCUUGUACUUCGCAGUAUAGAUCCAACGACACCCAACUGGCUUCUUUCCUGGUGGACAUUCUACGAGUUCCCAUGUUUCAUUCUUCUGCAAUGAUUUCAUCUCUUCAUUCAUGACUGCUUUCCACCUUGGAUCAGCUAAGGCUUCUUGCACACUGUUAGGAAUAGAUACAGUAGAUAAUUGAUUUACAAAUGACUUAUUUGAUUCAGACAAACGAUGGGUAGACACAUAGUUGCUCAUGAGAUAUUUGACUUUAUUAGGCAAUUCAGGUUCAUAUGUGGGUUUAGGAAUACCUCUAUUAUGACGAUGUGGUAACCGUUUCAUGAAUGGAUCAGGUUCCAAAUUAAGAACACCCUCAACAGACGACGAUUGGUUUGGUAUUUCAGUGAAGAUAACUUCGGACCCAAAUGUGCAACUAGUGCCAUGAUUAUCCUGAAAGAGUCCUUCGUAGAAACUGGAGAGAAGGUCUCUUUGAAGUCAAUUCCUUCUUUUUGAGUAAAGCCUUUAGCUACAAGACGUGCUUUAUAUCUUUCUACAUUACCAUUUGAAUCCCGCUUGGUUUUAAAUAUCCAUUUACAACCAAUGGGCUUCGUGCCAACUGGUAAUGGGACAAGUUCCCAAACUUUAUUGUCUUGCAUAGAUUUGUACUCUUCAUUCAUGGCUUCAAUCCAUUUCUGAGAGUUGGAACUUUUCAUGGCUUGCUGGAAGUUGAUUGGAUCAUCUUCCAUCAUUCCACUUUCUACCCCACGUUCCUAGAGAUAUACGAUAUAAUCGUCCGAAAUUACAUUUCUCCUCUCUCUAGUGGAUCUCCUUAAUAGCAUAUUUUCUUGAGGUUGUUGAGUUUGUUCUUCAAGAGCAAUGUCCUCAUUUGCAAUUAAGGGUUGAACAAUAUUGUCUAUUGGUUAAGGAUCCAAAUUUACUUCUUGAUCGAUGAUAGGUAGUGAAACCUGUACAUUAUCAAAAGCAAUAGUAGAUCCCUCUUCCUCCUCAAAGACAAUAUUCCUAGCCUGAUUUCUCCCCCCAAACUCAACAUCCUCAAAAAAUGUUGCAGUUCUCGUCUCAAAAAUUGACCUAAAAGCAGGAUCAUAAAAUUUAAAACCCCUUGAUCGCUCUGCAUAGCCAAUAAAGUAGUUGCUAACUGUUUUAGAGUCCAAUUUCUUUUCAUGAGGCUUAUAAGGUCUCGCUUCAGCUGGACAUCCCCAAAUAUGGAAAUGCUUUAAACUGGGCUUUCGACCCGUCCAAAGCUCAUAAGGCAUUUUAGCAGCCGCUUUAGUUGGCACCCGAUUUAGGAUAUAAGCUGCCGUUUUAAGUGCUUCACCCCAGAGUUUUUCGGGUAAAGUAGAAUGACUAAUCAUACUCCUUACCAUGUCCUUAAGAGUUCGGUUUCGUCUUUCUGCUACACCAUUCAUGCUAGGUGAUCCUGGCAUGGUGUAUUAAGGGACGAUCCCACAUUCCUCUAGGUAUUUAGCAAAUGGUCCUGGACGUUGUUCACCUGAUCCGUCAUAUCUACCAUAGUAUUCACCACCACGGUUAGAUCUGACGCUCUUUAUUCUUUUGUUGAGUUGUAACUCAACUUCUGCUUUAAAUGUUUUGAACACGUCCAAUGAUUGUGAUUUCUCAUGUAUAAGAAAUAGGUAGCCAUAUCUUGAAUAGUCGUCUAUGAAUGUUAUAAAGUACUGUUGACCAUUCCAAGAUAUCGUAGGGUAUGGUCCACAGAUAUCUGUAUGAAUUAAUUCUAAGACGUUUGUAGCUCUAUUGGCACCUAAUUUCUUUGUUUUGGUCUGUUUUCCUUUAAUACACUCAACACAAAUAUCAAAAUCUGAAAAGUUAAGUGAAUCCAAAAUCCCAUCGGACACAAGUCGCUCAACUCUAGAUUUAGAGAUAUGACCUAGGCGUUUGUGCCAUAAUGAGGCCGAAUUAUCUUUAUUCAAUUUACGUUUUGUACCUCGUGAUUCCACAUGCAAGGUUUCAUUAUAGGACGGAACAGUUUCCAACAAAUAUAGAUUAUCAUAAACAUUAAGUAAACCGGUUCCUACAACAUUUGAAAUAAUAGAUAAUGUAAAUCUAUUGUUUCCAAAUGAACAACAAUAACCUGAUUUGUCCAAAACAGAAACUGAAAUUAAAUUCCGUCUGAAAGACGGUACAACAAAAGUAUCUAUUGAAUCCAAAAAAUAACCAGAUUUCAAUAAUAAUCUAAAGUGCCCUAUUGUCUCUACUUCUAUCGACUGACCGUCUCCGACAUAGAUGCAUCUUUCAGCAUCACUUGGUUUUCGGUAACUCAGGCAACCCUGCAUAGAAACACAAAUAUGAAUAGUAGCACCAGAAUCUAACCACCAUGUGUUUCUAGAUACUGAAGCUAAAUUAACUUCAGAACAUACCAAAGUAAGAAAUAUACCUUUCUUAACACGCCAAGUAGCAUACUUGGUACAUUCCUUCUUAGUAUGUCCAGGCUUAUUACAGAAGAAACAUGUUACCUCAACUUUCUGUUUCUUUUGUUCUGGACCAUUAGAAGCAACAACCUUAUUAUUCUUAUUCUUUCGUUUGCCCUUAUCCUUGGAAGUGCUAGCCAGAAGAGCACUUUCGGUCUUGUCUUGCUUCAAUCUCUCUUCCUCUUGCACACAGAAUGAAAUGAGCUCAUUAAGAGUCCAUUUAUCCUUUUGAUAGUUAUAACUGACCUUGAAUUAAUUAAAUUGUGCAGGAAGAGAGAUGAGAACCAAAUGCACGAGUAAAUCAUCAGAUAACUCGAGUUUCAAAGCCUUAAGUUUUGAAGCAAGAUGAGACAUCCCCAUGAUGUACUCCCGAACAUUACCCUUGCCUUUAUACUUCAUUGAAAUCAAGCUUGCUAAAAGCGUGCUCGUUUCAGCCUUAUCGUUUUUGGCAAAACGUUUCUGAAUUUCCGCAAGGAAGUCACUGGCAUUAGUAACCUCAUCGGUUACCGCACCCCUGAAAGCUUCUGGAAUGCCGCGCUUCAUGAUCAUAAGACUUAGCCUAUUUGAACGUUCCCACUUACCCCAAUAAACCUCAUGCUCUUGAGUACUUUCCUCAUUGAGUUCAUCGGGUUUGGGCAUUCUCAAGGCUAAGUCUAUAUCCAUGCAGCCUAAGAGAAUCAUCAUAUUCUCUUUCUAGUCCUUAAAAUUAGUCUCAUUUAACAUAGGGACAUUAUUGAUGUUGGCAGAUAUAGAAGUAGUUGAUAUAAAAGUUGAAUCGAAAACAAAAUAAAAUAAAUCAAAUAAACCAUCAUGCUCACAUAAAAUAAGCAAUUAAACACAUAAUCUUUAAAUUUAAAAGCAAAUUAUGACAUUUCAAGAUACCUAGCACAACAUUAAUAUCAAGUCUUUGGACAGUAAUAUUAACUAUAAGUGGUACUCUUGUUGUAGUGAUCAAACAUUGAUGAUAAGUUAUGUCAAAUAAUAAAUCUAUCUUUGGAUUGAUUUAUUAUUCACAUUAAGUUACCUUUAUAAUCAUCACAUAUUUAUCACCACAGGUAUGUAUGCAAUUUGACCAAAUAUUAACUUUCCUUUGGGCCAGUCAAUACCCGCAUGAAUCACAUACACACGAAUAUCUAACACCCUGAACAGACUAAUCUACACGAAAGAUGUCACUUUGGUGAUUUUCCGCUUUAAUUAACCUAUUUAAAAUGCUAGAUCAAUAACUUAAAUAUUAAUAUCAUAAAAUGCUAUUAAAUAAUAAUAAUAAUAAUAAUAAUAAUAGUAAAAAAAAAAACAAAUUUAUUUAAUACAAAAAAAAAUAAAUUAAAACUUAAUAUAUUAUUAUAAGAAUAUGAUAAAUACUGCAGCAGCAAGGGAUAAAGGCCUUUUAUACUCAUAUAUACAUAUAUAUAUAUAUAUAUAUAUAUAUAUAUAUAUAUAUUUGAAACUUUAACAGAAUCAUCACCUACUAUUCCCAAAGAAAUUUCUAAGAUAUAUCAUUGGAAAUGUAAUACUUUUGACUUCAAAUACAAAUUUUUUUUGCACCUCUUUUCUUAACCAAUGAAUGUAUCUAUGUAUACUCUUAUAUUAAUACAAUCGAUUUCUAUUGACUUUAUCAAAACGAUCCACUGGUUUGUCAAACGAUUUAUGAAACGAUUUAUUGGUUUAUCAAACGAUUGUAUUUAUUCUGCCGAUAAAUCGCUUGAUAAACCAAUAGAAACCGAUUGCGGAAUAAAAAAAUAAAAAAUAUCAACUCAAUAUUUCAUAAAUCUUAAUCCAUUGACAUAUAUACAUAUAUAUAUAUAUAUAUAUAUUAAAAUAAUAACUCAAAGAAUUAAUCAAGGAGUAGGCUCUGAUACCACUUGUUAUAAUCAAACAAGAUGAAUACCCUAAUUUCAUAUAUACUGGAAUCUCCUGAUUAAAAAACAAUGAGUAGAAAAAUAAUAGCGGAAGCAUACCUGAAUCUAUUGAGGGAGAAACCUUAUAGGAAGAAAACCCUUUGAGAUGGUCUUCCAAUUCUAGCCACUAGAUUCUGUGUCAAUUUCUCUCUGAGAGGAUUUUUCAGAAAUUAGAAUGCGUAGUCGUAGAAUGGGGACCAUAACCCUAUUUAUAAACCGCUAGGGCAGUUUUAAUUUUAUCACAAUUAUAUUUCUGCCCCUCAUAGAAAUAAUAAUUAUCUAAUGGUAUCUACACAAUAAUCUCAUGACAAUUAUACCCUUAAGCCAAUUAAUCAAUUAUUAAUUAGAUCACUAUAUUUAGGCUUAAUUAAAUGAUAGCACACACAUUUUAAUUAUUUACAUGUGUGGUCCAAAUUAUAGAUUAAUUACAAAAAUUAAUCUAACAUCUUCCUCAAAAUGGGCCUCUUCAAAAGCCUCUCCAUUUCCUCCUUGCUUCUCAUCACCCUCUUCUUCACCUCCGCCCAUGCAGCCAUUUUCAAUAUCCAAAACCGUUGUUCCUACACAGUUUGGGCAGCAGCUGUGCCGGGUGGGGGUAGGCGCCUCGACCCGCGUCAGUCCUGGAGCUCGACUGUGAACCCUGGGACAACUGGAGCCCGUAUUUGGGCCCGGACCGGCUGCAGCUUCGAUGGGGCUGGGCGUGGGCGUUGUCAGACCGGGGACUGCGGUGGCGUCCUCGAAUGCACAGCCUAUGGUGCACCCCCCAACACCUUGGCUGAAUUCGCACUUAACCAGUUCAACAACCUGGACUUCUUUGAUAUAUCCUUGGUCGAUGGGUUUAAUGUGCCUAUGGCUUUUAGCCCCACCUCCAAUGGGUGCUCCCGUGGAAUACGGUGCACGGCCAACAUCGUGGGACAGUGCCCCAGUCAGCUUCGAGCUCAGGGUGGCUGCAAUAACCCAUGCACCGUUUUCAAGACCGAUCAGUACUGUUGCAAUUCCGGGAGCUGUGGCCCUACAGAUUACUCAAGGUAUUUCAAGACUAGGUGCCCUGAUGCUUACAGCUACCCUAAGGAUGAUCAAACCAGCACCUUUACAUGCCCUGGUGGUACCAACUAUGAUGUUAUCUUCUGCCCAUAAAGCCUCUAUUAACUAUAGUAUGCAUGUACUCGCUAGUCUAAACUACUAGGGUGCUUUUGAGUCCAUGUUGAGAUGCAAAAGCCUAGAGGAAUAAAUUUGAGCACAUGUAUGUGUACUACAUGUGAUCAUGUAACAAAAUUUCUAAGCUAGUUAAAGAAAUGGAUGUUUUUACGAGGGAUUUUAUCGAUAUUAUUAAGAAUGUGUUUUAUAGUGAUUUUAUGAAAUGUUUUUAAUUUUUUUUUAUAUUUGAAAGAUAAAAAGUUUUAAAUGUUAAAAAAAACAAAAAUAUUUUCUAAAAUUAUUAUUAAAUACAUUCUAAAAGUGGAUUUAAUAAUGAUUCUAAAAAAAUUUUAUAAUUAAAUAUGAAAAUUUUGAAGUAUUAAAAAAAACUAAAAAUAUUUUCUAAAAUUAUUAUCAAAUAUAUUCUAAAUAAUGUAGGACCUAAUAGAGAAACACUUUUGCAUAAGAAUUUUAAACAAAUAAAAAAAUAAAAAUCAUUCCAUCAAAAUAAUUCUAACUUUCUUUUUGUCUAAUUGGAUUCCAAGUAAGCUCGGUUUUUGUCCGCAAGACCAAUUGUUAAUUUAGUCUUUAGACCACUAGAAUGGAGGUUUCAAGGAAAAAAAAAAAAAAGGGUUUGACUGUGAGCAGUGCUUUGCUGACUGACCUCACUCCCAAAUCAAUUUUCCAUGUGGUGGAAGACGCCUUCCUUAAUGGGUAGGAGGCUGUUAAUGGAGAGUUUGGACUUUGGGGAGAAAUUGAUUGUUUCCCCACUCACUUUCAAUUAUAUCCAUGUACAUGUAAAAAUAUAUAGGAAAAGAAAAAAAUUUAAAAUUUUUCGUCAAAAGCAUCUCCUUCCAAUUGUUAUAUUAAAUAUUUUAUGAUUUCAAAUCUUUUCUGGUUUAAGUUUUGAAUUUACCCUAAUAAGUUUGCCCUUUUUUUUUCUGUCCCUAUUUAAUAUAUAUAAUUAUGUAGAUUUUCCAUUUUGUCUUUCAUAGUACAUAAUUUUGAUAAUAUUUAAUGUCUUUUGCUUGGUUCCCUGCAUAGCAUGUGCGUAGGAUUAUUUUUGGCUUUUAAAUCUGCUUGCAGCCUUCAUUGAACCGAAGUGGAUAGGAAGGGCUUGACUUGUUCGUAUACUCAGAGGGCACUCAACUCACUAGCAAUGCCCCACCAAAGUCGCGUGCAUUGAAUUGUAAAAUCGAUUGACUUUUCACUUUUACCUCUUAAACAAAAGGACACCUUCUCACUCCUUCCAAAUUUUUGAAAAAGAUAUAUAUAUAUAUAUAUAUAUAUAUCUAAAAACUGAAUUUAAUUAGAUUAUUUAUUAGAAAGGUUGGGUCAUCAUUCAUAACACUUCUCAAUACUCGUAUAUGUACUGUUUUUACUAAAUGAAUGAAAAGAAGUAUGAUGAUUAAUUAAUUAAUCAUGAAUAUUAAGAUUAAGAAGAUAAAUCAAUAUAUAAAAAAAAAUAAUCAAAUCAAAAUAAUGCACAAAAUAAAUGACAAGAAAAUUUUACAAAAUAAUUUAUUAAACAAAUUUAAAAUAUAUAUAUUUCAAAAAAUUAUUUUUUUAAGAAUUUCAAAAAAAAAUUAUUAAAAACAAUUUCGAAUAAAUAAUUUCAAUUUAUUUUUUAUUUUUAAAAAAUUUCAAUUUAUUUCCAACAAGUGAUUUGAUUUAAUUUUAUUUAUAUUCAAUUUUUAUUUUUAAGAAAAAUAAUUACACUUAUUUUAUCAAAUGAUUUUUUUAAAAAAAAGGAAAAUUCAAUUCCACAAUAAAAAUGAUUUUUACAUGCUUUUAUUAGAAAAAAAAAAAAGAAUUUUUACAACUUUAUUUUCAAAAAUAUUUUAAUUUAAUUUUAUUUACAAAGAAUUAAUUUCUUUACAAUAAAAUAUUUUCAAUCCAAUUUUAUCAAGAAAAUUAUUUUUACAACUUCAAUUUGCAAAAAAAACUUUCAUUUUAUUUUUAUUAAAAUAUUAUUCAAGACAUUUAUUUAUGAAAAUUAGUUUUAAUGUCAUUCUAAUUAAGGAAAGAUAACUUAUUUAAAUUUUUUGGAUAAUUUUAUUAAAAAAACCUUUUGGACAAUUUCAUUUAAAAAUCAAUUUUUUUGAACAAUUUUAAUUAAACAAAAUAAAUUUUAGACAAUUAUUAAAAACAAUUUUUAAAAAUUUUAAUUAAAAACAAUUUUAGAAUUCCUUUAAAAACAUUUUUUGAAUUUUUUUAUUAAGCAAGCUUUCUUUUAUUUAAAAGAAUCAUUUUAGAACUAUUAUUUUAUUAAAAAAUAUUUAUUAAAUGGUUCCUCUUAUUUAAACAAAAAUUUUGGGUUUGAAUCAAUACAAAUAAAAUCAGAUAAAAGUGAAAAUAAAAUGUAUAUCCAACAAGCCUACAACUCUUUUUUCUUCAUGAAAUUCAACCUUUCAUGUGUCGCGAAUCCAUACUUAGACAGAAUACCAAUGCAAGUAGUGGAAUGGGCCAUGAAAAACGAAAAUUAGUCCAAAAGUAAGUAUUUGAAAAUAUGCAAAAUCCAAAAUAAAUAUUCAAACCCAAAUUCUAUAAGCCCAAUAGGAAAAUUCAAAUUGGUCCAAUGAAUUUCACCAAUGAAAAUAAAUCAAAUUAACAAGUAUAACCCAACAAAAAUAUCUCAUUUGUUAUAAGCAUUAGUUCAAAAUUUUCAAAUUAAUAACCAAAAUCUAAUAUCCAUCAACAAGCCACAAAUCAAAAUAAUCUCAAUUAAGCCUAAGCCCAAUUUAAUACGCAAACUCAAAUUCAUAACCAAAAUCAAACCCAAUUUAAUAUACAUACCUAAAUAAUAUCUAAAAUAUAUCACAAUAUUAUCUCAUACCCGAAUUAAAUAAUUCAUGAGCAAAACCUAUAUCAAAUGUCAAUCAAUCCAAUAAAUUUUACCAAUAAUAAAAUAGCUUAAAUUUCAUAUUAAUUAAUAAACUCAGAACAUGAUAAAUCAAAAUAAAUUGAAUCAAACAUAAAUUCAAUAUCUUAUAAUUCAAGCCUAAUUGAAUAUUCAAAUCCAAAAUCCAAUAAUCACCAAAUCCAAAUACAACAUAAACUAACAAACCCGAAUUUAUAUGAAUACAAAUCAAAAUAUAAGGUCCAAAAUGAUCCAGAUUAUCUAAGCUUACAAAUAAUGUCUAAAUGCACACAUGAAAAUAAUAAAAAUUAGCCCAAACCAAUAAUCUCAAUAAUCAAGAACAAAUUAUUGUAGUGAUUAAACAGAAAUAAUAAAAAUAUAAGGAUAUAAACUUACCCAUGAAGAACCCAUUAUAGUAAUUAAACAUAAAUAACAAAAAUAAAAGAAAAUAAAUUUGCCCAAAUUUGAAGUAUGUUGUUGAAGGGUUGAUAUAGGCUAAUGAAAAUAAAAAUAAAAAUAAAAUGAAAGAAGAUAGAGAGGGAAAGAAAGAGAAAAUGGUGAGAUGAAAGACAGGUGGAAAGGGAGAACGAAAGAGGAAAGGGGGUCGCCGGCCGGCAGCAGAUCACCGAUGGAGACGGACCAACUGUGUUGUCGAUAGUGAGGGUUGAGUGAGUGUGGUGAGGGAAAAAUGAAGAAGAAAAAUGAAGAGAAGAAAAAAAAAAAAAGAAGAAAGGUGGGGCAUGUUCUCUGGAAGUGGGCCAAGAGGGGAGAAAAAGCGGGGAAAAAAAGGGAAAAAAAGAAGAUGAAAGAAAAUGAAAGAAAAGAGAGGAAAAUGGAAAUGGAAGAGAUGAGAGCGGGGGAUAUGGGGUCUCUGACGUGGGAAUGGGCAGGAGAGAGAGAGUUGAGGGAGUGGGUGGAGUAGGUGAGAGAAAAAGAAAGAAAAGAAAAUAAAAGAGGGAGGGAAGGAAGGAAAUGAGAAAAAAAGAAGAAGUAAAAUAAAAUUAGACAAAAUAAUAAAAAAUAAAAAAAUAAAAAUUAACAUUUAAAAUAUAUAAAUAGGUUAAAAAAAAUAAAACUAAGAUUUAAAAAAUAUAAAUGGACCAAAAAAUUUAAAUUUCGAUUUAAAAGGUAUAUAUGGAUAAAAAAAAAAUUCAAAUGUAAUCCAUUUGAAAUAUAAUAAUAAAAUUAAACAUAAAAUUAAUGUAAAAAAAAAAAUAGAACAAAUUUUAAGAUUACAAAAAGUAUAGGGCAUGGUACAAAUUUAUUUUUAUUAUUUAAAUAAAAAAAGAUUAUCUAAAAACAUUACUUUAUUUUUUAAAAUAAGAAAUAAUUUUUAAGAAUUUAUUCUUGAAAUGAGGAGAGUGUUUAGAAUAUUUUUUUCACUUACUUUCUAAAAAAAUAUUAUAAAAAUUAAAUUAAUAAAUAUGCAGAAUAAUUAAAAGUAAAAUGUUAUAUACAAAAGUUAUUUUAAAAAAUAUAUUAACAAAAAUCAAUUUUCUAAACGGACUUCUUCUAUUAAAAAAAUAUUAAAAAUGGUUUGAAGCAUAUAUUCAAAAGUCAUCUUUUGAGAGUAGAUUUCAAAAAUAUUUCCAAAUAGAUUUUAACAUAUCAUUUCAAAGUGAUUCUAAUUAAAAUAUUUUGAUUUAUACUUUUUUAUUCAAAAUAUUUUGAUCAACUUUUAAAUAUAAAACCAAUUCAAAAAUAUCCUCAACACAUUAUUUAAUCAUAAAAAUUCUCAUAAAUUUUUUAUUCUUCAAAUACUUUCCAACAAAUAGUCAAAGUCACAUGCAAACUCUUCCAACAAAUUUCAAAUGCAAGCCACAUACAUAUGCAACACUCCUUAACAUGAUUCGUAAGAAUAAUUUCUCAAUGACACAAAUUUCAAUUUCUACUAAAUAUCUAUAUCAAAAUAAAUAGAAAAAAAAAUUCAAGAUAUCCAAAGAUGAUCACACCUAUUUCAGUUAAUUGUUCUUCCAUUCAAUUUAUAUCCACAAGUAAUAAAUGAAAACUAAAACUGGAAAUAAAUCAAAGAAUAUAAUAAGAAUAAAUAAAUAAAUAAUGAUAUCAGAAUUUACAUAAAAAACUUUCAAAAAGAUUAAAAAAACACGGACUUACCAUCAAUAAAAAAUUCCACUAUAAAAAAUAAAUAAUGUGUACAACGAUUUACCUAACUCAAAUCUUUUAAUCUUUCAUAGACUUAACCAACACUUUCUCACUUCAAUAGCAUAUCCUCAUCUUUCAUAAUAUACUUGGCCUUUUCGUUAUACUUGAUCUUAACCUCUUCUUAAAGCUUGUUUAAGAAGAAAAAUAGGUUUUUACCCAAACCCAAAUAGAUCAAAAAUUGAGAGAAUGAAUGAAUAAAUAGAUUAACCUUUUUUUUUUCUCAAGAAAAUUUAUUGAAAGCGACUUUAAAAUCAAUAAGAAAAUGAGAUUUUCUUGACCACCAAACACUGUAAAUUUGGUAAGAAAAAAAAAGUACAAGGGCAAAAUAACUAUAUAUAUAUUUUAUUUUGUUAGAAAAAAAAUUUGAUAUAAAAAGUAGUUUUAGUGCUACAAAUAUAUCUCUAUAUAUAUAUAUAUACUCUUAAUUGAUAUCUUCUUCAAAAUGGUCCCCAUACUGUGUUCUAGCCACGACAGAUAAUACGAUUGAGAUUAACGAGACGGCGCUUAGAUAAUUCUUGUGUACGUGGAAUGAAUGGAUGGGAAUUCUUGAAUACUUAAAUACUUGACUAGUUCAAUGUUCACAUUUAUCCAUCCAGAAACAGUGGGCUUCAAGGUGCUUUCCUUAGCCCAUUGGGCCCUGCCAUCUACCCUGUGCAGCCCCGUUAGCUGACUUGCUUGCGUCUAUGGAAUGAAGUCAAGCACGAGGGCACAAAGAUAUAUGACGCCAUUCUUUGGAAUUUAAUAAAAGCUGUUUCCCAUUUCUCCGCCGCCCCCACCCUAUAUAAACCCCUACCCAUUUACUCGUAAACCACCAUCACCACUACAAAGCCUGUCUUCCUCAAAAUGGGCCUUUUCAAAAGCCUCUCCAUUUCCUCCUUCCUUCUCGCCACCCUCUUCUUCACCUCCGCCCAUGCAGCCAUUUUUAAUAUCCAAAACCAUUGCUCCUACACAGUUUGGGCAGCAGCUGUGCCGGGUGGGGGUAGGCGCCUCGACCGGGGACAGUCCUGGAGCCUGACUGUGAACCCUGGCACAACUGGAGCCCGUAUUUGGGCCCGGACCGGCUGCAGCUUCGAUGGGGCUGGGCGUGGGAGGUGCCAGACCGGGGACUGCGGUGGCGUCCUCCAAUGCACAGCCUAUGGUGCACCCCCCAACACCUUGGCUGAAUUCGCACUUAACCAGUUCAACAACCUGGACUUCUUUGAUAUAUCCUUGGUCGAUGGGUUUAAUGUGCCUAUGGCCUUUAACCCUACCUCCAAUGGGUGCACCCGUGGGAUACGGUGCACGGCCGACAUCGUGGGACAGUGCCCCAGUCAGCUCCGAACUCAGGGUGGCUGCAAUAACCCAUGCACCGUUUUCAAGACCAAUGAGUACUGUUGCAAUUCCGGGAGCUGUGGCCCGACAGAUUACUCAAGGUAUUUCAAGACUAGGUGCCCUGAUGCUUACAGCUACCCUAAGGAUGAUCAAACCAGCACCUUUACAUGCCCUGGUGGUACCAACUAUGAUGUUAUCUUCUGCCCAUAAAGCCUCUAUUAACUAUAGUAUGCAUGUACUCGCCAGUCUAAACUACUAGGGUGCUUUUGAGUCCAUGUUGAGAUGCAAAAGUCUUUGUAAGGAAUAAAUUUGAGCACAUGUAUGUGUACUGAAUGUGCUCAUGCAACAACUUUUCUACGCUAGUAGAAUAAAUGGAUGUUUUUAUGAAUCUUCGGGACUUUACACAUAUUAUUAAAUCAUGUAGGACCUGGUAUAGAAGCACUUUGCGUGCAAAUAUAAGAAUUUUUAAAAAAUAAAAAAUAAAAACCAUUCUAUCAAAAUAAUUCUAAACUUUUUUUGUCUGGUGGGAUUGCACAUGAAACAUCACUUUGAAAAAGAUGGAAAAUAUUUAUAAAAAAAAACUAACUCAUUUUUCCAACGGUUGAAUUCAAUUUAAAUAACAAAUCCAUCAUUAUAAAGUAAAAAAUAAAAUUGUUUUUUCAAAAAUCAAGUUUAAUAUUAAAACAAAACAGAUAAGAGAUUAAAAACAAAAGUUAUAAAACCGACAAGAGAGAAGAAUGGAAUGUGGUAAAAAAAAAACAUAUUUUGUAUUUAUUUUUAAAUAACAGUUUUUAAUGUUUUAGUAAUGGUUUUAAGAUGCGUUUUUAAUAUUUUUUAAAAAAUUUAAAUAUAAAAUAAUUAAAAAUACUUUUUAAAAUCGAUGUGAAACGCGUUAUUAGACUUUUUAGACCAUACAGGUUUUAGGGAAAAAAACAAAAUAAAGAAGAUUUGAUUGUGAGCAAAGCUUUCAAUUUUCCAUGUAGUGGAAGAAGCCUUCUAUAUGGGUAUUUUAUUUUGUCCUCAUAACAUGAUAUUUAUCAUAUUUGGUAUCUGCAUAGUAUAUAUACAAAAUUCUUUUUGAUUUUUCUACUCUUUGCACUUCUUAGUGGUCUGUCUAUUACUUUUAUAUAUAAUAAAAGUCAAUAACUAAAUGUAGAGAAUUUUUUGCGGGUCCAAACAUCACAUGGUUAGUUCAUGGAGUUGCUUUCGGAGAGGCCUGAACCACCCACCAGAGUUGAGCUUAUCUCUUCGCUUUUACAUCUUAAAUGACACUAGAAAAAGGUAUAUGGCAUAGUAGAAAACUAUUUUUAAAAAUAUUUUUUAUUAUUUAAAUAAAUAAAAAUUUACCUGAAAAUUUUUAUUAUUAUUUUAAAUAAGAAAGUGUUUAGAAUAUUUUUUCACUUAUUUUCUAAGAAUCAUUUAAAAAAUUUAAUUAUAUAAAUAUUGAGAAGAGUUGAAAAUAAAACAUUACAUAUAAUUUUUAAAAAUAUAAAAAUUUAUUAAAAAUAUUUCAAGUUUCUAAACAUGCUUCUAGUAAAAAAAAAAAUUAAAAAUUGUUUGAAACAUAUUUUCAAAAAUUAAUUUUGGACAACAGUUUUAAAAAAUAUUUCCAAAUAGACCAUGAAAUAUCAUUUCAAAAUGAUUUUAAUUAAAGUUGUGCAGAGUAUUUUAACAAUGAUAUGGACCUUAUCUGGAAAAUAUUUUAAAUAAAAAAUAUAUUUUUAUUUAAAUUUGUGCCAGUGUAUUUGCUUACAAGUUUAUUUAUUAUCACGUUUCAGAAAAAACAUCAGCUUCAGUUGAUAAGUUUUGAAAGAUACUUCGUAGUGGACCCACAUGGAUCACGAAUCCAUCUAAAACCCAACAUUUAUGGGCUUUCCAUGACAUUGGGCCCAGUCACGUCACGUGUCUUUUAAGUGGAAAAUAAACUUUGAAGCGGUUGCUUCUCAGUAUUUUAAAUGAUAAAUGAUGAUAUUAUCGAAAAUAGUCCCAGUCUCAGAAUAAUUGAAGCGGCCAAUCAUAUUGGAAUAAUUCAACAGGCUGUCUCAUUGAAUUUUGAAAUAAAUUUUUCCAACGUCAUCCACCGACGUUUUUCUCAUUCAGCAUUCGGUAUUUAUGAAUUUACAUAAAAGUUAAGGCAAAUUUCUGAAAUUAUAAAAAAUAAAAAUAAAAAUGAUAAUGACGUGGGGCCUCGUCUCUGCAAAAUAUUUUAAAUAAAAUUAUUUAUUUUCUAAAAACAAACCUUUUUCAUUUAAAAAAAAAAAAUUAUUGGCUUUUGAUGAUAAGGUUUGAGGAAAAAAAAGGCCACCCCGCAUUGACUCUUUCUUUCAUGCCUACGAGCCACAACGAAGUGGACCACAAAGAUGAUGCCAUCAUUUGGAAUUUUUACAAGCACGCGGUUUUUCCACAUUCACACCAACCCAAGCCCUCCUUCACACUAUACAAACCCCUACCCUUUUCCUGGAUAGACCACCCUACUCCAACCAUCAAGCCUAUCUUCCUCAACAAUGGGCCUCUGCAAAAUCCUCUCCAUUUCCUCAUUCCUUCUCACCACCCUAUUCUUCACCUCCAGCUAUGCAGCAACCUUCAACAUCCAAAACCGUUGCUCCUACACAGUUUGGGCGGCGGCAAUCCCAGGCGGGGGCAUGCGGCUUGGCUCAGGCCAAUCCUGGAGCCUCGAUGUGAAGGCCGCCACCACCGGAAGCCGUGUUUGGGGCCGUACCGACUGCAGCUUCGAUGCGUCAGGGAAUGGGAAGUGUGAGACCGGGGACUGUGGUGGCCGCCUCCAAUGCAAGGCCUAUGGUACACCCCCUAACACCUUAGCCGAAUUCGCACUUAACCAAUACAGCAACUUGGACUUCUUUGAUAUAUCUUUGGUUGAUGGAUUUAAUGUGCCUAUAGCCUUUAAUCCUACUUCCAAUGGGUGCACCCGUGGCAUCAGUUGCACCGCCGACAUCGUGGGAGAGUGCCCCGCUGCGCUAAAGACUACCGGUGGUUGCAACAACCCAUGCACCGUUUUCAAGACCGAUGAAUAUUGUUGCAAUUCUGGGAGCUGUAAUGCUACAGAUUUCUCAAGGUUUUUCAAGACUAGGUGCCCUGAUGCUUAUAGCUACCCUAAGGACGAUCAGACAAGCACCUUCACAUGCCCUGGCGGUACCAAUUAUGAAGUUAUCUUCUGCCCAUCAGCAGUGCCACAAACAUGUGUUUUUAUUAUAAAUUAAUUUGUGGUAAAAAAAACAUUUUGUGUUACAAGAUUUUUUUUCCACAAAAAAAUAUUUCCGACCAGUUUGUUGCUACAAAUUCGUAAACAAUUAUUUUUAAUCACAAAAUUUAAUUUUAUAAUAAAAUAAAUAAUUUUUUCAUAAAAUAAAUUUUAUAACAAAAUAUCAAUAUUCACCAUUAAAUAAAAUUUAUGAUAAAAUGUCAUUUUUCACCGUAAAAUAAAAUUUGUGACAACACAUCGUUUUUCAUGAAAAUAAUUACGAUAAUAUGCGACUUUUUUGUUAUAAAAAAAUUCAUGAUAAAAAAUUACCCUUCUACCAAAAAACAUUAAUUGUAACGGUCCAAACCACUGGUCUUGACAAGGAAAUAUGACAUACAGUCAAGGAGGGUUUGCUUAAAAGUCAUUAUCCUACUUGGAAACUACCUCCCUUAUUGGGGUACAUGGCAUUUUUUUAAUAAUAUUUGACUCACUUUUCCGGGAAACCUAGUUGUAGAAGUCCAAACAGGUUGCUUUUCAGGGGAAUUCACGGCAUAAAUAGAAAAGAAAGUUGCCAGAAAUGCCCUAACUGAUUAAAAUCAUUACCUUUAAUUGCAGAGAAUUAUGUCUAUCAAUUAAAUAAAUUAUAAAUAUAUGUUUGAAUUGAUUUUUAAGAAAUUGAAUGGUUUUUUAAGUUCAAUAAGAAUUUUAAUAUUGAUUUAACUAAUUUUAUUUAAAAAGCUUAUGAUUUAAAAAAUAGUUUUAUAUGAUUUAGAUAAGAAAUUAUUUAAUAUUUAAUAUAAGUUUUAUAAUACUAAUAUUAUGUAUUAAAAAUUAUGAUUUUGGUUGGACUCUCAACAUUUAGUUAAAUCUAAAAGUAGAAAACUAUUUCAAACAAAGUCAUGUUUUCUAUUUCAUUAUUAAUUAAUAUAUAUUUUUUUUAAUUCGGAUGUGAAAAGGUGUUUCAAAGUUUAAGAUUGUCUAAUAUUUUAAAUCAAAAUCUCAAUACUUAAAUUAAAGAAAAAUUUAGAUCGUAUUUAUUUGUUUAAUUGAAUAGAAAAAAUUAAAAUAUUUAAUUUUUUUAAUUUUAAUUAAAAGUAAUCUAUUUAUAUUAAUCAAUAUAACGAAAUCGAAUAUAUUGAUAAUAAAUUUACUUUAAAUAUCUUAAUUGAUAUUAAUAUAUUACUUGAACUGAAAAAACUAAAAAGCAAAAAAUAAACUCCACACUUAAAAAGAUUCUGGGCCAUGGAUACAGAAGCCCAAAAGAUUUAUUGAUGGGGGCAGUGGGCCUGGCCUGCCGUGUGCAGCUGCAUUUGUUUGACUUGUCCUCAAGCCUAGUCAACGUCUCCGUUCAAUGAAGCUGAUGUAUCGAAAAAUCCCAAAAAGCCUCAUUUUUCCCGCCAAACGCGUAAACCCCAAAAUGAGUUUCUUCUGCAACUGCAGCAAUCUCUCUACUUCCUUCUUCCUCCUCAUCUUCAUCAAUGCAACCAUUUUCGAAAUCCGAAACAGCUGCCCCUAUACCGUCUGGGCAGCCGCCUUACCCGGCGGCGGAAGGUAACUCGACCAAGGCCAGACCCGGAACCUUUCAGUGAGCUCCAACACAACCCAAGGCCACAUCUGGGGCAGAACCAAGUGCAGUUUCGAUGAAGCCGGAAGGGGGAACUGCGAGUCCGGUGGAUGUGGAGGCCUCCUUGAAUGCCAAGAAUAUGGUUCACCGCCCAACACCAUUGCCGAGUACGCCAUAAACCAAUUCAACAAAACUGAUUUCUUCGAUAUUUCUCUGGUGGUUGGAUUCAACCUUCCAAUGGAGUUUAGCCCAACUUCUGAUGGGUGCAAACGUGGGGUCAAGCGUACGUGCGACAUUAACGGGCCGUGCCCAAACGAGUUGAGGGACCCGGGUGGGUGUAACAACCCAUGUACCGUUUUCAACAAUACUCAGUACUGUUGCAAUACCGGGAGCUGUUAGCCUACACCUUCAUGUUUUUCAAGGCUAGCUGCCCAGAUGUAUACAGUUACCCUUUGGGAGAUGAUUCAAUCGGUACGUUUACCUGCGCCGCAUGCACUAACUAUCGUAUAGUCUUCUCCGAGUUUUGGGGUAGCCCAAAGUUUAAACCUUUUUGCAAAACUUACAAUCAAACUCGUCCUUUUUAUUAUCACCUAGAGUCAUAUUAUGUUUUUUUUUUCAAAAUUUAAGUUGAAAAUUUUAUUUUUGAAUUGAAGCCAUAAUUAAUAACCAAGACUUCAUUUUGAACGGAAACCUCAUUUGAUAAGUGAGACUUAGUUUUUUAAUUAAAACCUCAUUUUGACAAUUAAAACUUCAUUUAUUAAACUAAAACCUUAAUUGUGACUUUAGUUAUUUUUUUUACUUUAAAAUUUAAUUAAAAAUAUUAAAUUUCAAAUUAUUAUUGAAAUUAAAAAUAUUUACUUUAAUAAUAAAAAAUUAUAUAUUUAAGUUUAAGGAUUCAACAUUAUUCUAAUAAAGAUAAAUUGAUAAAUAAAAUAAAUAAAUGAAUAAUUUUAUUUAUCAAUAAAUUAAUAAUUUUAAAAUAAUAAAGUUAUAUAAUAUAUAAAUAAAAUAUAAAAUUAUAUAAUUUAUUAAUUUAAGUUAUAUUACAAAUACUAUAUGUUACCGGGCAACUAAAAAGGAAGAAAGUUAUGUAUAGGUUCUCUCUUUGUAAAGACACGUAAGAUUAUAUAAUUUUCUUUUUUACUAUAUGAAUAUUUAGUAAACAAUUUUUGUGACAUAGAUGAAACUACUAAAACUUAUAUUUUGUAGUAAACAUUUUUUAAUUAAUUUUAUUAGCUAAUUUUAAAAUGUAUCUUCAAGGCAUAUAUGUUGUGGGUAUAAAUAAUAAUUUUUUUUUAAUGAAAAAUUAUAAACAUAUACUUUAAAAUAAUAAUAAAAUCUAUAUAUAAAAGCUUAAGAAUAUACUAUUAUUUUAAUAAAGAUAAAUUUGUGAAAAUACAAAUAAAUUAAUAUCUUAAAAAUAAAACAAAUUAAAUAUCUUAAAUUAAUAAAUUAUAUAAUUUUAUAUCUUAUUAUAUUUAUCAAUUUAUCUUUAAACCUAAGUCCUAAGUCCAAGGUUUAAAUAUUUUAUUAUAUUUAUUAAUUUAUCUUUAUUGAAGUAAUACUAGAUUUUUAAGUUUAAACAUAUAAUUAAUUUAUUAUUAAAGUAUAUAUUUUUAAUUUCAACAAUAAUUUAUAAUUUAAUAUUUUAAUUAAAUUUUAAAGUAAAAAAAUAAUUAAUUGAAGCUUCAAUUGAAAAUUAAGACUUUAAUAAAAAAAUGAAGUCUCAAUUAUCAAUUGUGAAUUCAAUUUAAAAAUGAGGUAUGAUUUGACAAUUAAGGUUUCAGUUUAUAAAUGAAACCUUAAUUGUCAAUUGUGGUUUUAGUUCAAAAAUAAACCCUCAAUUGAUAAUUGAGGUUUUACUUAAAUUUUAAAAUAUAUAUAUAUUAUGAUACGACUCUUAUGUGACAAUAAAGGACUAGUUUGAACAUAAAUUUUAUAAAAAUGUUAAAUCUUACAUUUCUUUUUAUACAAGCUUAUUUAUUUUUGUUUCUUAAAAAAAAAAAAAUUAUCAGCUUCCCUUGAUAAGAUUUGAGGAAAAACAAAGAUGAGGUAGGAUUGGCUCUUCCAUGCCUCUAAGUCGAGCACCAUCUUUUAGAUUUUAACAAAGCUUAUUGCUAAAAUAUUUUCAUUUAGGGUCAUUAACUUUAACUUAGGGUUCAUCGAGGAACUUUUUCAGAAAUAAUUCUUAAAAAGUAAUUCUCAAGAAUAACUUUUAAAAAUAAUAUUUUAAUAUUUUUAAAAUAAAAAGUUUUGAAGAGCUUAGAAUAUUGUCAAUUUUUUUUUAUAUUUUUAAAUAUUUCUUAAAAAUAAUUCCUAUUUAUAAUACCUUAUUUUAAGACAUUCUUCGUGUUUAUUCAAUAAUUCCUAAAAAGUAAUUAAAAUAUAAUAUAUGUAAAAAAAAUCACUUUUCAUAGUUUUAGUUUUAAAUUUAUAAUUAACAAUCGAAUGUGUUUUUAUACUUUUUUUAUUCUAAAAACCAAAAAGAUAAAUCCUUAAUAGAAAUUUUCAAACAUUGUUUUAGUGUCCCACCCCAAGUCCACCUUCGCUCUAUAUAAACUCCUAGCCAUUUCCUCACGGACCACCCCAAACCAUAAAGCCCAUCUUCCUGAAAAAAUGGGCCUCUUCAAAACCCCUUUAAUUUCCUCAUUCCUUCUCACCACCCUAUUCUUCGCCUCCUGCCACGCAGCCACGCUGAUCAACAUCCAAAACCAUUGCUCCUACACAGUUUGGGCGGCGGCGGUACCAGGUGGGGGCAGGCAGCUUGGUCCGGGCCAAUCCUGGAGCCUCGAUGCGAACCCUGGCACAGCCCGUGUGUGGGCACGUACCAACUGCACCUUUGAUGGGUCAGGGAACGGGACGUGUGAGACCCGAGAUUGUGGUGGCCGCCUCCAAUGCCAAGCCUAUGGUACACCCCCUAACACCUUGGCCGAAUUCGCACUUAACCAAUUCAACAACAUGGACUUCUUCGAUAUAUCUUUGGUUGAUGGAUUUAAUGUGCCCAUGGCUCUUAAUUCUACUUCCAAUGGGUGCACCCGUGGCAUCCAAUGCAGCGCCGACAUAGUCGGACAGUGCCCUGAUGAGCUCCGAGCUCCCGGUGGUUGCAACAAUCCAUGCACUGUUUUCAGGACCGAUGAAUAUUGUUGUUAUUCUGGGAACUGUGGCCCUACAACUUACUCCAAGUUUUUCAAGGAUAGGUGUCCGGUGGCUUAUAGCAACCCUAAUGAUGAUCAAACAAGCACCUUUACAUGCCCUGGUGGUACUAACUAUGAUGUUAUCUUCUGCCCAUGAUGCCUCUACUAGUCCUGUUAGACGAUUUGGUACCAUCUUGGGAUCCAAAUGUCUAGAAGAAUAAAUUUGAGCACAUGUCCAUGUCCAUAGUCAUGUAAUAAGAUUUCUACCAUCAUAGAAAUCGAAUGAUUUUCAGAGGGGUUAGAAGCUUUGAAUAAUGUUUAAAUGUGCUUUACUUAUAAAAGUUUAGAACUAAUUCUUCAUAAAAAUAAUUUUGUCCAAGUGUUAUUGUUUAAGAGUUUAUUUGAUAUUGAAUUAUGAAAGUAUUUUGAAUUAUUUUAACAUUUAAAAAAUAAUUUUUCUUUAAAUAUUAAAAAAUUUAAAAAUGCUUCUUAUAAUUAUUAUCAAAUAAACUCUAAAUACUAUAUAUUAAAAACAUAAUUACUAGAAUGACCUCUAAAUGAAUUCAUAUUUUAAGUACACCGAGAAUGAUAGAAUUCAGUAAUGGUGUUUUAAAUUAAAUUGGUAAAUAUUUUGGGAUUUUCCAUUUGAAUAAUUUUUAGAAGUGAAUAAAUUAUUUUUCAGCUCUAACAUAAACAAAUCCUGUUAUUGUGGUGUGGAAAAACCUUUGCUCAAGAGUCAAGAGCGGUGGUGGAGGCUUGAGUUACGUACCCAAGUUGAAUUUUUGUAAAAGGAUGUGGAGGAGUAGAGUACAAGGAAAAUUGAUUUGCGGACAAGACCAGUUAGUUAGUGAAGCUUGAUUAAAGUCGAAGUUUUGGUGUUUUCUCCCAAGACUUCCUUUGUAGUGGUCCAAAAAAUUGGUAAGGAAAUAUGACAGACAUCGAAAGAGGAUUUGGCUAAAAGUCAAUAACUAUUUGGAGCUAUGUUCCCUUCUCGGGGCGAUGGCGUUUGCUAGUAAUCUUUGACUCGCUCUUCCCCGUAGCUUCCAUAGCAGUCCAAACCGGUUGCUUGUUCAAGGAAAACACCGUAUAAAUAAGAGGGAAGUGGCUAAAAGUCUAACUAAUUAAAAUCGUAGUCAUUUAUUGUGUGGAAUAGCGGGACACAUACGUAUUGAAGUUGAACUUGUCCAUCAAUUAAAUCUAAUACAAUUUUCUUUUUCAAUCCAACUAUUACGUAAUAAAUUUUAAAUUUCAAAUAUAUUUGCUUUUAAAAUUUACUCAAACCAAUUUAAUAACUUACAAAUAACUAAUUCAAUAACUUGGACUUCUUUAAUAUAGUAUUGUCCAAGCAUAUAUUUGAUAUGUCUUUAAUUUAUUUUUAAUUGUGCUUCUAAGCUACGUUUGGUUCUCGAAAAAUUUGAGAGAAAAUUUAAAAGAAAAAAAUUACAGAUGAAAAAAAAUAAAAAAUAGUUUAAAUAUAAUAAAUUAUAUUUGAUUUGAUUUUCUAUUUUUUUUUAUAGUGAAACAAAAUAUGAGAAAACCAUUUUUAUUAAUAUUUUUUUUCUUUAGAACACUUUCCAACAUAACUUACCAUUUAUUUUUUUGGUCAUGCAAAAGUUGAUGUAAAAAAUAUAGUUAGUCUCUCUUAUAUCAUUCAUUUGAAAUUGAGUAGAUUAAUGGUGUUUGUUUUUUUGGUUUUUUACUUAAAGCAAUUUAGUUUUAGAAUUUAGGUUGUUUGUUUUUCUACUUUUUCAUGACUUAUUAUAAACUUUUUACUAAAUAGAAAAAGUCAAAAUAUGUAGCUUUUUCUAAGUAGGAAAAAUAACAUAUUGAUUUUUUUUACUUUUUAAUACUUAAUAGAAAUAAAAUACUACAAAAACAAAUAACCUAAUAUUUAACACUAUUAAGCAUUAAGGUUCUAUUUAGAAUUAAGUAAAAAAACAAACAUCAUCUUCACACUAAGUAAUAACCCUAUAUUAGUCCUAAUAAGUAAUAAAAUUCCUCUACUAAUACAUGGUAUGGAUAAAAUAUUUACUAAAUUAACAACAUGAAUGUAAGUAAUUUAGAUAUUAGUAGGAUAUAUUUUUGUCUUAAUUAUUUAAAAAUAUAAACAUAUUUAUAUUAGGUUCUUGCUUUUUAUAAAUAUUAAUUCAACAUUUUUAGUAAUUUUUUUUUUAAAUUUAAUAAUUACAUAACCAAAAGUAAAAAAAAAAAAAAAUCAUUUUAUGAUGAUUUUUUGUCAAUUUUCAAUGAUUUCUUUCUAGUUCUUUGUUUUCAGUAGGUUAUUGAGUUAAUAAAGAAAUAAUGAAAUAUAAUGUGAUUGGGUUUUGGGUAUUUUUUUUUUUUAUAAUUUGUUUAAAAAAAAUUAGAUAAUAAAAAUAUCAUAUAUAUAUAUUUUGUUAUAAAAUUUUUAAAAGGAAAAAAAUUGUUGCUAAAUAUGAUUUUCAAAAACAUUUAUCACAAUUUUAAUUCAAAAAAUUGAAAAAUAAAAGUGUAAUGGAAGAUACUACUAAUGUAGUACAAGCAAUAAAUAUUUUUACCCUUAGUUGUGAAAAAUAUAGAGGAAAGAAAUUUUAUGAUGUCUGUUUCUAGAAGGUUGUAGGAAACCUGUUUGCCACGCCAGCCUAUUAAUAUUUUCUUCUUCGAAAAUUAAGAAAUUAUGGCAUUUUUUUAAAAAAAAAUUAUGCUUAAAAAUAGUUUUUUAUUUAGAAUAUAAAACUUAAAUUUAAAGAAAUUGAGAAUAUAUUCUAAAACUGAAUUAUCUUUUAGAAUAAAUUUAAGGGUUUUUUUUUAUUAUGUUCUAUUAAAUAAUAAUUAUUAAAAAUAUGAAAAUUAUUUUUUUUUAAAAAUAUAUUAUAUAUGUGUAUGUCAACUUUAAGAAAAAUAAAUAAAUAAAUAAAUAUAUAUAUAUAUAUAUAUAUAUAUAUUUUAUGUCUGAGAUUUUAAACAAAAUUUUAUUUAUAAAAAUAAUUAAAAAUUAUGUUUUGCCUAACAUGCCUAUGUUCUAGUCGUCUACGGAGUUGGUUCGGGAUGGCAGUGGAAAAUAUACUUUAGAUAUUUUCUCUUCUCUAUAGUCAGAUGCUUCUGCGUAUUUUAAAUGGUAAAGACCAAAACUCAAUUAUGAUAUUAUCGAAAAUAGACCCAGUCCAAAGUGGUCAUUCAUACUGGCAUAGUUCCAGGAAGGUGAUCAACAUCAGGGCUGUCUCAUUCAAGAAAGGAAAUUUGCACCCACGUUUUCUAGAUACAUUCCUACUGUUCUGAUGAUUCGGUAUGCACGAAUUUAUGCAAAGGUUAGGCAGAUUUCUGAAAAUAAUAAAAAUGGUAAUGAAGUGGACCCUUCUCUCUGUAAAAUAUUUUAAAUAAAAAAUACUUAUUUUUCUAAAAAUAAGUAUUUUCAAUAUGUAAUAUAUGUUUUAAAAAAAAAAAUUAAUUUACAAGCUUAUUUAUUUUUAUUUCUUAAAAAUAUUAUCGGCUUUUGUUGAUAAGAUUUGAGGAAAGAAAAAGGGCCACCUCACAUCGACUCUUCCAUGCCCGCAGGCCCCAACGAAGUCGACCACAAAGAUGACGCUAUCUUUUGGAAUUUUUACAGGGAGGUUUUUUCACAUACACACCAACCCAAGCCCACCUUCACCCUAUAAAAACCCCCACCCGGUUCCUCACAGAUCACCCCACUCCAACCAUCAAGCCUAUAUAUCUUCCGAAACUCAACAAUGGGCCUCUGCAAAAUCCUCUCCAUUUCCUCAUUCCUUCUCACCACCCUAUUCUUCACCUCCAGCUAUGCAGCUACGUUCAACAUCCAAAACCAUUGCUCCUACACGGUUUGGGCUGCGGCAGUCCCAGGCGGGGGCAUGCAGCUUGGCUCAGGCCAAUCCUGGAGCCUCAAUGUGAAUGCCGGCACCACUGGAGGCCGUGUUUGGGCCCGUACCAACUGCAACUUCGAUGCGUCAGGGAAUGGGAAGUGUGAGACCGGGGACUGUGGUGGCCUCCUCCAAUGCACGGCCUAUGGUACACCCCCUAACACCUUAGCCGAAUUCGCACUUAACCAAUACAGCAACUUGGACUUCUUUGAUAUAUCUUUGGUUGAUGGAUUUAAUGUUGCUAUGGCCUUUAAUCCUACUUCCAAUGGGUGCACCCGUGGCAUCAGUUGCACCGCCGACAUCGUGGGAGAGUGCCCCGCUGCGCUAAAGACUACCGGUGGUUGCAACAACCCAUGCACCGUUUUCAAGACCGAUGAAUAUUGUUGCAAUUCUGGGAGCUGUAAUGCUACAACUUACUCCGAGUUUUUCAAGACUAGGUGCCCUGAUGCUUAUAGCUACCCUAAGGACGAUCAGACAAGCACCUUCACAUGCCCUUCCGGGACCAAUUAUGAAGUUAUCUUCUGCCCAUAAAUCUAUUAUUUAAAUCAUAUGCUAGUAUGCCUCUACUGGUCUCAACUAUUAGGAGGCAAUGGUAUCCACCUUGGGUUCCAAAAGCCUAGAGGAAUAAAGUUGAGCCCAUAUUCGUGGUCAUGUAUUAAGAUUUCUACACUAGUCGAAGCAAUGGAUGCCUUUUUUUAUAUAGAUAUAUGCUAUCUUCUUCUUCUAAUCUCUGUGGUCCCUUCCAAGUAACAUUUCAUAUAGAUAUAUGAAUUUUAAUGAUUAUUCUUCUUCAGAAUUCUUUUUUUUUUUUUUUUUGAAAAUGAAAUUAAGCUUAACAUGAACAAAAUUCUGCUAUCAUGGUACGGAGAAAUCUUUGCUUGAGAGCGGUGGUUGAGGAUUGAGUCACCUACCCAAGUCAAAUUUUUGUAACAAUUAGAUGUUCAUCUUUAGAGUACUACAAGGAAAAUUGAUGUGAGGAUAAAGACCAGUUAACGAAGCUUGACUGACGUCAAAAUUUUAUUUUAUUUCCUUUUCUCUAAUCCUACCUUGUAGCGGUCCAAAUUAAUUGUCUUGACAAGGAAAUAUAACACAUAGCCAAGGAGGAUUUGCCUAAAAGCCAUCAUCCUGUUUGAAAACUACCUCCCUUAUUGUGCACAUGACACUUUUUCUAAGGGGAAUAAUCCAACCAUACAUUGGACCAAUAAAAUAAGUAUUUUUGGGAUUUUAUUUUUACCUUCACAAAUUGAGUGCGUAAAGUGCGGGGGAAAAAAACUCAUUCAUGCAUUUCAAUAACACUUGUGAAUUUAUUCCAAAAUUACAUUCAAAGUACACCUAUCAUUUUUUUUUACAUCAACUCUCUCACACCUCCAUUUCACCCGCCAUGUUCAUACGGUUUUUUUAUCUCUCACCAACAUAUUCAUAGUCUCAUGUAUUUUCUUAUAAAACAUCUUUAAUUUCAAUUUUUUUUUCACUCUCUAAUCUCUCCAUAUUUAUUGAUUUUAAUCAUUUUUUAGACACAUUAAACUUAAAAUGAUAAUAUAUAAUAAAUAAUUAAUAAUAAAAAAUUAAAUAAAAACAUAAUAUUUAAUGAACAAAAAUUAAAAUAUUAUCUCACAAAUAAUAUACUUGAUAAUUUUAAAUAUUAAUUAUAAUAAUGUUUAAGAUUUAAAUUUAAAAAUUAUGUUUUUAUUAUUUAGAGGCUUAUGAUAUAAUUUUUUUUAUAUUAAUACUAAAUAAAAGAUUUAUUGAUUUUGUAAAUCUUAUCAUACGUAAAAGUAAAAAAUAUCUUUGUAAUAUUAUUUUAUUAUUUUUAUUUUGAUAUAAAAUUUUUCAUUUGUAAUAUUAUUUUAUUAUUUUUAUUUUGAUAUAAAAUUUUUCAUAUCAAAAUCACAAUAAGUGAUAGUAGUUUUUUUUUUGUUAUGGUUUUAAUUGUGGUUUUAACUUUUUACUUGGUUAAAUUUUUUAAUUUUUUAUCAAGAUAAAAUAUAAAAGAAAAUAUGUUUUUUCAUAAAAAAAAAAUACAUUGUUUUAGGGAAAUUGAGAUACUUAUCUCUUUUAUCAUGAUGCAUAUACUCCUUUUGGAAUUCUCGGGAAGUGUUUUUAAAUUCUCUCCCACCUCGAAAAAGACUUUGAAACUUCAAGUAAGAAAAAUAAAUACAUCCUUUAAGAAAAAUGGAUUUUCUUUGAAUUGGUUGCCUCACAAUAUUUUAAAUGAUAAAGACUAAAAUUCAAUUAUGAUAUUAUCGAAAAUAGUCCCAAUCUAACGACUAGUCAAGAUAUUUGAAGUGGCCAAUCGUAUUGGAAGAAUUCCAGGAAGGUGCUCAACAGGGUUGUCUCAUUCAAAUAAGGAAAUUUGAAAUAAAUUUUCUCAAUACCAUGCACCCACGUUUUCUAGAUACAUUCCUACUGUUCUCAGAAUUGAGUGCUCAUGAAUUUACAUAGAAGUUAGGCAGAUUUCUGGAAAUAAUAAAAAUGAUAAUCACGUAGAACCUUGUCUCUGUAAAUUAUUUUAAAUAAAAAAUACUUAUUUUUCUAAAAAUAAGUAUUUUCAAAAUGUAAUAUAUGUUUUUUUUUUUUUUAAAUAAUAAUAAUUUACAAGCUUUUUUAUUUUUAUUUCUUAAAAAAAUUAUGGGCUUUUGUUGAUAAGAUUUGAGGAAAAACAAAAAGGGCCACACUACAUUGACUCUUCCAUGCCUACAGGCCACAACGAAGUCGACCACAAAGAUGACGCCAUCUUUUGGAAUUUUUACAGGACGGUUUUUCCACAUACACACCAACCCAAGCCCACCUUCACCCUAUAUAAACCCCCACCCAUUUCCUCACAGAUCACCCCACUCCAACCAUCAAGCCUAUCUUCCGAUCCUCAACAAUGGGCCUCUGCAAAAUCCUCUCCAUUUCCUCAUUCCUUCUCACCGCCCUAUUCUUCACCCCCAGCUAUGCAGCCACCUUCAACAUCCAAAACCAUUGCUCCUACACGGUUUGGGCUGCGGCAGUCCCAGGCGGGGGCAUGCAGCUUGGCUCAGGCCAAUCCUGGAGCCUCAAUGUGAAUGCCGGCACCACUGGAGGCCGUGUUUGGGCCCGUACCAACUGCAACUUCGAUGCAUCAGGGAAUGGGAAGUGUGAGACCGGGGACUGUGGUGGCCUCCUCCAAUGCACGGCCUAUGGUACACCCCCUAACACCUUAGCCGAAUUCGCACUUAACCAAUUCAGCAACUUGGACUUCUUUGAUAUAUCUUUGGUUGAUGGAUUUAAUGUGCCUAUGGCCUUUAAUCCUACUUCCAAUGGGUGCACCCGUGGCAUCAGUUGCACCGCCGACAUCGUGGGAGAGUGCCCCGCUGCGCUAAAGACUACCGGUGGUUGCAACAACCCAUGCACCGUUUUCAAGACCGAUGAAUAUUGUUGCAAUUCUGGGAGCUGUAGUGCUACAGAUUACUCAAGGUUUUUCAAGACUAGGUGCCCUGAUGCUUAUAGCUACCCUAAGGACGAUCAGACAAGCACCUUCACAUGCACUGCCGGUACCAAUUAUGAAGUUGUCUUCUGCCCAUAAAUCUAUUAUUUAAAUCAUAUGCUAGUAUGCCUCUACUAGUCUCAACUAUUAGGAGGCAAUGGUUUCCACCUUGGGUUCCAAAAGCCUAGAGGAAUAAAGUUGGGCACAUUUUCGUGGUCAUGUAACAAGAUUUCUACACUAGUAGAAGUAAUGGAUGUUUUUUUUUUUUAUAUAUAUAUAUAUAUAUAUAGAUUUAUGCGAUCUUCUUUCUUUCUAACCUCUAUGGUCCCGUCCAAGUAAUAUUUCAUAUAUAUUUUAUUCUAUAUAAUAUCUGCGGAUAAGAUCGGUUAAUGAAGCUUGACUAAAGUCAAAAUUUUAUUUUAUUUCAUUAUCCUACUU